UUCAUUCACUAUUGAACUUUCUUUUCUUUCCUUCCCUUGUUUGUUGUAUAAAGAGGUUAUUGACAGAGCGGGGAUAGUGAAAGUCAGUAAGAGAAUACGCAGUGCCGGUUAAGUCUGCAAGUAUAUAAUGUGCCUCUGCUUCUGCGCUCUCAAGUGAAAUUAUGUCUUCUUAAUCUUAUUAAACCCCCCAGCAAGUAAGGAUUAUAGACAAGAGAUAUAGUCCCAAGCUAGCAAGCAAAGAUCCGGAUCCGCUUUUUAAAGAAAGAGAGUUUGUAGGGGCUAGAGUUGUUAGUUGCAUUCCAGUAUAGUAGGGCUGUUUGCCAGUAGGGAUAUUCUAGUUUCAAGAAGUCAAAGCCUUGUUCGGAUACUUAAUCGGAUUCAAAAGACUAAUAGGGAUGCUAGCACUUAUAGGGAAUUCCACAAUAGGGCAUACAAGAAUUCCACUAUUAAUAAAAAGAGUUCAACUCAUUAUUACAGGAAAAAGUCCAUAGUUGACCAGACCUGCGCUCUAAACUAGUAACUAAAGAACCCAAGUUGUAGUAGUCCUGUAGUCGUAAACCCAGCCUUGAUUUACUUUAUCUAAAGCAAACUACCUGCCCUGACUUUAAUGCUUAUCGGCCGAUUAGCCAUUUUAUGAGUUACAGGCGUUAUAAUUCCUUUUGAUCUUAUAUCUUAUAGGAAAGGAUUCCUCAGCAAUAAAAUCUUUUAGUUAUGAAGAUCGGAUUCCAGGAUCAGGAUUCGAAAAAGGGUAUGAAGCAAAGGAUAGAUCAUAAGCAAAAGAAGCUGAAUCAACUCCAACAAACAAUCGAAUGCUGAGAGCAAGUUUCUUUUUUCGAAGCGUCAAUGCCAUGUAUCAGAGCUAGGGGUCUUAAAUGACGCGUAAGCCAUAAUAUGAAUGAACUCUGCCUUAAACGACUCGACUUGCCAUCAGCUCUUGUCCAGCUGCCGAUCCGUGUACUUCAGUUAGAGCUCAAAGUACUUAUGACUCAUAUCUUGGGGUGCAAGUGUUGCGGAAUACACAGUUCGAGAAUCUUAUCGAGUAUUGACGACGAGAAUGAAUUGACCCCCUAAAUCGAGCUCCGUUGGGGGAGGCGCUUGACCUUUGCGCCCAUUGCUUAAAGAAUAUAGCGUUCAAGAUAUAGUAUAGAAUCCAUUCAAAAAAGAGAGAACAUUGCUUCAAAACUAACAUUAGAGCAUCCCAAAACAAUAACUCACGUCAAAAGCGCCCCGAGCCCCGAGAGUAAGCUAAUGCACAAGGGCGAAGCAAUAAGCGUAAGAUUUGAUGUUGUAGCGUAAGGUGGCAGGGGAUUAACAAUAAGACUAAACUCCUAAUGUGUGAAAAACAAGAAAGACGGUGUUGUGAGUUGAGAAAUAAGUGCCAGGAUGCAUCAAGGCGCUAAGGAUGUAAUUGUGGUCUUAGAUAAAGAAAAGAGUGCUAUGCUACAUUCUAUAAUGUAAUAAAGUACAAACAUUUAUAUCCAGAAUUGCAAUAAUUCUCAGAUAAGUCACACAUAAGAUAAGUAAAGUCAAUAUAACUAAGUAACUUAACCGUUAGCACUGAAUCUUGCAAGAGGAGAGCUCGCAUUAAGUGAAAUGAGUUCUUAGCUUUUGUAGGUGUAUUACAUGAUCUAUUUCCCAUCAACACCAAAUAGGUUGUUAUAUAUUCACAUUUGUACCAAUAUCAUAUAGGUAAAGCCAUAAUCAAAUGGGUAAUCCCAAGAGCGAAAGAAGGGCUACGGAAUGCCGGAUGCAAGGAUGAAUCCGGAAAUAAGAAAUAUCUGAAUUGCCGACAGGAGUGGAAGUUGAGUUCGAAAGUAACCCGGGAGGCAUUGGUAUUGUAGCUCUACUCCCGGUAUAUUGUAUUCCAUGUUUCAGUCGUUAGGGGCACUGUUUGUUUAGUUCUAAUAGUAUAGGCGUAAACCAUAUAUUAUACAAAUCAAGUAACACAUAGAUUAUACUAAUCAAAUGGCCCCGUACGGCACACAACACACCCGCGUAUCGGAUUCCAAUAUUCUAUGAGAAAACCUAUCGAACAGGAGUGGUUAGGCAGAGAGUUGGGCGAAACUUGCUACUAAGAAGGUUCAGUUCCAGGAAAGUAUCCAUGAAAAAGGGUAGUUCCAAGGUUCAGUCGUAGUUGCUUGGUGCCUGAUACAGUGUACAAUCAGAAUGAAACUAAGAGUUGAGCCAGUAGGUGAGGUGAGCUAGCCCUUAUUAGUAAGCCAGCCUACCAAUCCGUAGUUCAAGAACGCAACUGGUACCAUAGCUACCGGGGCGGGGAAGAAAUAGAAGAGUUAUUGUUUUCAGAGCAAGAGUAGAGAGAGGCAAGAUCAGAGGAGAGAUUAUCUAUUUGCUAUGAAAAAACACGGGCCAAGUAACUACUACAAAACCAUAGCAAUGAAUAAAUGUAUUAUAACUCGUUAUUCCGGAGUCCUAAUCUAGAGCGGCAGGAGUUCCCGCAAAAAGAUCAUUUCCAUGGAGCCCCUUAGGAGGGAAAAUGACUUGGCUAUGAGCCAAGGAACUUUAGUUACGCGGCAGCGCUGUUUCCCGGGUUUCUUAAACUUUUCAUGAAAAUGGAUCGGUCUAUUAGCGGAAAUGCCAGUGCUACCCGCCAAGGAACAGAAUGUUACGCGGCAGUGUUGUUUCACGGUAAAACGUGAAAAUACAAUUUCUCUUGACCCAGCUAAGAAGGGAAAUGACGAAGCUAUCAGGCAAGUAACUACUAAUGUUACGCGCCAGCGCUGUUUCACGGGUUUCGUCAACUUGACUAGACUAUCCUUUUGCCCCAACCAGUAGUGUAGUGGUCCUGUUUGUUGCAUCUGUAUUAGUAGCAAGAGUGGAGGGAUAGGUCUUAUUUGAGGGUUUCUUUCUUAUAGUGAUUAGUCCUUUUUAGCUCCUGUUCUGGUGAUUGUUUAAUCCCGAGUGGAAUGUAGUACUGCUCAAGUUCUUGUGGAAUCUAUAAGAUCAGCGAUUCCUUCCUUAUAUGAUAUUAUUUCUGCAUUUUGUAUAGGCCAAGUAGAGAUAAGAGACAGAGGCUCAAUUUGUACUCGUUGCCAGCCUAGAAGAAAUACUUGUAGUUGAGUAGUUUAAUAAGUAGUUGUAGCAAGAGGAGUUAAUGACUAGGGAGAAGUAGCCAGAGGAGAAGAAGCUAAGCUAUAAGUACUGAAGUGCAGAAUCAAACCAGUCAGUAUAAGAAUGCAAGCUAGUCCAGAGUAGAGGUCUGCAAGGGAAGAAAAGCUGGUAUAGGGAAGAAAAGCUGGUCAUGUUGCAGUGUCAAAAGGGAAGAAAAGCUGGUAUAAAUAAGGGAACAAGCUCAUUGUUGCGCUAACAACUUAAGCUAGAAGAUGUCCUGGAGAGAGUGAGUUGUAGUUCUUCAAAGUGAUCGGAGUCGCGCAAGAAGCAGUUAGGAUAGAUAGUUCCGCGAGGAUAGAGAAGAGAGUUAGUCUAGAGAAGAGAGUUAAGUGAGUCUGCAGCUAAGUUACUAUACUUAUCGAAUUCGAAAGAAUGUGUGAGUUAGAUGAUUUUCGAAAGCCCUUAACGCAUUAGCUAGUUUUCUGUUAGCCCCGUUAGCUUAUUCUCGGGGUGCAUUAGAACUCACUUUACGGGUUUAGGGAUGCCUAGCUGACUUUCCGGGCUUUGGAGUGUGAUCCAAUAUUCCAGUAAAGGAGUGAGUCAAGUAAGCAGUCAGGACAGGAGUGAGUUUGCAAGUCAGGUCUCGGUCGGCAAGAGAAUAAGUGUCGUCUCUUUCAAAGGGUUUGGGUGCUGGAGAAAGACCAUAAUAUCGGUUCAGAAUAAUAAGUAAGGUCAGAGCAAUGACAUGAUGUUCUACUUUAAUCGUAUAGAAAGAUCAGACAGAAUGAGAAACUGCUGAGGGAAAGGCUUAAGUUAGGCUUAGGGGCAGAGAUAUCCGUUUUUAAGAAAGUAGUGCAAGGCUAUGGAUUUCAUAAUUAAUAUAUGCCAAUUGAACUAGAAAGUCAGAAUGAAACUAAUUAAGUAAGCAAAAGGGAAGCAGUUCAGUCAUCCGCUGAAGCCUAGCCGAGAUCAGAAUCCUUUCUGGUUUCAUCCCAGUAGUAGUAGUCCAGUUGGUAAGUCAACUCUCUAAAUUAGAAUGCCUUUGAAGCGAGGUAUCUUGCUUGCUCUACUGAUCUUACUGUUUCCGACCUAUCCUUUUCAGUGAAGAAAUGCUUGCUGCCCAACCCACACUUAUAAAUACCAGUACUUUCUUCUUUACCAGAACUAGACUUGAGAACAGGCUAUAAGAGUUGCAGUAAUUAAGGGCACAGGAUUCCCUAGUCGUAGUUGCUUGUCGGUUAGUUAGUUAACCUGGUUCUAUCUUACCUAGGCGGGGGGAACAAUAAAUAUUCCGUUAGUUGCUUGUUGGCGGCGCGAGUUAGCACUUUCAUUCGAUUCCAAAGAUGGAUCUUCUGUAGGUCAUUUUAUUCCAAAGAUAUAGGUUUAGGAAGUAGAGUUCAAGUUCGUUCUUAUCUUAGCUAUGUCGAACAGAGGUCUUACUAAGAGCAAUCUCCCUACUGCAUAGAUUCAAUUGGGGGCUAGUGCGUAAUAUAAGUAAGGCAACUCUCCCUACUAGCUUUGUUGUUAAUGCUUGACUCACUAAACAUAUGAGCAGCGCAAAAGACUAUAGCACUAGGAGUGCGCAGUGUUGUUACAAGUUUAUAGCUAUGGAUUCAAUUCUGACUUUAGUUUAGAGUGGUUAAGGGGUGCGCCUAUGAUAGAUAUGAGUUUUGGAAGCUAUGAGUUUUGGAAGCAGGAAGCAGGUAGAGUGGAAAGUCAGGUUUUAUAACCCCAGGCAACUCGCUAACUUGUUCGUUUCGCAUACGUAGGCACUUAGGCUAUCGAUCUACUCGCAGCAGAGCAGCUUGAUUAAGAUGGUGCACCACUGCUUUUCAGGUAAAGUCUCAGGGCUAUCUAUCUUUCUUUCUUGGGUUUUCAGAGACGAGCAACAGGGCAGGGCUAUCUUUCUUUUUAGAGCCAGAGUCGAGGCCCUUAUUGUAAGUUACCCCGAGUUUAAUCAGUUCUCUUUCUUAUAUGUUCUCUUUCUCAUAUGAUAUAGAAUGAAAUAGGUAGUUAAUAGAAUGAAAUAAGUAGUUAACGCCAAGUUAUAGAAUGUAAUAAUCUGGUAUCGGUGAACAAUCCCUAUUUCUCAAGUAAUCUGCUAUUCAAGGCUAUUAAAGUAUAGGUCGUCAAAGGAAGCUAUGAAAGGAAACUACUAGAGGGGCUUCCACACCUGAUUUAGAGUUAGCAGAGAGGAGCCUAGAGAUUCAAUCAAUUCUUAAGCGUCAAGUCAUGCCAGGUAGUCUGUCUGAUUGGUAGUCAAGUUAUUGUUCGAUAAGACCCCUCAGUUUCAUUCUCCGUUUUCAUAGCACUUAGGUUGGUUCAUCGAUUCUGCAUAAGAAGUUCCGGGUGCUCAAACAAAAGCUGUAGUCUCGGGAGUAGAAAAAAGAAUAUGGAGUUAGAGCCGGGGGUUCAGUUGAGUUCGAGGCAGAAUCAGACAAGCAGACGAAUGUGAAUAAGUGAAAGCAACUACUAAUGUUUAGGCUAGACAAGUGUCACGGAUGAAACAGAUUGUCUUGCAGUUUGAGUUGCAGCCUACUAAGUUGUUCACUAUUAUCCUAUAAGAAUAAGAUGAGACAACCUCCACUUUCAGUUAUGAAUUCAUUUGCUCUUUGUCUCCGAAUGGCGAAGGAGUGUCUUCUUACCUGAGUUGGGUUCGCGGUAGUUCAAUUAUAUACUGGGAGAGUACUUACUCAUUAACCUAGGGACUUGGCGGUAAGUGGAGCACUAGGGUCGUAACUGAGAUCUAUCAUACACAUACGGAGCUCCAUCUUAUUAUUAGAUUUCCUACUUGAAGUGAAAUUCGAACUUUCUUACUUGAGGGCACUGUUAGUUACCAAUAGCUCUAUAAUACCUAGGCGUGGCACAAGACUUAUGAAGUUGCUGACUCACCCGAUCUUGACUCUAUACUUGAAGUGGAAGAAUAUCUUGCUGCUUAUGGAACUCUACUCUUUGGACCACACCUCGCUGCAAAGCCAACUCUAUCACUUAUUACUGCCCAGUAAACAAAGAAAGUAGACCCCUUUGCGCUGUUCAUGGCGGUAGGGCUGCUCUCACACUCCAAUAAUGAAUGGGAAAACGAACCUUCAUCUCCACUAAUCAACUGUCCCUAGAAUUCAUUUGAGCCUCACAUCCAUCUGGUUCCUUCCCUUGUGCCAACACUAGAACGGGCACUUUGACCUUUCUACUGUGGAGAUAGAUUCCUUUAGCCCGAGAUACUUACCGCGAACUGUUUCUUCUGUCUUCGUCCUCUAGGUCGAGCCGAGACCCUUCGUUCCCAGAGAUCUUGUACGAUGAGUUACGGAGAAAGUGGCUUACCUAGCUACCCACCUUUUAUUCUUUCUAUUUGGUUUUUCCCGUCCGGGACCAUUCACCCCUUUCCAAACCAAGCAUAGGUGGGAACCCCUAUUUCCCAUACACAACGACUGUUAAGCAGGAUAAGUAGUUUCUUUUAUAGUCGACUCAAUAUCGACGAGAUCCCCCAUACCUAUUAUAGAAGAAGUGGAAUAAUGCACCCUUCAUCGAAAGAGUUGGGCAGCCAUUCCUUUUCCUCAGCGUCAGCGGCUUCGGGAGUGUACCUGAGAAAAUCUUACCACAUUAUCCAUUUCUUUCUAUCUAACUAUCUAAUCUAAGGAUUCUCUAUUUCUCUCUAUCUAAAGAAAGGCCAUCUGCUGCUGCUCAUGAAAGAGUUUAGGCCUAAGACCCUCGUUCAGCUACUCUAUUCUGUUGCGGGGAAGAAUAGAAGGUUAUUCUUAUUCUAAGUUGGAGCCACCGAGUGCUCGUCCUACAGAAAGAAAGUGCGUUCUCCCGCCGAAUAAAGAGGAGCAGGAAUAACUGGUUGUCCUCUGAAAAGGAGGAGAAUACAUCUAAAAAGGUCUAAAACGACUUAACCAGACGCCUGUGUCAGAUGCUCCAGCCGAGUAAGCCACGUCCCGAUAAAUAGCACUUCGCAUCGGAUGAACCGGAUUGGAAAGGAAAAGCUCUAAUUUGGUUGUUGGUCGUGAAAAAGCCUGUAUCAGGGCAUCUCAGAGUCUUUGGUUGUGUUGGAGGACCGAUAUUGUAUCGAGUUUGUUUCGUCUUAGACCUUGACUGCUGGCCUUUAUUUACGUGCUUUGGAGAGUCCCCUAGCGCCGCCUUCCUUUGUUGGUUAUAAAAGAUAUAUAGGGUUUCGUUUCAAGAUAUAUAGGGUGGAGUUCGGUUGCAAAUACACUGUUCUGCUUGAAAGACAGAGCGGGAAGUCCAGAAGUUUUGUAUUGAUAAUAUAGGCUCUUCCAAUAAUAGUUCCUUCCGUAUUGAUAAUAUAGGCUCUUCCAAUAAUAGUUCCUUCCGUAUUGAUAAUAUAUUAAUAGUGAAAAGUCUGGAAUUAAUGGUUCAGUAUUGAGAAUAUAUAGUAUAGUAUUUCUAAUAUAGGGUGCGUGCCUCUUCCGAUGGUUAAGGGUUAAGGGAAUCUUGAGUAUACUUAGGUGCCCAUAUGCGAUGAAAGGCAAAGAGGGGAUCCUGACUUAGUAUACUUUGUCCGGUGCCUAUAUGCGAUGAAAGGGAAAGGGUUCUUCAAGCUAUCGAAAAUAAUGCAUUGGAUAGAGAUGCCCGGGAUGGCAGGAUGAGAUAAAGCAGUUUCAAGACUAUAGCUAACAAGCGAGAACUCAACUAAGGGGUGUCGGGUCAACACUCGCACACAGGAAUUUCCGGCUGGAGUCUAAGCAGGGGACAAACAAAAGUAAGGCUCGGACAUGUAUGAGAUAGAUAGGUCUCGGGCAACUCUGGGCUUAGGUCUGCAGCUACUAAUCAGUUCCAUUCAGAUGCUUACCGCAAUUAGUCCACUAUUAGAUGUGCUCGCCUCUUACAAUAUCCUCCAAUUGCCUAGUCGUAUAGUUUGUCAUCACAGACUUGUAGGCAUGAGUGUCGGGAUGAGAUAAAGCAGUGGCACAGUCACAGAAAGGAAGGAGAUACUCUAGCUAUGAAGUCAGGCUUGGGCUACAGGCGAGUCCGGUUGUCAGCUAACAAGUAGGGCUUUCAGUCUUGGUUGUUAGUAGUAUAAUUCCAAUAUAGUAUGGGAACAGUCUAAUCUAAUGGGGGGCCAAGCUACUAUGUGUUUGUGAGCCAGAAGUCUUAUAUAAGAGAUGAGAAAGAGUUGCGGUUCCUAAGUAGUAGGAAUCUCUUGUGGGUGCUCUUACUCUUCGGGUCGGGUGUCUAGCAUUCCCAUUGUAGUGGUUAGUUUCAAGAGCAAGAAAGAAGAUCACUUGAUUAGUUGAAAGAGCCAGAGGAUAGUUCUAGUAGCAAUAGUUUUGGGAGUUAGGAGUUUCGAGUUCAAGAGUUUGUCGUUGCUUGGCACGCCGUUGCUUGGCCCUACUGAUAACAAGGCUGAAACAGAUGCUUCUAAUACUUGAACUCAAUAUAUCGAGAAUGUCCGAGGGCGAACCUGGAGAAUGGAACUGCUGCUAACAGGCUUACCCUGGACACCGAAUCUAUCUCUCUUUGCUCCAAUUCUCACUACUAUAAAUAAGUCGGAAUUAAUACAAGCAAUUUCAGAAUUCAUAUAUCAGAAUAAUAAUAAGGCAUUGUUUCGCUAAUAAAUCACUAAGAAAUUGUACUAUACGAAAACGGAUCGAUAGCUGUUCAACCGACCUAUGAAUUCAUUAGCGAGGUACUACGUUGCCAGGAUACCCUCGUUUCAUGGUCGAGGUACGUACCUUCUAUUUCUAUGAAUGAGAGCUAUGUAGCCCGGGAAACGAAGAACGAAUGGUUCUAUCCGGGAGAACAUUUCUUAUACGACCACGAGACCAGUUGCCUGGCCUCAAUCAAUUAGUUAUUUGACUUAAAGAAUGUGCUUAGCUACUUUCAGAAUGAAUGGUUCUACGCUCCGAACGAGUCACUAUAAAUGAUUGAAGACCGAGUGAACUACCCUUGUCGACCCCUAGUCCAGUUGCCCUCCUAAUAAUAGAUAUAAUAAUGACCUUUGUUCUGAAACUCCCCGCGGGAAGUCCUACUCCACUAGAGCCGAGGCUGCCACACUGCCCUGAUAUGCUGAAACAGGAAACAAGGGAUUCCACUACUCAAUGUAAGAAUCAAAUCGAUACUAGAGGGAAUGGUAGCACUACAAAGAAGGAUCCAGCUAAUGGCCUCAACCCUGACUUAUUCGUUUCUAAGCCUAGCUAUCCUGUCCCUAACUCUGACGCCCUCCCAGUGAAGUUCUGAAACUAAUGCCUAUGCUAUGUGUCUUGCUUUACUGCUUAUGAGACCUUAGCCCAACGUCCCUUAUUGACCUCUUAUUUACUAUUGGAAAAACCUAGGCCUUCAAGCCAGUAUUCACCCCUAAAACGAACUCCUCUUGCUUUCAUUCCGUAUUGAACCUAUGUGUAUUUCACCUUUGAGCUUGUCAUUCCUUCCUAUCAGCCUUACGGCCCCAGCCCUAGAGUAGCUCAAUAUACAUCGACCCUUGCUUUCGUUCUGUAGUUACUGGUCCGGGUCUUUGCCUACGAGAUUGAGUCUACCGUCCCUUGGGUUUAGUAUGACUUUCCGGGCAAACAGGCUUAACUAUCCUUUCUUUUAGUCCCCUUUCUUUCAUUCUAGUUCUAUGGGCUUAUUGUUAGAUGCACUAGCGGAGUACCCGGAGUGAAAGGUGGGGCAAAGAAUGCAGUUGGUGCUUUAGAUAGAUCGUUUUUUUCUAUUGGGUUGGGGAUGUCUUCUAAGCAUUAGUUUUAUGAACUUGGGGUCUCUGCGUUCUUAUUAGCGGUGGCUCUCUUCUCUUCUUGUUUUGUUAUUGGGAGCGGAGCUCAGUUCCUGGGUUCGAUUCUUGUUAUUAGCGGUUGGAUUUCUCUUUCUUAUUGUAAUUCCUAGUUGGUAGCUGUUCUCUCAUCAGAUCAGUAGUAACUUGAUUCUAUAGGGUCUAAUAUUAGUAUUUGAUAGCCAGGGAAGCAAGCCUCUCAUCUCAGGUAGUAGUGUCAGUCAGUUUCAAAGCAAAGAGAGGCAGUUUUGACUACUGCGCUAGUAAGCUCAGCUAGAGCAUAGGAAUUUAGGGCGGAGUUCCCGAAUGAUAGAUGGGAUAUUCAAACUAAUCAAAGUCGGGAGAGGAAAACUCUAACUCGCGCGCAAUUCUACUAGAUCAAAGCGCGGAUAGUGAAAUUGAUAGUGUUGAGCUACAGAGUGCAAGUAAUCAAUUGAAGAAUAAGAGAAGGUCAAGUCAGAUCCGAGGUCGGCAGCAGUAUUCCCCGUUCCUAGGUGAGUUCUUGUAUAGUAUCGGUGUGUAGUCCAAUCCCUUAGGUUUAGGUGCAGUUCCAUCAGUAGUAUUUCUUUUAUUGGCAGAGUCGACUUAGCUAGGUAAGCGAGAGAGCGAAAGCAGAGACCUUUUGAACCCGCUAAUAAACAACUAAUCUGAUAUCAGUUAAUUCAUUAUUGUAUUAUGGAGAAUGAACAAACAAGCAAAGCAAGAAAGCAGAAUUAAGGGCAUAGUUCAGUAAGAAGAGCUGGGAGCAGUGUCGGAGUGAAAGGCAUUAGUUGAAGUUCGAAGCUAAGCGCGGAUUCACAAGCAAGAAUGCCAGGAACGAGUCUAAUAACGGGUAGAGGUGGACUAAAACAAUUACUGGUAGUAAUGGCAAGCACGGAUCUAAUUAAGGAAAUCAAGUUAGGAGUAGGUCUUUGCUACCGGCAAAGGGUAUGUUAUCUUAAAGAGUCAGACUUGGGUUACUUAUUGCAAUUCUGACCUGAUUCUUAUUAGCAAUAGAUCAACUCUUUCCGAUACUAAUAUAAGUUUGCGAGGUUUGAGUUGGUUAGGUUAGACAGGAAAGACAGCCUGAGUUACUAGAUUCAUGCUUAGGUUCGAUUCUUUUCUCUGACCUUUGAUCAGUGGUUCUCAUUAGCUGUUAUUUCAGGCGUUAGGAUAGUAACGUAAAAUACUGUGUGGAAUUACGAAAAAGUCAACGGAACAAGUCUGGGUUUAGAACAUAAGUAUUGUUGGCGCUGGUCCAAUCCUUGGUUUCUCUCUUAUGAAUUGAGGAAAUAGAAAAAGAAGUGAUAGUUUGAAAUCGAGGAAAGUAAUACGGAGGGUAAGCCGGAGUUCUGAGUUGAGGUAUUGUUGUUGGCCGGCACUAGCCCAAUCCUUAUUAUUGGUAGUAUAGGUGAUUCCCCGAGGUAUAUAUAGUCAAGGUAUCAAUUCACUGAUUCUAGUACUAAGCAUCCAGUAGUAGACUCAUAAUUGAACUAGUCAGUAGCGGUCUAUUCCAUUAGUCAGUAACAGAGGGCAACUCCAUAGUGAAAGUCAGAAUGGAACUAAGUAGUCAAAGGAUGAAGCCUCCCCAGUAGUUGUUUGAUUCUGUAUUAGUGGGUGGCCUGGCUGACCUGAAGUUAAUGGUUAGAGUUUACAAAAACAGGACAACUCCCAGGACUUGUUUCGAGUUAUCAUAUGGAUAGUCAGCGUUAUUAGUUUCAAACAAGUAAUGCAAGGUUGGAUAUCAGUUGAGUUUGGUGGACCCGGAUCAGCCGUGAGAGAAUGAACUGAGUCAAAGUGGGGCUUUAGGGCGGGGGUGUUGGUUUGGAAGCAAGUGAGGUAAGCCAAUAAGUCAUAAUUUGGUUGAUAUUUCUCAGUUUCAGAGAUAAGAAAGGCAGGCUAGCAAUAAAGAGGGUAAGCUCAUAGGCACCAGUGGAAUUCCCUUCUUCUUUCUAAAGUCCUGUCAUAACUAUUUCUAUUCUUGGAGGCAGUAGCGUAUUCUUACUUUUUAGGUUGUUUCUUGGAAGUAGCAGUGUGAGUUCCAUUUCUUUCUACGCGUGCGGGAAGGGGAUACUCCAACAAGCGAGCAGGGAUCCGAUGCUGUGGCUAAAGCCUUGUAAGCACCAGUUCUAUUCUAAUUGUGAGUAGUUCAUUUCUUUCAGUUGGUCUUAACGGCCUUGUGGUGGCGACCUGUAUUCUCAUAAUAGGAAAUAUGCUAUGCAGAGUAAGUAGCCAAUUCUUUAUUGUAAGUUCAAGUCUCGGUAGCACUAUUAGUAGUUUGAUAGCAAAGAGCAGAAGACUCCAAGGUAGAAUACAUAAUUGAAGUAGGGAGCCUAAGCCCUAUGGUUGAGCUACGGAAUGCAAGUAAGCUGUUUUUGGAGUGAAAGCAAGGUGAGGUAAAUCAAAGAAAGGAAAGUGAGACUUAAGGGUAGUAAAGCAAGAGUGAGUUCCCCGGUAGCGAAGCCCUAGUUCCGAGCUAUAGUGUAGUUGGGCAGUGUUCGAUUCCAGUGUCUCUUGGUUCAGUACUGCCUGUAUAGUACCCAUUCUUAUCAAGUAGUGUUUCAAUCUGAUAGUAAGUAGUCCAUUUCUUAUUGGUAGUAGCUACAGUCUGAUACCCUUAUUUCCAUUCCGAUACUAUUACUCUUUCUUGAUAGUGUGCUUAUUACCGGUAUUGGUGAAAGAUCCGAAGAAAGGCCCCAGCGAUGAGAGAAUUUCAGACAGGUAGGACAGGCUCACAUACAGCAAGCAAGUUCAAGAGUCCAAGUCAGUAUAGUAACGAGUUUCGGCAAGUAGGAUCGCAGACUCUCACUCAUAGGCUUUACCCGCAUUCUUAUCCGCAGUUGUUGGGUUCCCGCUUUCAAGUUAAAGUCCUGCUUGCUGGGGUUAUAUUCUCGUAUGCCCUGAAAAGGGUCUUGAUUAUGGAAAUGAAAAACCUUGUUAGCACUAGUGGAAUUCCAAGUUUCUAGUUAAAGUAUGGAUAGGCCGGGUUCGACUCUUGUUGGUAUUGGUUUGAUUCCAAUAGAGAGUAGAUUAGAUCUCUGUCUUGAGUUAGAGUAUUGUUAGCGCCAAGCAACCACUAAGGAUAUAAAGCAAAGUCAAGAAGCUAGUUCCAAAUGCGGGUAGCAAUACUUUAUAUAGGGCUUGGUAGGGCUUGAGGGUAGCAAUACUUUAUAUAGGGCUUGGUAGGCAUUGAGGUCAGUAUUGCUAUUCGGGGGGAUAUGUAAUACUAAAGCUUAGAGGCAAGGCUAAGGGAGGCUAAAGCUUAGAGGCAAGGCUAAGGGAGGGGAGGAGUUUAGUCAGAGUGAAAGCGGGGAAAGCAAUCUUUAUAUAUAGGAGUAGGAGCCUUAGAGGUGAGUAAAAGAAUCAAAAGUAAGGGCCAAGCAAGGGCAGCUAGCGUCACAGAAUGAAACUGAGGAGUCAAAGAACCAAGCCAGUGCCACUCAUAGCCAAACACCUGACUCACAGGACAAGCAACUAAGUAAGACGGCCCUUCCUUUGGAUUUGCCCUUCCUUUAUAGACAAAGAGUCCCUACUCUGCGUGUUGUCUCUUCACACAAGCGGAUACUUGCGUCUUCGGCAGAUAGAAAGGAGAAGUUACUUACGGUCGGUGAAAUAGCCCAUCGCCGAACUCUACGCUCUUCUUGCUUAACGUUCAAACUCUCCUUGGAUAUGAAGAAAGAAAUCCUUUCGACUAUCAUUGCUACCUGUGCUGCUUUGUGAAAAAGAUAUGAUGGAUCUCGGCAGUAUAGUGGAAAAGGCUACUUGAAUCUCCGCAACUAUUGGGUAUGAACCCGGCUCAGUGAUGGCGUGGAACUCAAACUGGUUUUGGUUUCCCCCUCAUUGAUUGAUGGAGCCCAAGACUGCUUGACCACUUUCGGUGUGGGAUCAGCUUGAGCCGAGGUCGUCUCGUAACAGGAACAUAAAGAAUAGCAAAGAAGGCACAGAAGCCAGAAUAGCAAUGAAUAUUGGCUGUAACUAUAUCCUAUGGUUAGCAAUCAACGGAGGAGCCUCGCAAGCCAGCAAGUAAACCUCUUGAAGAUCUUCGGCCCAGUUUAUGAACAAAACUCACUUACUUAUUCAGGCUUAUAUAUGAACUGCAAAGAAGGCCCUCAUCUUUAGCAAAAACGCCCUCAUCUUUCGCGUGGAUAUGGUUGGUAUAAGCAAAUGCAUGAUACUGUGGAAUCAGGAAGGCUUUUUCGUAACUUAUACUUAUAUGCUACUCUCACCUCCUUGAAUUCUAAGGUUUGAGCCUGGCGUUCUAUCCACUUACAUUAGAAGUUCAUGAUAGAAUGGCGCAGUAGGAACCGGUCGGAUUCGAACCGACGAAUAGAAGUUUUGCAGACUUCUGCCUUAACCACUUGGCUACGGUUCCCUAGAAAUUCUAUGUCUUUACCCCUUGCCUUACUAGAAUUCAUGCUUUGCUUCAGAGGGUUAUACCAGUAGUAUAUCAGACGGAAUGCCUUGGUUAGGACGCGCAAACGUAAGCGGAAAAGAAAUAUAGCGAUGCCCGCUUCAUCCUUUGAUUAUGAACCAGCAACAUACUCGUCCUAAGCCAAUGGCAGGGUGUUUUGCUUAACUGGGGCCGGGCAUUGAUGCUUGUCUGACUUCUGGCUAGGAGUGGAGCAGUCUGAAAGUGCAACAAGGAAGUCGGAAGAACUCAAUCAAGGGGGGGAAAGUCAUUUUCUCUAAGAUUCAAAGGGUGGAAAUCUAUCAAAGCCAUCUAAGGCAGAUACCGGUGUUUGCUCUGUGCCUUUGAAAAGUAUUGUUUCCGAGAUAUGAUCUGUUGAGUCUGCUGAGGCAAGAGACCAGACCUGCUAAGCUAGGCCUUCCAAAGCUAUAUCUCUGGAUUAUUACUCGAUUAUUACUUAUGAUCUAACUGACUCGAACUCCGUAUUUGGAAAUACACUCUCUAUAUCUAUUUGGAAAUACACUCUCUCUCUCUGUUGCUUGCCCGCUUCAUCUCUAAAUCUCGCUCGGUAUAAGGAAGAUAUAAGAAGUAUUUGGGAUCAUAAACUACAACGUUCUUGACUGAAAACGCUUAUUGGGCUGUAUUAAUCACUCGCGACCUAGGUAACAUACAUAGAGGAUUCCGUACAAAGGGGAAGUUUCGACUCAAUCGACCGGGGGAUCAUGCUAUGUCAAGGGGGAAGAUGAAUGUACUUACCUGCUCAUUCGAUAAGAGAGGGAUUGGAAGAAUUAAGGCAAAAGGGAUUUAUGAAGAUAUACCUCUGUAGUACCAAAAGUGGUCUGAAUUCGAAAUAUACCAGCUAAGCUCGAACAAAGGGAAAAGUUUGGAUUCUAUUAUGAAAUACCGAGACAAGCAAGCAAUAAAGUCAGCGAAGACAGAGAAAGAGGGAAGACCAUGUCAGGGAUGGUUCGACAGAUGAAGGAAGGCAUGGAGUUAUUAAUACUUAAAGAGGUAUUUCGUUCGCGUAUAUCGUUAGCUUUCUCUCGUCUGAGCGUUUUCAGAAAUAUGCUGAGUCUCUGUUGUUUCCAAGUAAAGACCUGUUCUUAGCGAGUAAGGAAGGAGAUCUUAAGGCGAGGACUCAAUCUCGGUCGUCGGGGGAUUAGAUCAUAAGUCAUAAGAGAGUCAGAAUAAAGAGAUAUAGCUCUGGUAUACGGUAUUGUACUAAAAUGAAAGGAAGGAAUGAAUGGACUGAUUUAUUUACCCAGCGAAAAACGAAAAGCAAGGGAAUCGUAGCUUAUCAGAAAACGGCAAGGGAAUCGUAGUGGAUCUUAACGUUGAAGCGAAAAACGAAAGGCGAGGGAAGGGAAUCGUAGCUUAUCAGAAAACGGCAAGGGAAUAGCCAAGUAACUACAACAAACACAUAGCAAGCAAUAAAUGACACAGGACUAGUAUAUUCAGAGAAAGAUCUUGGGCGUUCAGUGGAUUACCAUAAUACAUAAUAGAAUAGAAUAUAAGCUGGAAUUACCCUUAAAUAUAAUCGAAUAGACUGGAAUGACCCUAUAAUAUAAUAUAAUGGAAUAGAAUAUAAGCUUUAAUGAUAAUGGAAUAGAAUAUAAGCUGGAAUUACCCUUUGGAGCUCAGUUAGCUCAUCGCUCUAGUACGGUAAGUCAGUCAAUUGGUUAAAACCCAGUAAAUGACAUCUCUUUCCUCUCCUGCGCUUGGGAAUCUCUACCUUGCUUGGGAAGACAAUGGUUCUCUCUAUUUGCCCUUGGGAAGACAAGACGAUGCUUCUAUCUCCAUUUUCUAUCUGUAGUAACAAUGCCAGUUCAAGCUAUCUUCGUAGGUCCCAUUCAUUCUCGAUAAUAAGUGAGCAAUCCAUUUCCUAGAGUAGUUCAUUCUUACCAUAGAGUUCCUAGAGUAGUUCAUUCUUACCAUAGAGAGUAGUGAGCGUUCUUCCCGGCCUCUUUUUCUUUAUGAGCCGAAAUCACUGGUUUCAUGGGUCUUAUAGGUCAUCCUCUAAAAAGAAAGAAAUAUAGCUUGAUUUUCGGGAAAGAACUAUCGGGCUCUUCCUUCCCUUGUUUGCUUUGCGCUCUUCUGUUGUGCGUGCUUGUCUUUGAGGUUGCUUAUUGCUUCUGGAACUUUACUGAAGGAAUAUGCUGUGCGCUGCGGAAUGGAAUAUAAGUAACAUAUGCAUUAGUUAUGAAUAUUAAGUAACAGACUCCAUAAUUGAUGAAAUCAUCUCUCGAGCGCCCUUGGCAAUACGGAAUGGAAUCUAGCAGUCCUUAUUCCGUUACUAGUUCGAUGCGCCCUUUGCAAUAAGGAAUCUAAUCUAGCGGAGACUCAUAUAGAAUAGAGUAAACAAACACUAGAAUGAAAAUCACCUUCAUAAGAGAAACAUUAAUGAAAAUAGUAGUGCACAUAGAAUCAAAUAGAAUAAGAUUACUCAACACUUAAUGAACUCUACUUACUUGUUUUGUUUGAAUAUGAUUUAGUGCCCACAUAGAAUCAAAUAGAAUAAGAUUACUCAACACUUAAUGAACUCUACAACUCCGUAAGCGCUUGUUUCUUCAUAUUAUACCAUUCUGUAACAUCACUCCUAUGACUUAAUAACAUAUCGGCAUCCUCAUUCAUUGGUCCAGAAACUGCAUUCACCUGAAUAGCCAGACCAAGUAAGACUCUUGAUAAGCCAGAGCCCUAUACCCUACUUCCUUCUUUAGGCUCUGCACUCUAUCUCGGCACAUCUUUUAAAGUACCAUCGGCUCUUUUUUACUGUGUCAACAAGACCUUCCCAAAACUCUCUUUUUCCGGAGACUGAUCAAGAUUUCCACUAUCGAAUUUCUACUAGGUAGGCUUUUAUAGCAGUGAUGGUACUGGAUGGCUUUAGACACAGGGUUCGUUUUCUCACCGUCGUGGAAUAUCGAUGGUUUUCUUCGCUACGACAGGCUCCAGAGCUUAUCCAAAAGAAAGAUCACAGGGCCGCGCAUAUGUUAGAACAACGCCUGAGCGCAGAGUUGUAUGCCGAAAGAAGUCACACUUUUUGAUGGAGGGGGAAUGUAUGAAGUCUAUCUCCUCCGAUGCAGCAAGAUUCUUUGGACUUCGGCUAGCAAAGGAAAGGUGAAAUCCACUGAUUAGGAUAGACUAAGACACCCACCACUUACGUAACUAAGGGUACUGACUUAUGCGGUAGGAAAGCGGAAUGAAUCCCUGUACACUCAAUGCAUGCUGUGAAAGUAAGUCUAUUAAUUCUACCUAAUGAACUGAUUCAACCUCAUUCCCACAGAUUAUUUCGGACCGGGUUGAAGUGCUUUCCGAUGAAGAAGUUGUCUUGUAUAAGGUUGGUGAUGAACGGCCUUAGGGUCCCUACACUACUGGACUCGAAACUAAUCCUAUGCCUUGUGAAAACUCAUCCUAUGCCUUGUUAAUUAGUCUAUACUAUCUAUAAGCUAUAAGGUAAGCCAGAUCUAUAAGGUAAGCCAGUGGCAUGUCCCUGAGUGGUUAACUGAACUCCCUUUCUCUUUUCCUCUGUAUUUGAUUUCUGAGCUCUAGCUUCUGGCAUUCUUAUGUCUUAACGGAAUGGCUGCUCAACUUCUUACCUGUCCUCUUCAAUACAAGGCGAAAGGUGGAAAAGACCUAUUUAGGAAUGAGAUCUUUCUUUCCCCAAUACCAAAGUCAGGGCACUUCCUUCUUUGAGCAUUUAAGAUGGAGAUAAUCGCUCUUUUCUGUGAUUUGAUCUUGCCGUUAAGAAGGACGCUAAAGAAGAGUCAAACUAUCCCUCUUCGGGACCAGAAGGAAACCGCAGCUCGUUGCGCAUUAGCUUCAAACAUGGAAUCUCAGGCACGGCAUAAUUCUCCAUGACUGCGUCUAUACACUCACUGCUUAGCGUAAGUAGGGUAGCUUACUUUAUACUUUAGGUCCAUAAGAGAUUGAGAUUCAGUCCCAUACGUCUCUUAUGGUGCCCGAUCCGAUACAGCAAGUUCUAGUGAAAGAGCUCCUCCGUCCACGAGUAGAUCCUUUCUCCUAUGAAAUAAGCACAGUACAGCGAAAUAAGCACAGUACAACCACUAUUUUCGCCCGGGGACUCGACCGAUAUACUCUAAUCUUUGCUUCGCAACCUUAUUAUUUUGUAUAUAAUUUGAUCUUCCUUAUUAUUUUGUAUCUUUUGCUUCGCAACCUUAUUAUUUUGUAUAUCUUUGGGUGCUCAGUGUUCAAGAGGUUUCGGAUAAAAGACGAAGGUUGUCUCUCUCUUUGGAUUCGAAUCUUCAUUCUUUUCAUUUUCUGACGGAAGGGAUUUCCACUUAUACUGGAACGAGAAGAGAAAACACACUUUUGAGAACGAAACGACGACUUUGAAGAAUUGCCCACUGCCCCGCCACACCUAAGCUGUCUUUCCCGGCUUCUAACUCUUCCACGACUCACUCUAAAACCAACACUACUGCCCGGCAUUCCUUUAAUGGAGUUUUGGUCUCCUCCACCCUCCUACUGUCUGUGUCAUUACCUUUAAGUCUCCGAACUCUGCUUUUCACUCUUCAAUUGCUUGUUGCGAGUCCACCUCCCCUUGUAGAAAAUCCUUAUUGAACCUAUCAGCCCUUAUUUGUUAUUGAAAUAAAUAUGCCGAGAGUUCGAGUCCACUAAUUGCUUCUUUCCCCUUGAGCCCUCUACGUGCUUCUUUCACUUUGGCAACCCUAACUGUAUACUUUACCUCAGCAGUUGAUUCUACAGUUACUAGAUACUUCACUCGCAUAGCAUCUUUUCCCUCGUUGAGAAAACUGGAACUUAACCUUUAGCAAUAGAAUUCGCCCUAAAUCCCACUCCUACCUUUUAGUAUUACUUGCGAAACCCCCGCUCCUGUCUUAGCUUUCUUUGACUCUGAAACUAGUAUAUAGAAGACUGGACCACUGCCUAGGCCAACAGGAAUAUCACACGACAACUAGGGCAGGGCACUGAACUACGCCUUUGAUUCACCAAGCUACUACUAUUCUCAGAAAAGAAGCGAACUUCCUUUCCUCUUAUAAACAAGUCCUGUCUUCGUAGAUGUUUUCACCGGGAAAGUUUUGGGUUAGAGGAGGGUUCGCAGAAUAGCUAUCAACGGCUGAGGAAGCAGUCUUCGGUUUUUCCCCAAAAGGCUAGGCGAGUGAAUAGAGAAAUCCAAGAAAGACUCAACUAACUACCGAAAUGGCUUCUUUACUAGAAAGAAUUACUGCCGCCUUAAUGAGCCUUAGUAAGGCCGACAAAAGAAUCACUCUCCAGAAAAAGAGAAUUCAGGCUCUUUUGAAAAAGGCAGAAGAGGAAGAAGAUGAUCACAUAAAUAAUGGAUAGUCAGUAGCUUGCUCAUGGGUUAAUGGAUAGUCAGUAGCUUGCUCAUGAGUCACUCCCUCCCUCUUAGUUUUAGCAUAAAGGUGGAAAGAAAGAGAGUACUCUCCAUCCCAUCUCAGUUGGAAAGUGGAAUACCUUUGCUACGAAAGUUGGCUAUGAUUCCCACAGAGAAAGAAACAAUCUGCAGCCUUACAUAGCUUUUGGCGAACCACAACUCGUGCUUUAAGCUUAUCCCUUCCCCCUUCUAUCUCUACCCGAGCGAGGGAGAGUCCCCGUUUCUGGUCUUGCUUGUGCCUGUUGCAGCUCUUGGUCUUCCCAUUUACUUCCGCCGAAUACGAGAGGUAAAAAGCAAGUUAAUCCAUUAGCCACCUCCCUUCCUUCGGCUCCUCUUUAGAUCGUGGACUAGGGCUUAUUAAGGGAAGCACUUCGUUCCACUCGUUCCGGGCUUAUUAAGGGAAGCACUUCGUUCCACUCGUUCUAGACAUACUCUAAACUCCUAACAAGAGAAAGAAGGAAAACAGGGAGUAAACAAGAGCUACAACAACUAUAGUGUCAAGGCCAGAAGGAAGGAGACAAGGGGAGUUUCUUUUUCGAAAAUCCCUAAACUUAUCCGCUUAUCGGCAAGAGCAGGGACCUACAGAAAGAGACAGGACAGCAAACUAAUUGGCACGAGUCAUAUCUAUUCUUUGCUCAUUAAGUCUACGAAGCGAGCUGGGGAGAGAGCGACCUCUUCAACUCAACAACUAGAAACUCUAUCUGUCAAAAAGUACAAGUCAGAAAGAAAAUCCACUAUUAAUACAAUAAGGGAGUCAGACUCAAGUAUACGCUAUUUCUUGCGUUGUUAGGCGCGGGUAAGAGACAGUGAGUGUGAUCAAGACUGUUCAAUAAAGUGCUUUGCUCAUAGGAUAUAUCAAACAGUGCGUGCCCUUUUUUUCUCUGUGCCCUGUAAUGAAAUAGGAAGAGCGAGAUGUUUCCUAUCCAUGACCUCAGGAAUAAGGGUCCUGUCCCAUGGUAGCGAAGGAGAACACCCAUCUUAGUAAAGCUAGGAGCGGUUACUAUGAGGCUAAAGCUUCGAAGCGAGCCUAUCAAAGAAACUUCUUGCAUCCCGUAUUCUAGGUAGAGGUACCAUCGGAAUCGGGACAACAUUCCAAUCGGCAAUUGGCCACGUAAUGAAUUAGAAUAGGUCAAAUUGCUUAUAGAAAGGGAUUAAUCCACUUGUACUCUAGCUGGUAUGACGAAGUGAAGGGACUUUUCUUGUACUCUAGCUGGUAUGACGAAGUGAAGGGACUUAUCCUAAGAGAGGCUCGAACGUAGCCCAUGAAGUUGGUGAUUAAUGAACCUUGCUUUUGUUGUUUAGUUCAAAGAUCGGGGGUUGGGUUGCUAUCAAGGAAACGAAUCUGGACUUCUGACUUCCUAGUUCCACUCCAGUAAGCACGAUGUAGCGAAGGGACGAAACAAGAAAUAGGGCUCUUAUCUCUAGCUCUUUCCUUGGGUUGUAUAAAAGGGGAAAGCAAGACGGCUAUGCAGUUCAAAUAGGACUUCUUUCCCUACCGGCGAUGAUGGAUAUUUUCUUUCACAGUUCCACUCCGGGACUGCUUUCCUUUCCUGCAUUACCGGAUUGAUUGCUUUUCUUCCCAUUCCUCCAGCUGCAACAUAAGAGGGAACAGCCUAUUCUUUAAGUCGAUCUGGUCUAGAAAAAGCCUUUCGAUCCAAUUCUCCCCUCUCUGUCGAAGUCAAGCGAGAAACCUAUCCUACUGCCCAUGGGGAAUAUCAAUAUUAGGCUAGGCGACUACUAAUACUGGUUUUGUUGAGUGAAACGACUGCUUGGUCGAGCGUCUGCAAUCCUAUCCUUUCCUAAGAGUUCCUUCGUUGAUAUCCUUUCCUAAGAGUUCCUUCGUUGAUAUCCUUUCCGUCGCUUCAUUCCUAUGGCUUACUCGCUCGAUAUCUUCGUUCCUAUAGCUAACGCUAUCGUCGCUCUAACUAAUGGAUUUUUGAGUGAAUAGGGCCUUCGUACUCUUACUUCGAAACUAUUGAUGAUAAAUCCUUGUCCCUUAGGUUAUUCGAUGGGAGUUUACGGCGUGAUAGAUCGUCAUCAUCCGCUCCACCAAAGGCUACUAGUUGAUUACGCAGAGCUUUUUGACUGCCCUGACCGUCCAUAAGUAAGAUAAGAAAUCCAACCAUAGUAAUGCCCAUAAAUGAUAGACCAAAAGGAAUGAGAAAAUGACUUGUAAGGAGUGACUUGAGAAUUGGUAAUUCGACUUGAUAAUGGAGUAGUUAGUUCGGGAGAUGAUACCUUUGAUAUUGUUGGACCCUCCUAAGAGCUUAAGGAAAUAAAGCCUAUAGGAGUAGUUCAAAACGAAAGGAUAAGUUAUUUUGGUUGUUGACUACAUGGGAAAUGGUUCUUUUUCAUUAAAAGACAGCGCGCACUUUGAGAAGCACAAGACCAUGGAGUCCCCGAAACGGCUAUUGCCUUUAUUUAUUACGCCUUGGUCAAGCAAGUAUGAGGCGAGAAAGAUCAAGAGUGGAGAUGUGAGAAAAGCAUAACUUCUAAAUGCAACCUUCUCAUUCGAACACAAGACUCGUUUAUCACUCUUCCCUUGAGAAAUUGACCUCAAUCGUAGGCAAGGGGAUACCCACACCUUUACCUUUCCUUCCAGCAUCUAGGAAUAAGUCCCUUACUUUUCCCCUCAAACAAAGCCUAUUCUCGAGAAAAUAUGUAUUAUAAAUCCAAUAUGUCUUUAUUAGAAAUCCAAUAUUUCUUUGAAUCGUGAGAAGGAUUUUAUGCUUAGCGUUGACUAGCUUUGACCGGGGCUUACUAAUGGUAAAUAAAGUGAAACUCCUGCUUGCUUUACUCGGAAGAAAUGCCCUAACCUUACUCAAUCAUGCUACUUGAAUGAAAGACGGGAAAAUAGCCGGCUUCCGAUAUGCCCAAAUACAAUCCAAAGAGAAAGGCUAAUAGCCCGUGAAACAUCUGAUUCUAUAAGAAUGCUAUUUAUGUCAGCGGCGUAGACAGGAGUUGUUACUUUCUCUUCCACUAUAGCUAACUGGGGAUUCAAGGCAUAGUCAAAGAAUGGAGCUAGUGAUAAACAGGCUAACUACCCUUGGACUUUCAAGCUCAAACUCAUGCUUUAGAGGCUUCCCUUCUUUAUUGAUUCUUUCACUACUGCCAGCAGCUGACGCUGACCUUGCUUUACCGCCCUUAACCUUUGCUUGUUUUUGUUCUUCCACCGUACCCCCCCGAUUGAAAGAGUUAAACCCAUGCUAAUAAGACUUACCUACUAUGAAAAUAACUAUCAAAAAAGAGCUUAAGCCAAGCAACUGCUAAACAAGCAACUCGGGAUUACACUCGGGUAGUAUUACCUCAGCAACAUGAGCAACAAGGCAUAUAAGGCUACUCAGUACCCUAAACCCUAAACUUCCCGUAGCCAAACUCAGUAGCCAGAGGUUGAGUCGGGGUUAACACUAGGUCAGAUGGCAAGGAAGGGUAUAGCUAAGCAUAUUCCUCAAUAAGAGCAAGAGGUGCGGGGGUACAUGCAAGGGAAAAGCGCGCAAAAGGCGGUACAUGGCUUUAGCUUCAGAUUCCAGGAUUCCUUACAUGGCUUUAGCUUCUUCUUACUGGAUUCCUAAUCAAUUCGAGUUCAUGGACACGCCUCCCAAAGCGAACGAUUGGAUUAUACCUAGUUCCAUUACCUAUUGUAUAUUAUACCUAGUUCCAUUACCUAUUGUAGUAUUAGUAAGAACAUUCCCUGAGCUCGUAUAGGCACAUGCUCCCGCUAACCCAUUAAGGAAAAAGAACACUUUCUAAAGCAUUGGGACUUACUCGCUUCUCCCCAUGAAUGAACACUGAUGGAAUCCAUCGAGAGGUCGGGUUCAACAACUUCGGAUGAUAUCUCAGCCAUAUCAAAGUAAAGAAACCUUUGAGAGUAUAGUAGUUGAAUGUGAGAAAGAGAGCCAUUUUGCGCUGAUCACGGCUGGUUCUACUAUAUGGAGGGCUCAGAUAAAGUGGAAGUGCUUUGCUUUGCUUUCCUUCACGCUGAGUGUGAACUGGAGAUUGAAGGCUGCUCGGAAGAUUGUUGAUGACAUCAAUCUGCUAGGCCCGUCUGUCGAAUCGUUUUUCAAUGCAUGCGAUCUUUCGAGUAGGAGUCGCUGGCACUGGCUUUCGAUUCCGUCCUGUCUUUUCUUUUCCGUUAAGUAUGAUCAGUCGUAGGGCUCCUUUUGCAGGAGUUUAGUUUCACGUCUGUCUCGUAGGAAAGAUCUUCUUCUAGUUUUUAGGUUAGUCAAAUCCGUUAAGCAUGGCAGUACAAGGCACUGAGUCCUUUUUCUAGCAGUCAUUGCGUAAUCGUAAGCAGCCCUUCCAGACAGCAAGUGAGAGUUUCCCGAGUGUAAGUAGGCAAAUAGUAAAGGUUCAGCUGCAGUGCCAGGCAUAACUCCCAAUACACAAUAAAACGAGUGCUUUUCUUUUGUAAGACUUAUGCUCGGUAGUUACAGAAUUUGACCCCCUGUAUCCGAGCCUGUAGUAGUAGAGAGGGGAGCUAGCACCAGUAAGUAGUCAAUAUAAGAAUCCAACCAGUCAAUCAAAGAAUCAGACUUAUUACGAGCUGAGAAGGAAUUUGAUGACCCAGGGGAUCUAUUAUGUUCGGUGGGAAGGUAAGCUUUGAAGGGAAUUGAUACGAAAAAGGGGUGCGAGAAUCAAUAGAAAGAAUGUCAAUACCAGAGGAUGUUGCCAAUCCGUGCGUGAUCGGAGAAGGUAGAAUUCGAAUAGAAUAGUGAAAGACUUAUUAAGUCUAUAAGAAGCAAAAGAAACAAACAGGGUGAGGGUGAAGAUUCGAUUCUCGGGCAAGGGUUGGGGAGCAGCAGGCAACCAGAAGAAACUGCUGGUAUGAAGAAACUGCUGGUAUAAAGGUGCAGAUUAAUAAUGAGCAGUUAGUCUUAUUAAAUGAGUUGAGUUGUUUCCUUACAUCAAAUGAAAAAGUUUUGGAUAUAUAUUAAUACAUACAGACUAAUAGUUUGGUUGUAGGAAGGAAGGACUCUUUCCUUAUUGAGGGAUAUUCUAAACAAAGGCAAGACAAGACCUCUUUAAAAGAAAUUGGCAAGUAGAGAUGAGUACAGCUACAGCCGCCCUAUUUUCGAAAGGUUGACUUUUAUUAACGAAUGGAUCUAUGUUUCAGUCUUUCCCUAAGGUAAUUACCGUCGUUGGGAGUUGUAGUUGGAGAGUAGGUAAGACGUUCAUCUCUAUUCCUUUUUCGUAUGCCUUUCUAAUGCCUUGGAUUCUGUCUGUCAUUCCUUUUGUAGGUAGGCCUUCAGACGUCCAUACGCUCGAAUGCAGUUCCUGUCAGUGAGAAAAAGGGGGCUUUGAAAGCGGAGUUGUUGUAGGUAUUCGAUUGGCGGUUUAUUCCUCCCUUAUCCUUGCUAGCCAGCCAGUCACAUUCCUUCUACAACAAAAGGGAGAAAGUGAGUUUUCGUAUCGGCAUUAGAAGGAAUGCAAGUAUAGUUUUGGGGAUAAGAAUCCGUAUCAAGGUAAUAAACAGAAGAAUUCGCCGGGUAUUUAUAGAAUCAUUAGCCAGGUAUUUAUGAUAGAUUUCUUAUAUUAUAUAAAGAAGUAACCAACCAGCGCGCCUCUUUUCUUCCAUUCCAUUAGUAUUGUUUGAAAUUCCAUUCUCUAUUUCCAGGGGCCAUUGGGUAAUAAAUAGUGGUACAAAGAUCGGGAGGAGGGUCUUCAUCGUCAUCAAGUAUAGUUCUAUAUUCCAGUCUCAUUCUAGAAUAAGGAUUGGAAGCCGAGGGUUAGGGUGAGGAAUCCGGAUCUUCUCCUGCACUGGUUGUAGUGCUUUAGCCGCCCGGUUACGCUCCUAGUAUAGUAGUAUUAGUUCGGAACUGCAAGUUGUGUUUGAGUUGAAUCUAUGAUUGAAUCAGAGGCGAAAGUUCGAGUUCAGGUUGCGUGCUUCGCUUUUUCCCUUGAUUUUAUUGUCGCACAAGAAAGAGAGAAUCCGCCGUGAAGCAGAAGUAGAGUUCACCUCGAGAAUUGUGGAAUUGUGACGUAACUUAGUUAGUAUAUCAAUCUGUCACUGGAGAGUACAGUACACACUCCUUUCCUUCGCUUUCAAGGGCGAGUAGAACUCCAUUCUUUGGACCACUAUCUGUAAUUCCUAACGCUGAAAACUAUACUACAGAUACAGAUAGAGCUGGGUAAGAGGAUGGAAAGUCUAGUUCUGGUAAAUAAUAUAGUACUUGCUCUGUAUUUGUUGAGUUCGCAAGUAAUGCAAGUAAUAGUCAUAUUAAUAUCUGGUAUUAUAGUGGUUAAGCGUAAGAUAUCUGGUAUUAUAGUGGUUAAGCGUAAGCAGAAGAGUUUAAAGGUAAGGGCCCUACUUAUGAUUAAUGCUCAUUGAGUAUAGAAAUGAAUUGGUAAUCAGAGUCAGUCCGUCUUGUUUCGGGAGUGAAAAGAGACUGUUCACCUUGGUUCAUUAUAAGUCUUAAUUGCGGAAUUGAUGUUUGAAUGCGAAGUUGAAGCCGAAGAGAAUCUAGCUCGAAUUGAAUGGCCACCUAGCGCUUUAGCAGUGCUUGUUAAGUCUACAACAGAAGAAUCCGUUCUUGUUAAGUCUACUUCUCGACUUGAUGAAUCGAUUACAGCUUGAAGUUCAGAAUGGGAAUAUUUCCUCUUAUCUUGCACUUAUUGCACAAGGUAGAGAAAUCUUAGUAAAGGCUAACAAAGUACUCUUCAUUCUCUAGGGCGAACAGCAGACUUUCCUUUCCGGACUUAACUAGCACAAAAAAAGAUAUUAUACACAAGGAGCUACAGCCUACUUCACUUCUCAGAUCCAGAUCUUUAUCAGAAACAGAAGAAUUCGCCGGAGGUCAUAUAGAGAAAAGUCACCAACCUAGUGGGCUUGUUUCUUCCCUUUAAGAAUGGAAUUACAGAAUGAAGAUACUUACGGCAACACCGCAUUUAGAGUGAAAGAAGAGAGUGAAAGAAGAGAGUGCCGCUCCAUAGACUAAAUCCUUUGUUGAAAAGGCGCACUAUAAUCAACGGAGCUACUUCCAUUCCUAUCUUAUACGUAGGCAAAAGAGAAAGAUUCCAUAAAAGGUGGUGGUUGACAAUAUAACUCACUGCCCCUAGUGUUCAUCUCCUCUUGCUACAGCCAAACAACAACUAAUGAACUCUCCUUAUUCUUACCUUAGAGUGAAUUUAAGACUUUCAAUUAAGAGCGCUAGGUUGGGUGCCAGCUUCCAUCUUCCCUGGAUAUUAAUGACUUAUCGGAGUAGUAGAAUGAGCUAGGUAUGAUAGUUCUAUUACUAUAUGAAGAGUCGCGGUAACUAUUAAUGACUCGGAAAGGUGAAAGUAUUGUUCCAGUCAUCAAGUCUAAAUUCGGGUGCCAGGUAGCUGGGUGUUAGAGAUGCAAAAGUCAGUAAUAGGCUCAUAAAGAAACAGGGAAAGUCGUUUAUACGAGAUCAUAAGCCAGAGCAGUAUCCAAUCAGUCAACUACAAUCGGUUCAACAAGUCCAGAGGAAUCAGUUAAAGUGCAGCUCCCGACCCGACCAGAGAGAGAAGAAAAGAAGCUUUUGCACUUGUAUAACACUUUGUAACUAGAGAGUACACUCCUUCUUCGCCCUACUAGUAAAGAAGAGAAUUGCCUGUUUAUUGUAUUUCUGCAGGAGUCGAAUAAAGAUCAUAAGCCUUAAGCCGAAGAUCAUGCCCACUACAAGGUUCAAAAGUAAGCGGGAAAGAAAUCAGUAGAUUUGGGGUCUGGUGCUUAUAUUCUUUACAAAGAGAGUCAGCACUAUAUUCUUCACAAAGAGAGUCAGCAAGGGAACUAAGUGCAUUAGCCUGCCUGGCGCACACACAAGGUGCUUCAAGCCUAUCUAGCGCACACUUGUUCGAAAUCAUUGAAUUGAAACACCUAUUACAGAUUCAUUUCAUUUAAGAAAAUCAUUGAACUUACAGACAUAUAGAAUUGAGUAAAGACACUGCUUCCCUUUCGCCAACACCAACACGAGACACUGAUUGAAUUCCGACAUUUGCAUUGAGAACAGAACUAGACUUGACAAGCACAGCUCAUUAUUGAGUAUAGUAGACUUUCCUUACACCCCCAGCAAGAGUAGAGUAUAGUAUACUUUCCUCUUUUGAUAUAGAAAACUUGACUCGUUACUAACAGCAACUCAGGUACUCAUAAUAUAUAAUAUACCUUGAACUAUUGAUGGCUGAACACAUAUAGCAAGUAGGCAAGCAACUCACUUGAAUAACGGACCUACUGGACACCCCUAAUAGAUUGAUUCGAUAGUGGAUUCGGCUUGUCUGCAAGUCUACUUUACGAGUGGAAUCCUUGUUGUCGAUUCCACAAUGUUUCUUGUCCAGAGCCCGAGUCAAUUAGUCAUUCUGAUCUUUUUGUCCCCUGACGCACAACCAACGUCUUCUCCUAUCAAGUGGAGCUAACUCCCUUAUUUGGAAGAUAUGGUUUCUCAUUAAAAGAAGAGGCCCUACGGGGUAGAGGCUAGGGAGGGAGGAAAAAGAAUCAAUAUCAAGAAGGAUUGAUUUUACAUAAAAUGAUGCUUUCGGAGGGGAGAGCGAUUUCUUAGGCAGGCGGUUAAAGAUUCACACCUACCUUUUUCACUCUACCCGACCCUCACUAACUCUCACUCUUUACUUUCAAACAGGACCUUAUAGUAAUUCGGCAGCAGACUUCAAUGGUAGUUUGCUUGGCGAAUCAAACACAAAAGUGAGAACUAAUCCACCAAUACACGAAUAUUUCUCCUAUGGAAUAAGGGCGGAGAGGCUACAUCAGAAUUUCCCUCUACAACCAGUAUAUUAGCAUAAGGCUAUGGACCAGUAUAUUAGCAUAAGGCUAUGGAUGAUAACUACGGAACCUCCAUGAAACUUUUACACCGAUGUGAAGCUGGCAACUGAAGCGCAUGGGAUAGAACCAAGGCCAGUGAAAGAAAGAAGAAGCUACUGCCCCGCCCCGACUAGUUAGAAGCAAAUACUAACUAACAAGACAGCCACAGCUGUUUUUGAAUAAGAAGAAACCCCAGCUUGAGCCCUAUUUUGAAUAAGAAGAAACCCCAGCUUUAGCCCUAAUUUCCCUAGAAAUAGAAUAAUGCCUUAUAAGAUGUAAAAUCAUAGGCGCAUCUAAUAAUAGGAAAAGAGUCAACCAAGCCUAACUCAACAGGGAGUCGAUCUUGAUACGCCCGCCCACCACUAUGCAAACUGACCUCACCAACUAUAACGAAAAUGAUACGUUUCCCCACCUUUGAGGUUUCCUCUCCUGGGACCUAAUCUGACUUUCCUAUAUAUCAUUCUCUACCUUAGAUUGCCGAGUUGCACCCUACCUACACCAACAAAGGACAAGCAGUACACGCCCUAUUCUAUGUCCCAGAGCAGACCAAGCCUCAUUGCCUCACCUUUCAAACUACCCAUCUUUGUUUUCGUCCUGUAACACUUCCUUUUUGAUCUAUCUACUCUUUUCACUAACCCAGUAUAUUAUACUGUAGCUACUAAUACCAUCAGGCUGUAGCUACUACUUUGAAUAAUGAAAGAAAACAGCCAACAGUACUAUGCCAACAAAACAGGAACUUCCAACUAGGGAUCCAAACUCUGGCACCAAGACUGCAGCUAACUACUAUUAGAGUCAAAUAAAGAAUAUAGAGGUAUGCUCCAGCGCCAUACAGGAAAGAAGCUCAAAUAAGUGCAAUCAGGAACCAACUCAGAACAAUAAGAGUAGAACUCUCGGUCUUGUAGCUCCUUGCUUUAAGUCUAGCGCUGCUUGCUAAACUCUAACUUCUCACUCUAGUCACGCAACUCCCUUAUCUAAGCCUGCCGCUACUGUAAUCAAUGCCUGGGAAGUCUAUUAAACUCUUUUAUAUCAUUCUAACUAUCCUAGUCCCAAGUCCUAUUCCCCUUGCUUUAACUCGCCAAAUCUGACUUUACUGCUUCUAGGACUCCCUACCAACAUGACUUUACUGCUUCUAGGACUGCAGUUCACCUAUUUCACUAUAACCUAUAUCCUGACUUUAGCUCUUCUGCUCCCCUCUUGGAAACUGUUCUUAUUCUUCUAGUUGUCCUGGCAUUCCUAUUAGUGUUGGCUUGGUUGGUUUACUUACAUUUCAUUAUUCUAAUCAAGAAGGUCGUGCAGCAAAGGUAGUGUCUCAUUCCCAUAGUCUUAGUUCGAAGUCUGAUCGGUGUUGUUGGCUCUAUUCCUAUGAUCGGUGUUUUUCUUCUUAUGGGAUCUACUGAUACUCUGCAUUCUAGCUGGUAUCUUUCGAAGAAACCUCAUUUAGCUAAUGAACUACCUAAGAAACUAGAAUCUAAUACCAUAUGAGAAAACAUAAGUAACCAGAAUAAUAGUCGCUGGUAGUGAAAAUAAUACCCCCAAAAGAGAGAAUGAAAGAAAGGACGGUAAGUCUAGAUCUCGAACCUAUAGGCAUUGAAGGCGGGAUCGGAAGGGGCUCAUACGAGAAUGAGAUAAAACAAGGGUAGACUAAGGGAAAGCAAGGGAAGCUAACAAAGCGCCCAGCAGAGGGAGACUCAAAGGCUGUAAAGACUGUUUAAGUGCGCCCCCAGGAUAAAGUCCUGUUUCUAUUGGGUUCAGCCCUCUUUGGUAGUAAUUUAGUACAUAAGUGGAAUAUAUCUAAUAAGGUAGUCAUCUUACUGCUCCACCUUAUUUGGAGGUUGAUUUAGGCUUUCACACCAACCAGAUUGGGAGUUUGAGACUUGAAUACCAGAUUGAGAAUUGACAAGCUACUACGCAACAAAUAACUGCUUGUGUAACGCAUUAAUGAAAUAAGUAAUAACCGCUGUAUAACGUGUUAAGGUUCAGAGCAAGUCCUUUAUUUUUCACCUAGGGAUAACACUACUUCUUCUCUAUCUUCUGAUCUAGUAUCUUCUUUUGAGUACUUUCAUCAAACUCCACCUCCCUUGAAACAAAUCAUUCUUCUUCUCAUUUAGGUAUCUUAGUAUUACGGAUUGAAUUCUGAAAUGCGCUAGACUAGAUCGUACCCUUGGCCUAUCUCCACUUUGAGUUCGGAAUGCCAUCAAGCUGCUUCUCUCGUCAAUGGAAUCCCUUGCUAUAUGGUAUAGAAUCAAGUAAAGCCGAACAGGAAUAAGCAACGAAUAAUAAGCUUAGUUGGGAGCUCAACUCAAGUAAGUAGUUCUGACUUCUCUCAUUAGAUAACAGCAUAAACGUGUUUUAUAACGUGUUAAGAACCAGUUGAUUACAAAGCAUUUCCACUCCUUGAGACUUGAUAUGGAUACCAAACAAACCUAGUGCUCCUUAUGUGGUCUACGCGGGCUAGUGUUCUAAGCGGUAUAAUACUCCUUCCUACAUUGGGUCCAAGCGGUCUAAAAGAAAAGUCAGGAUGCUAUAAGGACAUAAUCAGAAUAGACUAGGGCCUAACUCAGAAUUAAUGAAGUCAGGAUCCCCUGCCUAGGUGGGUAAGGCUAAUAAUCAGAAUAUAGCGAACGACUACUUUACUGCCUAUACCUAUAAGAACGAAACCCUAAAAGUGAGAAUCGGCUCUUAGACAGGGAAUUGAACCUCCGUGAACGAGACUUGAGUCGCUCCUAACAGGAAUGGAACUCGCCAUAGCAGGAAACCAACUACUCCACUUAUGGUAUUGGGUCCGGGAACUUGUUCUUUCACUAAUGACUUGCAUUUGAUUUACUUGUUUAUUGACUUUCGAACAGAGGAAUCAGACCUAGAUGGCCGUUUGCGAGCUACCUACAACUACAGUGAAAUAGUAUCCGCUUUAGAGCUAGGAAUAGAGGACCUAGGUUUAGGGUUUUACCUAAUAGGGAAUGCAAGAAAGCAGUUUAGCGCUACACAAACAAAACACUGUAUGUGCCAAACUCUGGAGCGGCCCUUUAGCGACCAAUUACUUAAGGGCACAUCCGAAGUAAUAACAAAUAAGAAAUCGUAUAUAUGUGGUUUCUUAUUGAAGUGGUCUUUUAGUGUCUUGGCCCAGUUGUGUUCUAGGCCUUGUCUUGUAGCUAUAGUAUGGUUGCGUAAGUCUUAGAACCAGUGUUUGAAAGCCUUAAAGGCACCAGUAUAAGCCUUAUCAGUAGUAGCACAGUUCAAUUCCUUCUUGUAAUAUAAAGAAAAAGUAUUUAAAUGCACAAUGCAGUGUUCUCUAGUUUGAAAGCGAAGAAGGGCGGGCUAACUGGUUCAAUAAGGAAUGGGUGUUCCAGGUGUAAGCCUAGAUCUCGAACUAGAGAAUCCAAUCAGUAGUUUAAGAUCCCGCAGUUACAUCCCUGAAAGCAGUAGGCUUGAAGCACCUAGUUGUGAGUUAAGAUCUUGUUUACAGUGUUUUACUUACUAGUUAGCUUAUUCGUUCUCAUCAGUAUAGGUCCAAUUCCUAUUAGCGCUAGUAGGGCUCCUAGUGGAUAUAUCAAUUAUUAUAUAGUUUUGAGGUAUUUCAAAUAAUAGAUAGGAAAGUCAGGCAUCAAGAUAGAAGUCAAAGAAUGGGAUAGAUGUAGCGCACCCAGGUAUAAGACUAUAGAGGGCAAUAGAGAAUUGACCAGUGCCUAAUAGGAUUGAAGUGGGGAGUCGUUCUGUAUGUAGUGCUACCGAUCCCGUAACUAAGUCCAUCUUUCCUAGUUAUCAAACGAAAACUCCCAUCUGUCGGCCUGUAACUCCUUCUGAAAUUACUGACCUAGUCUCUGUUGCUCCUUUAUCUUAGUCCGAGGCUCCUACCUUUCCCUUAAACGGAAAUCACUCAAAGGCAAGAUAGGUAGGUGGAAAGCAAGGUGCUGAGAGCCUACGAGAGACAGUAGAGCUAUACAAAUGGGUGGGAAGGGUAGGCUCAAACUAGAACAUAGUCGUGUCAGGUAGUAGUGACAGAGUGAGGGUCGAGCUAAAGAGUGAAAGUCAAAGGAAACAGGCUCACGGGUUAGCGCAAAGAAUCAAAGGUAUAAUAGGUAUGGGAACUUCGAGUAAAUAGCCUAUAACUAAAUGCAGGCGAGUAGGGGCAGACCGAUCGACAGGGUAGUGAAAAGAAAAAACACUAGUGAAAGACUUAAGUCAAGGCAGGACAGGGCUGCUUUGAAGUAAAGCUCCCGGCUUGGUUUUGGAUUCUGUAUUUUGAGUGUAGAGCGCAUGAGAGGUUGCCUUAUUCUAAUGAAUUCCAGAUAUCCAGUUGAAAGUAGUAGAACCAAACCAACAGAGUGACAUUAUUUCCACAUGGGAGCACAAUUCUUAUGGGUUUACCAUAUAUAAUGAAAUAGAGUUUUCAAGUGAGUGAAGUAAGACUAAUAUAUAUAGACAGGAGCUAAAGGUAGCUUUGAAGUCAGUAGUUAGUUUAGGUUCUGUUUGCCACUAGUUCCGUUAUGGGAAGAGCGACUAGGUGAAGUCUGCUACUACCAAGUUUGAUUCCGUUGAAAGCUAGUUUCGUAGCAGAUUGUUCUAUUUGCUAUUCCAAAUCCCGGGGUUUGUCAACCGGGUGGAAUUCCUACUUUUUCGUUUGAUCCCUGGGGUAAGGCAAGGCUACAUUCUUUGACUGCUGUCUUUCAUCCUUUCUAGUUCUACUGAUAUAACUAGGUUAGCUAGGCGAGAAACAAGAUAAGGCUUUGGCUGCUGUCCUUAAUUCUUUCUAUUAAAACAAAUAACUAGGUUUGUUAGGCGCUGCAGAGAACUAGUUGUGCGUCAGCUCCAAGCACUACUUACUUAACUCACUCUUAUACCUUACCUUGGCAUUCUGAUGUUGUAGCUUCCAUGCUAGCUGGAGUAUUCCCGGACUUACUUGAAAACAGCUAUUCCUUCUCGGGCAUACAGGAUAUGGUUAGUGAGUAUCGGCUUUGAACUAGUCAUAAUCAAAAUCACCCCCUAGGAAUAGAGAAUAUAGGUACUGUCCUGUCCUAUAAGACCUUAGCUACUUACUUCAAUACCGUAUCUUAUAAGAAUUCACUCAGCUACCAAAGGUCAAAACACAGCAAUAGAAGAAUCCAAGUAGAAACUGGCAAUCGAACACUGCCUAACAGACUAAAAGAAGAAGAGGAGGGGCCAAGCAACUGUUGCAUAUGACCAAUCUUCUGCAUAACUGGAUUAAUGCGGGGUUUGCUUUAAGUGAUAGAGUAUAGUUAGUCUGAAAUAAAUCAUAUAGAGAUAUAAAGAAAUAAAUCAUAUAGAGAUAUAAAAAACAAAAACGAUUGAAAAACGUAAGGCUGCUCGUCUGCCCAGACUUCCUCGGUAUGUAUUCUUUUGGGGCUCCCCGAGAAGUAAAGCACUGUAGAGCUCACAGCCCCCCCAUUAAUUUGGAAGAUAACAUCCUAACUGACUUUUUGUGAGACUCCCUCUGAGGAAUCACUGCUUGUGGUGGCGGUUACCCACUCUGAGGGCUGCCAUCUCUCACAUUCCUGCGUAUAUGAGACACUUAUGGAGUUAGACACUCCGAAACCACUAAUAUAGGCUUGAAGUGGCCAUGAAGCAUAAUAUGACACCUCCGCUUCCUGCAGAUUUCUCAUAUGAUUUACAGCUUGAUUCGUACCUAUAUGUUCCCAGUGAUGGGAGGUCUCGAAGUGCUUUUGCUGAAGCACUCCUAUAGUGAAGGGACGGUGCAGCUUAGCAAAGGUAUUGAACUGUUCCCAACGCACCUGUUGAUCCCUUAUACUUUCUAUGAGAUUUUUGGAUUGGGGCUUCAAGGGUAAAAAAACCAAAUGUAGGAAGAAGUAUUUCUCUUUCCAUUCAUCUAUGGUAUAUUCUGCAGGCUUUCAGCUCCUUGCUUUUAGGUAGUCGGAAAUUCUGUCUUGUAAGUGGCUUUCUCUGUCUUUUUGAAUACGCAUAUCCUCGAAUACAGACCGUACGGAGUUGUAGGAGGAUAGAAUGGUUUUUGAAACCCCGGGAUCCUCAUAUACCCGAUACCACUCAUCAAAGCUCUUCAGCUUACUUAUGAUUACUUGGCUUCUGCGGGGCAACCGCUUAUGGGACUCUUGUGCUUUUACAGUCUCCCGUAUUUUACUUAGAGUUUGGCUACCCCAAAUAUAUAGAUCCUUAUCCUCUUUGAGCAGGUAUUUACAAAUAGAGGUCCAUGCCUUGUAGAAGGAGAGGUUUCACUGGGCCCCUUCAAACAAAGGGAGGAUUUAUAUAAAGAGGCGGGGGGCACCUUUUCAAAUAGGCCUCUCUCAAGUAAAAGACCUAUAUGAAAGUGAUUACCCUCUUGUUGAUGCUGCUCCCUCGCUACAGCUAUGGUAAUACAAUCGUGGAUUUUUGCACUUCUGCGCUCUACAAUUUCUGCUUUAUCUAUGGAUGCUCUUAGCUCAUUAGCGUCUGCUCGGGCUAGAGUCAAUAAAAUCUAUUUCCUCAAGUUUCGAUUAUUGAUAAAGAAGGUAUUUUCUUUAUUCAUCGUACUUCAGCUACUCUUGUAUGCUGGUGAUACCACGGAUUUGACCCUCUAAAAAGAGAGUUCCUCGUUGCUUCGGACUAGUUGCUACUUAGUUUCAUUCUGACUUGACUACUUUCGAGGAUAGGUCUGCAAGGGAAUAAGUAGUUGCCAGAGGUGGAUUAGCGGUCAUAAACCGGUGAAGGGCUGAUUCAAGUUCCAUUACUGUAGUUGGCGCAAGUGAGGGAGCUGAUCUUACAGAGAGAGCUGAUCUUAUAGAUGAAACAAUAACUUCCUUUGAGACUUGAACUGAAACUCUAGCCACUGAGUCUGUGCCUGAACUGUCUUCUGGAACUGGAACUGGUGAAGAUCUUUCUGCCCUUGCCCGAGUUUCAUCUUUCUCGACUACUAAGGUAAAUCACCUCUCUUCUUUAUAGAAUGGAAAAGAGUUGGAGUUGAAUUCUUUGGCUACUUAGGCAUUUCUGACUUUGCCUACUCAGCGCAAUUCUAAUUCAGAUAUCGGAUGCGUAGGAUUUGGUCAUAUAAGUAAUUAAGUAAAGGGAAUAAACUGGAGCUUAUGGAACUCCGGCACAGGAACUGAAAGAGAAAGGUGCAAUUCAAACGGAAACUCUCGGGUGUUUGACUGAAAAGGUUAGACAACUUAUUUCGGUUCAUAAAGUGGAGACUCUGUAUCAGGAGUUUUCUCUUUAUCUGAAGCUUAUUAAUUGCCUGUUCGAGUGUUGUGUCUACUUGCAGUGCUAUCAUUUACUCAAUCAGAAGCGGGAGAGUUAGUGACCUAUUCUAUCUCAAGGGUAAGUGACCUAUUCUAUCUGCGGUAAGAGAGUGAAUUUGUAAAGAGGAAAUUCGAAACUAGAUGCUUAGGAGUAAAAGAGUCAUGUAUUUGUACUAGUAGAUGUAGUGGAGUGGUAGGUUGAAAGCCCAGAGCUAAGUAGUGAAGUGGAAUUUGUUUCAUCCCGGUAGUGGUAGUGACUUCUAGUAGUAGUAGUACAGCUCCAGUUCCGGUAUUUUAGUUACAUGCCUAUAAGGGAAGCAGUGUUGAGUAUAGACCCACCAGGUAAUAGUGGGUUCCAUACGAUCUCGGUGUUGCGGGUAAUAAAGUGUAGAGUCUAGAGUGAGUGGUUCAUAAAGUGUAGUUCUAGCAUUGUCUGCGGGAGAGAAAGAAUCAACGAGUAAAGGCUAGGCUUUGAGGCCAGAUCUACUUCAUAUGAGUAUCUUUGCUUUGUGUUCGAGGUGAAGAGUAGAGAUCUUAUCCUUCUGAAAGAAUGCCCACUACAUACUUAAGCUGUGCGAGGAGAGGUCGACAAGAGAAUCAUAAGGAUCAGAAGACACAUAAGGAUCAGUGCCAAAGUAAGCUGCUGUGAGAGUUUCAUCCUAUAGAUAAUCAGAGGUUAUAACACUUAGCGAGUUUCAACCUGCAGUUUCAAGUAGAGUCCGUUCGGUAAAAGAACCUGAUCGGGAAGAUUAUAGUCAAAAUGCACCAUCAGAGCGGGGAGGGUACCUUAAUGUACAAAUUGCCAUAAUCAAAGUUUCCAGAGGUUCAAACUUAGCAAAAAAGGCGUAUACUUAAGUCUCUGUAAGGGAGUUAUCGGAUAGCCCACGUAACCAUAUCUUCUAGCUUCUUAUUCUUAUGAUUCUGCGCCAAGAUCCUCCGUUUCUGCCUUCCAAUCUUUUCUUUUCCUGGUGGACUCUAAGCUCUCAAUGUGGCCUGGAAUGCUGGGUUAAGGUCAGAAUAUAUUCCUUCUUCCGCUUCAGUAUCAGGUAAAGAAGAAACCUUAUCUUGUAGCUUCUCUAGCUUCCUCCCCUGCUCUAAGGAAUUCAGAAUGCAAGGGAGUUGACCCUAGCCUAGACGAAACUACCGCUAUCGCUAUAAUUACUAGCUCUCGCUGCCAAUGACAUGAUAACCUCUCCGCUAAUAACCUCUUAUCUUGGAUACUUUCCCGAUUCUUUACCUGCAGAAGAUCUGUCCACUUAUGAUUCUGGAACAAUACUUUCAUCUGAUCAAUCCUAUUAUGAUGAUUACCUACCCGGGUUCUAUACACCACUGUUAACAAGGCUAUAGUUCGAAACCGGUAAUCCAACUACUACUACCGGCCUCAAAGCUGCCCUGCCUAGCUUUGAAACUAAAACCUAUACUUAUGGGGAUGGAAUCACUACUAACAGGACUUCCUUUAGUGUCAACAAUACUGUUACUACUAACUGGGAAUACAAAUACUACAAAAAAGGUCUGUGCCAUCGGCAGCUAAAGCAGCCCUUGCUUCCUGCCCUGUUACUACUCGAUCUCGGGCUAACUACCUUGACUUUUAGGCUGACUUCUUUACUUAAUUCCUCUCAUUAAUAGCUUCACUCUUUUCCUUGCUUUCCAACUUCAAAUACCCAUGAGCAAUUGCUAACCUGUCCUGCCCUUCUUUCACUCUUACACUGCUUUAUCUAAUUCUGACUAACUAAUGCACAACGACGACUACUCUAACUUAUGUAAUAUGCACUAUAUUAUUCAUAAGCUGUGAUUUCUGACUAAAUGACUUCUAUCAUAUAUGCACAUACGAGCUACAAUACUAAUAUGAAAAGGGGAAUGGAACACCCCACACCUAGAUUGAACUAGCGCUUUUGAUUCUGCAACCACUAUAUGGCAUCCCUACUAUCUUAUCCAUUAGUCUGCCCUGGCUUACUUUCAUUAUUUCACUGAUGGCCUAGAACCCUGCCCCCUACCCUUAGCCUCACACGACUCGCUUUUAGUAGUCAACUCCCUUCUCUCACCCUUACUCCUAUUGUCUCCAUGCCUAUAUGAGAGUGCUAGUCCGCUACUCCUCUCUUAAGGAAUCCCAUUAAUUAGUAUAAGAAUGUGAAGCGUAACUCCACUCUAAAGAAGUCAACUAACUAGUAUGAUAUUGAUUUCUAGUUAUUAUCGAGUAAUGUACUUGGUGGUUAUUGGUAGUUAUUCCCGAGUUCUGUAUUUGACAAACACAACAGCCCUAUUCUCUGUAGUUCGAGAGAUGAUCUGGCUUAGACUCCACCAAGCUACUACCAUACCACUCCACAGCUAACUUUAAUCAGACUAAAACCUACGAGCGGCGAGCAGGACAAUCAGUAUAGCUUUUCGAAAGAGAAAGAGAGUAGCCAUGUAGAAUAUGAUCCAAUCCACUAAUAUAAUGGAAAUGAUCUAAUCCAAUCCACUAAUAUAAUGGAAAUGAUCUAAUAUAAUGGAAUAUGUAGUCAUCCACUAAACUCCCUUCUCUCAUGAUUAUUGAAUAGCAUUUAAUAGCGUGCCGACAUUCUUGUGGGUAGCUUGCUUCGGGGGUUAUAUAGUGACCGGGUACCUGUACUAACAAUCCAAAUUCGAUUCCUUAUUUCUGUGCCUCUCUCAACCGACCCCAAGCAUGAAAGGCGAUUCUGAAAGUGUAGUUAUCAAGGCAGCAGUUAUUGGAGUCAAAGAAGAAAGUAGUGAGUCAGCAGAACUAGCAUCGGUCAUAAUUCUUGUAGCGGAUCAGGUGCAGGCCAUUCUUCUGCUUUGAUUUACACCGCUCCUCACUUUCGAACAGAGCUUGCUGGUUCCCUUGCGAGUUAAGAAAGUCUUUGCUUGUUACACCCCUAACUCCUACGCUCUGAACUUGCAGACCCAAUUGCAGACCCAAUUGCAGCCCAACACGGCUCCGCUCCUGAGCAUGAUAAAAGAGAUGAGGCUGAAACGGAAAGUCAAACAGUCAAAUAAACACGGACUGGUUUCGCAACUCGAUCUCGAAAGUAAUAAAUUCACAGCUAGAUGAGACUCAAACUCCCGGCUUUCUACCUUAACUACAGGCUAUCAAACAUAGAGACUUCUAUAUGCAUUCCUUACAGGUUAAAGGGGCUCCUAAACUUUAGACGAGACCUUCGAGCACAACUACAGUCGGACCUGCGCUCAGUCAACUAAUACUCACUUUACGGACGUUGCUUCAUUUCCCUUACCGCUCUGCUCCGGGGCGUGGGCAUUCAACAGAGAUUCGACUUCGGCUUCUUUCGGGAGCUCAACUAAGUAUGUAUAUAGUAACAGUAUGAGUCUAAGAAUCGGAAUAGUAUAAGAAUAAUAGAAUCGGAAUAAUAUAAGAAUAAUAGAAUCGGAAUAGUAUAAGAAUAAGAGGUAAAGGUAUGGAAUUGGAAUUAGGCCCUUAUAAUAAUUGCUAGCGGAUUCUAAUAAGUUGGAGUUGCGCCUUUAUUAGUACAGGUCACACUAUCCUCGGAGGAAAUCAUCUGGCUUAUUUAAAGAAAGCGGUUUUCGAAUUUGAUAACUGAAGUGCGGGGGCCUGCUUAUGCAGAUCUCUCUGUGGUCGGGAAUGCUAUCUUAAUCGAGGUGCCAGUCAGGAAUGAAUGCUCUCUCGGAAGUAGAAGAGCACUUUUCUUAAGAGGCUAGGCUUAGUUUGGUUGCUGUUCACUUAUGGACGGCUCCUAAACAUGCUUGCUGUUCUUUUAUUCUCCCUGACUCGGAAUCAAUUGCCUUGAUUACCAAAGCUUUUUAUGCUUUGACACCCACUUCCUUUCUUUCUCCCCUAAUAUAAUAUGCCUAUGUUUUCUUUUUGACGAAGCUUCAAGCCAGAUCAGCUCCUAUCUGGAUUUCAUAAUACCCCGUGCUGCCCAAUCACGCUGUAUAUCUUAGCUCGAAUCGAUCUCAUUCUAUAGAGGACCUACUUUAUAUCUUAGCUCGAAUCGAUCGAUCUCAUUCUAUAGAGGACCCAUCCUUACACGGAUAGGAAAGAAACCACCCCAAUGCUUUAAAUGUUAUUUGGCCUUACUGAACUGUAGGAACGGCAAAGAGCAAUUCUUUCUAUAAUUGAUAUCGGGCCUUCAUCCGUUUGAAGCAAGACGCCAAAUCCUUCAUAGUUCUUAGCACGACAUGCCACUGUCUAAAUGAGGUAAACUCUUCCAGAGGUUCGUUUUCUCGAGCCAACCUCGGCUUAUCUCAGUGAAAAAAGAAAAGCUUCCCCCACAGAUAUGACGAUGCUAUCAAUUUGAUAUUGAUAGAAUAGAAUCGUUGUCCAAAAUUCGUCCAGUUAUGGUCUUUCCAAUUCCAAUGCAAGCCCAUCUCACCUGCUAUAGCAUUAUAGGUAAAAGAGAAUAAGUACGGCUCCUAGCGCUUUCAUCGUGGAACCGAGAUUGAUUCGAUAAAGAAAGACCAGUGGUUCCCCAGACUCUCAAUUAAGAAUUCACAUCCGGGGGGAAAAAGCGCCUUCUAAACCCGUGGUAGAGGUGGAGCUCACAUAUAGUCUGAUUCUCAAACCUAUGAUGGAUAGGUUUUACUAGUAUCCAGUCCAACUUGCUUGUAUUAAGCAUAACGCUCUCUCUUCUUCUACUCUAAAGAUGGAUCUUUUCUCUUGUUUAAGAAGUGACGUUUGCUCCUAUCGUAGAUAAGAUAAGAGUUAAGGAAUUGAUAUAGCUGAAUCCAAUCCCCUAGCUAGGUUUGAGUUUGAAAGAAGAACUUCAAUUUGAGAGAAAAUCUGGCAAUAGCUCUAGGGCAGGUUCGUCCUUUAGCUUACGUCAAGCAUUUCCCAUCCUAAUACCACUUGUCACCUUACUACCGACCCCCUAGUAUGAUUUUUCUGAGGAUAGGUUCAAUUUGGCAAUUUCGUUCUUGCUCGCCUGAUAGUAAGUGGUUAAAUGGCUGUGGCAUGAAUAAGUUGGCCUUGAUUGCUAGGUUUUCCGCUCGUGCUUUGAUAACGUUAAAAGGUAUGCUGCGGGUAAAAUCCAUGUUCAAAGGAAGCAGAUGGGUAAUAUAGCUAAGUUAAGCUACGUUGUCAUCAGUCUAAGGGGAGGCAAGCGAAGGUGAGAUGGAAUAUAGAAGGGCCUGUCGAGGCAGAUAUGAGAUCUCUGGCCUGUCCCAGGAAAGUAGGUUAUUGCCUGUAGUGAUUACUGUCCUCAAGGUCUAAUCCAUGGUGAAUACGUAAUUCGAUCUCCGGGAAGGAAAGAAGGAUCCUUGCCUACUAUAGAAGCUAAGGUAUGAGUUAAAGCAAGAAGGCAUAGCUAUAGGUUAAAAGAAUACCGAAUUGAUGAAGCCAGCCGAAAGAACUCUAUUAUUAAGGGAAGUAAAGGAGAGGCCCUUAUAGUAAGUUGCGGAGUCCUGUGAUAGGAUCCUUAAAGUAGUGGUCCAAAGAGAGUCAAAUGGACGGAAACCCUCCACAGGAAAAAAAGGGAAACAAAGCUUGCACUCUCCGGGCAAGGAAAUCUGAUCAUAGCUAUAUGUAACUGACCUCAACACGACAUUUGGCAGGCAAGACUAUACGCGAAUCAACUUUCGAAGGGAAGGAAGGAAUACUGGUGGUCUCGUCUCGGUCAAAGAAAUGCGAUCAUCGCGCCCUUGACUCAUCUUCUCCGGGCAGCGGAUACUUCAAAUAGUGUGAAAGAGGUGGGUAAGCAGGCAUUGAUAGGAUAUGAUAGUCCUUUAUGAGCCAGUCGAUGGUUAACGAACCGGGUAAUCUAGUCCGCAUUUCUAGCAUAGAAGAUGGCUCUCGUCCUUGUCUUUGAGAAGAGAACUUGUUUAAAAAGACACUCAUUCGAAAAGAACAGAACUUCACUUGUCUUUGAGAGGAGAAGGAUCAACUUGAGAGAAAGCUCCAUAUCUAACUAUUGUGGAAAGUCGAUAAAGUAUAAAGUAAGGUUUUGUAAAGCGACGAAGAGCUGAUCUGUACUUUGAGUAUCGUUAAGAAGUCUCUGUCCAUGUCAGGAUCAGGAGCAAUCUAUCGAAGUGAAAAGACAAGAGGUGAAAAGAAAACAGCACGGAAUAAGUCUCGGAAAAGCAUUCCCUACUCUCAAAAGUCAAGAUGAAGCGACAGAACAAGCUGAAAACUGUUAACCUAAGCGCUUACGUGAGUUCCAGAAACAAGCAACAGCAAAGUAGAAACUUCUUAAUUACAAGAUUAUGUCCGUUUUGAAAGAAGCUGCUAACGUAAGUAAUAGGUUUCGAGUGGAAAUAGAGUCAUCGGGAGUAGUUAAUCGCUACCUUGUUGCAAAUGGUAGGUAAGUACGAACCACUUGUUUAGUAUACGCUUGUGUAGUUUCCUCGGCGCAUUAGGAAGUUGUAAAAGUGAACUACGGGGUCUCUUUUCUAGCUUAAAGAGAGUAAGGCAAGUAAUAUAGUAAAGGGCUCUGGGGGUACGAGUAUUGUCUAGUGGUUACUUGGCGCCUGCUUGCCUGAUAGCCUACGUAGCUUGUCUUCUUGGUGGACUUAAUCAUAACUCUUACUAACUAAGUUAACGCGUUUUACAAAGCUUGUUUGUUUGCUUCUUUAUAAAGGAAUAGUGGUUGACUAUGUGGUGAUAUAAUUGAUUAACGGUUGAGCAUUGCCUAUGCAUCGCUUACCCGAAUUCAUCGUUAGUGAGCUGGCAGGUUAGGAAUAGCCAGUAAGUGGGACCAUUUGGAAGCAGUGCGAAAUAAAGGUGUUUGGGAAGCGGGAAUAUAAUAAAACAGUGGAUUUCCUACAAUUUCAAUUGAACAGAGCUUCAACUUAGAGAAAUCUGUCUUCUUACACUUCUAGCCUUUUGCUUCUUAUGGGCUUCAUAACCGAGUUAGUUGUGGUCCAAGUCUUGUAUGGGCUUCAUAACCGAGUUAGUUGUGGUCCAAGUCAAGUCCCUUUAUCAGUGAAUUCGUUUUUAAGCAAAAGAAAAGCCAAGAGCUGCUCUGUCUUUACCAACUUCAUUCUAUACCCCAUGUGCUUGAGAGUCCAGUUUCAAUUCAACAGGGCGCUGAAAGGAUUCAAUUAAUUCUUCUUAACUUCAAUACGAGGUCGGAAAGAUAUAAUCAACAGUUACAAGAGAAUCAGCUGUGUUGGCCGACUACACUCUGUUAGCGCAAGUAAGUCAAAGAUGCAAAUGCUAUUAAGUAUAGAAAAUGGGAAUAUUCACCCUCCUGAUAUACUCGGAGCAAGAUACAAGUCCAGGUCCAGGCCCAAAACAAGAGUACUCUGUCUAAGGGAGCAAGUUUAGGAAGAAUCAUCAGAAUCCAAUACUGGUUCUUGUGCCGCUGUAGCUACUUGUCGGCCUGUUCCAGUUCUAAGAUCAUCUGCAGGAGAAUAGCCAGAUUGUCUGUAUCUUUCUGUGAGAUAAGUCGGAUCUGGUAAGUAAGCGGGUAAAGAAUAAGUCAAGAGUGGAAUUAGAAGCGAGUCCUGUGUUCGUGAGCUUAAGUCUCCUUUCCUCAAUUCCUAUUAGAUAGGUAGGCGGGCGAGUUAGAUGAGAUGGAUGCGCCAGAGGUAUUCUAUAGGAGAGGAGCUAGAAAGAUGUUAGGCAGAAAUGACUUCUAAGGCCUGUUGAUUAGUUUCAUCAGUAGGUGUUGGCAGUUCAACAACAAGUCGAGGUCGAGGAAGACCUUUGCACCCGUUGCUUGUUCGUUAGUUGAUGGACUUGUUUCUUUCAAAUACAGAUAGAUUAUUAGCUAUUUCACCUUAUCCUUAUACGAUACGCGAACUCGCUUCCACUGGCAAACAACGUUAGUACAGAGGAUUUCAGACAGUUGCUCUACCCAGGACAGCUUCUUUCUAGGCGCCAUACCGAACUCGACACUCAGUUCAUCAUGUCAUUGCCUCUGAUCUUGCCUCUGCCCUGGCUCUUUGACUACUUAGUUCCAUCCUUAGUCUACGGAUUUCUAUUCUUCUUCUGUUACUACCACUACUGAGUUGCCGGCUAACUGGUACUCUUACUUAAGAGAACUACUUGAAACUACUAGCUUUCCUACUUGACUACCUCCACUAAAGCUUGCUUCCUUGCCUCCUACCAAGUCUUGUGUUCGGGUGCCGAAGAGCUUAGACGAAAUAGGUAUAUUACUUAUUAUGAGUGACAUUCCGAUUGGCGGUAUUUAAAGAGGGAAGAGCCUAGCGCUAUAAGGAAAGGAUGCUAGGGCGUAUAGUCAGAGUGAAGCUACGUAGUCAGACUUAUAUGAAGGAGUGUUAGAGACAAACAGGGCUGUAAGGUCAGUAAUAUCCGUUUUGGGGUUUUUAUUGGCAGUUUUUAAGAAGCAAGUAUAAGGCUAGGCUAACAAUAGAGCAUGGGAUCUGGUUUACCGCUUUUCUUCUUUUACAAAUAUUGGUUUACUGCUUUUCUUCUUUUACUAUUAAGUCAUCUUCCUACCAUUCGGAGGCUUAUAGCUCCAAUACAGCAUUAGUCAACUUCUUUUCUUUGGGUCAGUCAGGGAAUAGUAUGUGUUACGCAUCAAUAUGUGUAGCGCGUUGGAAAUUACAAAACUCAAUUAAUAAUAUAAUGGAUAAGAGUAGAACGGAGUUGAGCUAGCCCUUGCUGGUUGAAUGGAAUUGGAUUCUUCUGAUGAUCUUGUCGGCUUCCCGCGCUUCCUUUUGAAUCUAGCUCUCUUGAGUUUCCCCUUUCUUUUGCUUUUGAGUGAGCUUGCUUAUUACAACAAAUUCUUCGUUUUUCUAGCGUUUCUGUGUUCUCUUCUCCACCUUUUAUUCUUGCUCCAAUUCGGGAAUAAAUCCGUUUUUCAUUAAGGAUUUUUGGUUCUUCUUUGAAACUCUCUCUUUCAUCGACGUAGUAUAAGGAAUAGUCAGGAUAUCUGGAAUGAAACUAAGUUGUCAAAGAAUGGGUUUUUUGAUAGGUCCGAAUGAAACUCUGCAGUCAGGAUACCGAGAUACUCCGGGUGAGGAUACUAGUACUUACUAGGGGAAUGUACACCAUCAAGUCAUAAUUGACUAGUGAAUAAUCGGAAUCGAAAACUAGGUGAUACAGGAGAACCGGGGUGCUAUGAUAGAACCAAACUCAGUAGUCCAAGAUUUUCACUCCGUUUUAAUCAAACUAACAAGCGGGGAAUCCAACGAGAAAGUAAGGCUACUAAUACAAUAACAUAAAAUCAAGAGUUCAACUAAGUAUUAUCAGAAUGGUAGCUCUAUAUGGAGGGGGCAGAAUAUAACCCCAUAAGCCAGGAUCAAACAAGUGAGUAAAGGAAAGUAACCUAACAAGCCAGAAUGCAAGAGGGGAGCGUAAGGUUUUCAGUUUGAAUUCCACGAGAAGGUUCAGGAUACUAAACAAAUCUCCGAGCUAUAAGACUAAAAGGAAGGAAUCGCAGGAAUGAAUCUCAAGCAAUAGACACUAAACCUCGACCAGUUUUUUGGUGCGGUAACUUAGUUUCAUGUUGCAAUGCGGCACAGAGAUGAACAAUAAGAUAGAUAAUGGACUUUACGCGUAGAGAGAAGACUCGGGAAAUCCUUAUUGUUGAGUUAGUUUCAUUAAAGAAUGCGCUUAACAACUUUCAUUUUCAUAAUCAAGUUUCUGUCGACGCUCGAAGUGUGUUUGUGCCAUGCCAUACUCCGUUUUUCAAUCAAAUAGAAGAGCUAUCGUUCAAUGAAAAAAGAUUGUUUUUUCUCAAAAGUAGAAUAACUAGAUCCCUUGUUUAAGCCUCGGAAGUGGGAUGGAAGUCCUAGAAUCAAAGACAGAAAUAGGAACCCAAACACUGAUACCAAGACAACAACCAUUAGAUACUAGGAUCGAACUAAGUAAACCGAGCCUUACUACUCGAAUAACACAGGCCAAGCAACGCCCUAUUCUAUGUCCCAGCGGACCAAGCCCUACUACUCGCACCAGAUGCCACGCCUUACUGAUCUAGGUACAUCCCAAGCCUUACUCGCCAGUGGACCAACAACAAAUUCGGGUAGUCAAUCUUACGCUCACUAACUUUGACUAUAUUACUAUUCAUAAUGGAACUGGGGACCAAGCUUUUCUACUAUUAAUAAAGAAGCGAACUACAACUGAUGAGAAUAGAAUCAAUGAAACAAAGCUUUCACUUAUAAAUAGGGCUCCCUUACUGUCUCUGAAACUUAUACUAAUCUAACGCCCGGCAUUCCUUCCUUUGAGCUUUGGUCUGCCCUUACUUGCUUUGAAACUAACUACCCGGGGGCUACAUGAGAAAACUAAGAAAAAGCAAUCGUACAUUAACCCUAAGAAUUGAACCACUACGGAUAACACUGCCAAUAAGCCUGCUCCCUACUACCUUAAAGCAAGCCUUGCUUUGCUACAUACGAGGCUGCCCUACCUUGCUUCGCUCUGUCACUAAUGCUUAGAAUACUUACUCCCAGGGGGCGCGCGCCUUUUAUUCAUGAAAUAUCGAUCCGGGGCAAUACAUCCGAUGGAGCACAAACCUUGAAAACUAUAUAUCCUUGCUUUCAUUCUGCAGUGAGUACUUUUCGUACUUUCUUCUUAAUAUAAAGAAAUCCACAGUGCCUAACUACUUUAACUACUAAUGAAAAGGCUCGAACUGGGGUAGGCCCAAGCUUUCCUCUUGACUCUCUAUAGCCCGCUCCCAACUCCAAUAGCGCCGACACCUUAUUUCACCUUGAAUGCCUUUGCUUUUAGUCUGACUUUCUGAAAUCUCAUUCUACUCUCCUUGCUUUCAGUCCUUAGCUACCAACUCUCAGAUCUCAACAACUACUGGAAAGAAUGCAACAGGUGCUUCUCGUACUAUAACUCGAAUUGGGGAAAGCGACUCCUACUUAUAAUACUUAUACAGCAACUUGCAAGGCUACUACCACUACUUCUUCGAAUGGCACUAAUGCUUUUUAGGCAAUAGCUGCUGAUCCAUAUCUUUUAUCUUCUCAUAGGGAAUCGAACACUACCUAAGGCUAGGGCUUAUAAGGCUUUAACUAUAACGAAGCAGUCUGUCGCUACUACUAUUGCCGAAGCAGUCUGUCGCUACUACUAUUGACUAUUUGGAUGCUACUAGGCUAUUAGAAUCAGCUACUACCUAAUGGAAUGGAACUGGGAAUAAAAGAAUGCGCCUACUACCUAUAAGAUUGAAAAAGGCAACUAGCAAUUCCACUCAUAAGUAAGAGGAUGGAAUCACUGCUUAAAAGCCUUAUACUAUAGCAUAUGAGUAUGUCUCUCUUGACUUUCAAACUCAACAAAGUGCCCACCAAUACUUAUCUUCUUCUCAUAUAUAAUUCAAUAAGUGCUCAUAAAAGAAUUGAGCCCCUACUGAAAAGAAUGGAACUGGUGCUGAUAAGAAUCCAACUGGGCAUACUGGAUAUGGGUAGUGGAGCAUAGAACCAAACAAAGGUGUAUAAGAAGGGGAUUAGUUAGCAGAGAUCAGAAUUCCAAUAAGUGGUCAAAGAAUUGCUUAUGAGGGCUGUAAGACAUAAUGAAGUGUGUCAGUGUACAAGAAUCGAACGCUGUAUAAGUGAUAUCGGGAAUACAGAAUAUGGGUCGCUAGUCUCCGCUUUGCACUUUAGUAAUAGCAAGGUGCUAAGAGCCUAGGAAUCUAGAAUAUAAGUAAUUAGUCCAAGAUUUUCACUAAGACAUAAGAAGCAAACAAACAAGUAGGAAUUUAUGAAUUAACUCCGGGCGUGGUAGGUUGGAAUUUCACUCGUGCUGACAAGAGAACAAUUUCGAAAUCAAUAUUGGAACACACCCCAUAAAGAAUUGCACUAAUAAUCCGGAAUGAAAGGCAGGAUAGUAAGACUAAAGGCAAAGAACGGAAGGGACAACUAAAAGAAUAAGAUAAAAGAGUGGCCGGGCUAACUCUCUCACAUAAGAAUUUCAGAUGGUAGCGGAAGUAAUGAUUUCUCCCUCCUCACUCUCUAACACAGGAAUGCCCGGCAUUAGUGGCAUACCCAAACUCAUACAUGGGGCCUCAAGUCACUAAAAUACAGGCAAGCGACAAAGCUGCUAACGACUCUCUAACUCGAACUAAGUAGAGUACUUUUUCAUUCUUUGCUACAGUUCAGUAAUUCUUAUUUCAUACUUGGAUCAUUCUUUAAUCAUAAGAAGAUGUAUCCUGACUUCUGUGUUGAAUUCCCAUACUCAUAUGUUUCACUCUGAUAUCGCUUAGUUCAAUAAUGCAAGGUACAAUUAGAAGAUAGAACCAAAGAAGGGAGUGUCGGUUUUAACCAAGGAGUGGGCAAGCGGGAAUGAAAGCACGGGCAAGCUACUGUUCUCGGGGCCUGGCAAUGAGAAUGGAAGAAUGACUCCUUAACUAAAGCAGCGCUGCGGUGAAUGUUCGUAGGUUAAUGCGAGAAACCUUAGGAACGAAACAACCCUGCCUAUAUUGCUUGUAUCAAUAGCACAUAGGUAUCAAUGGUGUCUCAAUGGCAUAGGUAGCAAUGAACACCACUAUAUAUUGCGUGUAUCAAUAGCACAUAGAUAGUAUCAAUACAAUAACAGAGCAGAAUCAAGUUUCCUCUGUGUCAAUUCGAUUCUUAAAGAUGGGUUUCCUCAGUGCUCUUACCUUUUCACCUUCAUUAUUAUAUGACAAUUACCAUCAUUCUAUUGCUAUUACUUAGCUUUGGAACCCGUUAUUCUCUGACUUAGCUUUGGAACCGAUGAUGCAAUUACUUAGCUUCGGAACCCAUUAUGCAAUUACUACAGGCCAGGCAUCCACGGAGCGGUCACACACCACAUCUUACAUUAGGGACAUAUAUCGAAGGUACCUUGCACAGUAGUCAAUACAGAAUGAAAGCGGAGGAAACCAGUAUGGAACACCGACACAAGCAUACCUACCCAUGGGAUAAACAUACCAUAGUACCCACCACAUACCCAAGGGAGAAACAAACACACAUGCGCUAUAGCUCCCAUGCAACCACAUACUCUUCAAGUAGCACUACAAUUUCUUCAUUUGGCAUAGCUCAUUCUUUCAUUUAAGUAAACAUAGCUCAGCCUACCUCAACUCAAGGUAACGUCAACAAGUCUUUCGCUUGUUGGUUCGAUGCCCAGUAAUAGCGGGUACCUCGUUAAUUCAUAGGUAGGUGGUUGGUGCACUCUCAAAUGCUUUUAGGGACCAUCAAUAGUUAAGUAGACACUGCUUUCGAGUUGGGCAAUGCAGACUUGAGGCAGGGAGUAAUAGAAUGAGACCCCUUAGAGGCAGUAAAACUAGGCAAGUAAGGAGUCAGGUUCAGUAACAAUAGUCCUAAAAGCAGUGGAGCAGGCCUAUAAUACAGUUUAGUCUGACUAGUAGCUGGGGUUGGUGAAGAAGUAAUGUUUAGGGUUGAUUGCCUCUAUGCGCUAUUGCCGGUAAGUCGGCGUAUUUUGUAUUAUAAGUUAGAUUAUGAGAAGCACUGGUUUGAUUAUGAGGGGAUCCCCUAGGAUUUUGUUCUUUAUUGACUACUUGGUAUGGUAGCGGCUCUCCGUGGGCUAAUAAAGAACCUAAGUGGUUGGAUGCCCUGCCCCCAGCUCAAGUCUUAUUGUUAGUGGUUCUCUUCCUGGUGCGCUAGUGAAGGUCCUGUCCAGUUUGCCUGGUUUCUAUCGUUUUAUGCCUUAGUUCCAUUCCAUUAAGUAAUAGCUCUAUUCUGGUUUUCCCGGGUGCAAUUCUUUGUAUUAGUUGCAGGGAUGCGCUAGAGCGUAGCCAUAUUCUGAUUCCUCCGUUCGAAAGUCAAUAAAAGCAAGUAAAGAAACCCCGAGUCAUAGUGUGUUUGAAAACGAGGAGCGGAAGCCUCUAACUAACACAUAGGCAUUUCUUUAUGUAUUUCAGUAGCAACUAUAGGAAUUGGAGCUAGGAGACAAAGGCUAAGAGCCUGUAAAGUCAGUCGAAAAGCAAGUGAAGUCAGACUUAAGGGGCUGUCGGAUAAGCCGGAGUUCCUAGUUAAAGCAGUCUUGUCAGCAGUAGUUGUUAUAGGCCCGACUACUGUAAGCUAAUCCCAUAGUGAGUAACUAGGCGGUGGAAGCAAAUCUGAUAGUUGGAGUUAGGCGGGGAAGUGGAAGAAAGGCCUUCCAGAUAGGAUUCUCAAAGAUAGGAACGAGCCUAUCUACUGGUUUCCUUGCACAUGAAAAGGAUGAUUGUACAUCUUCGAGACACAAGAUAUUGAAAGAUUCUCCAUUGUUCUUGAUUUAUGGAAAUAACAUAUCAUAGAUAGAUCUUGUUGAAUAUCAUAGAUGGAUCUUGUUUAUUGCUUGGUGGCUGAUCAUAUCAUAGAUGGAUCUUGUUUAUUGCUUGGUGGCUGAUCAAUGAAUGCGUCUGUCUUUCUCUCAUGAGGGACUUGAGCCCAAUAGUGCUGUUUCGACGGCUAAGUAUCUAUUUGUGGGAAGACCUUAUGUCUCAGGCGCUACGGUGCGAGACGUGUUAUCCGGCAAUGCGCGGUCAGAUCAUUUCUUGGAAGCAAGCAAGGAUCGAGAUAUUCCGCUUUGAUUAGCGAGGCAUCAGUCGGUUUCAUGGUUUCUAUCACUUCCGGAAGUUCAAGAAGAUCUAUCAUCUUUGAUUAUUGGAAUCCUCCUUGGCCAGGCCAGCAACUGAAAAUGCCUGCAACACACUGAUUCGAGUCCUCGAGUUAGCUCAUCUGCUAGUGAGCCUUCUUCUUCUGCAAUAGAUCAGGAACCCCGCCUUUCUUCAGCCCAUGAACUAAGCCGGCCAUUAACAUCGUCCUAAUUUCGUUUGAUCGGUAUUUUCGCUUGUUUUUCAUCGUGACUGGAACGACGAUACAACCUAAACCCUUCUCUGCUACCAAAUCAUAGAUCUUCCAGAGAAGACCAAACCGAAUGAGCUCGCUCGGUUCUCGUCUGAUACUAAAUUCCUUUCAUAGCUGCUAGAUCUCUGAUGAAAUUCCUUUCAUAGCUGCUAGAUCUCUGAUUCAACGGAAUAUACAUUGGACUUUGAUAUGCUCCACCAACUGUAGUAUAUCUUACAGCUCAAAGAAAAAGUGUUAUUAGGGGGGCUUAGGUCGAUCUCCAAAAUAACCUAACUCAACUCGUGGCUGGCUAUAGUAUCUCUUAACAAAGAGUCGAACGAACUUCCUUAUCAUACUCCUAUUUAGGUGCACAUAAGGACUAAGAUUGGUUUGCAGCUUCAAGCAUCAAAUGUAAUAAAGACAGAUAUACUAACACCCACCCCAAGGUACGACUCAUGAGAACAAUGGUCACAACUAAAUCCAAAUAAUUCCAUUCAGCUGUGGGCAAGGCUCUUUUGGGGGAAGGAUCGAAGAUCGGAUAUAUCGGCUCUAUUUUCCUAUCGGACCUGUGAAAAGUACCUGCCUAACUGUGAAAACUCUAAAGCCCUUAUGCAUUAUUGUACGCCAAUACCAUUUUUCGAAAAGAACUCCCGAAGAAGGUCCACAUCUGCCUUUCACCGGUGUGAUGCAAUUCUUUGAGCCUCCCAAGAGUUAUAUCGGUGGCACUCGGGAUCUACUCUAUUACUUAUUGGAUUUAGUUACGAUAGGACGACUCAUCCUAAUUCUCCUUCCCGAGAAAAGGAAGCUUCGCUACGUUCCAGAUAGUAUACUCAGUUAAUCAUAUAAAGCAUUGCUUUAGGAAGAGUUUCCCCGAUGGAGGCCUUUCUUUAUGGAAUCAUUUCGUGGAUGGUGAUGUCAAAGAAAUAAGAAGUUCCCCACUUGCUAUUGAAUCUGGAAUCCCUUCUUCUAGCAAUAUCAUAAGAGAAUCAAGAUCGUAGCGUAGACAAGAUCGUAGCGUAGAAAAGAAUAGGAGACUGGAAUUGUCGAUAUGGUUAUGGUUCAAAAAGGAUGACACUAAGAGAUCCUCACUGAAAAUAGUGCUAUUCCAAGUUAGGACUAAUUUGUAGGUUAAUUGAUUUGUGCUAGAUUCAUCUGUCAGAGCGUCGGCAAGCUUAGUGCUCUUAUUGUGUCACAAAGACUUGAAGAAGCGCUAGGCGUACUCGGCUUUGAAUUCACUCGUGGAUCCGAUCUCCCUUUUCUGGAAAUUGAGUCCUGUCCGGGUGCGAGAGACAAAAGAUGAUAUUACUGUUUUCCUCACCGCCUUAUUCAGUGCCCAGCAGCUACCUAAUACUUGGUUUUACCUUAUUGAACAGAGGCGACCAGAAGAUAAGUAGUGUAGGGGUUUACAACCUUUCAAGAAUCUAUGGGUUUCUACAGCCUUUCCAGAAUUGUAGUCCAAGUCAAAUCGUUAAUGUGCAAGCAUCAAAGUGAAGUCAGUAUCUUUUCAUUCAGCGGGACAUCAAUCUUGGUUUAACAGCCCCAAGCAAUACUUUUGUAAAGUGCCAAUCGCCCCUGCUUGUUCCUAAGGUUGUUCGGUGAACUCAAAGAAUAGAAUCCAUCGAGCAUACCAUCGAGCAUACCAUCGAGCAUACCAUCGAGCAUACCAUCGAGCAUACUAUCGAGCAUAUGAUAUAAAUAGAGGAUUUGACUAAACCCCUUAAGUCUUGUUCUCUACUUCAAAGACGGAACUUAGCGCUUCUGGAAUUCUACCACUUAUUCUCCAAGCUUCAAAACUCACUAUCCCAUCCCCGCCACUGGAAACACACACUUUUCCCGUCCCUAGCACGCCCUGAGUCUUGUGCCGAAUCAAGUCAAACAUUCAAAUCUCUCGAAUAAAGAUUCUUUCGAGCGAUCAGGUAAACUCGCUAACGCACUCUUGAAGCUGUGCGGUACCCUUAAGAUGUUCUAUGCACCUUAGAGAAUAUAUAAUUGAUGAAAAGCACUCUCGACGACAUUGACUACCCGGGAGAGCUCGAAGGCAUUCUAUUCUGUUUAGUAACGCUACCCGCCCAAUAUGGAAUUUCGAAAAUCGAACUUAUGCCAAAAACAAACAUUAGCACUCAGGCAAAGCCCUGCCCUUGGUUUUUAUCGUCACUUGAGGAAUAAGAAUGGAAAAGAAGAUUAGUUGCAUAUGAUAGAAGAUAGUAAACACCCUUGCUCUUGGUUUUUAUCGUCACUUGAGGAAUAAGAAUGGAAAAGAAGAUUAGUUGCAUAUGAUAGGGGAACGUAAACAUGCUGCCCUGUUACCUUCUUCAGAAUUGAAUAUCGGGUACCACCUUAUCCUCUACUAGCUUAUUGACCCGAACCACCCUAGACUCAAAUACUACAUUCUCUCUUUUCGUUGCUUGCGUAUUGUGAGGAUAGUUCCAAUCUAAUAGAAUGGAAUAAUAGCAUGACUUUUCAAUAGCAUGACUUUUCAAUAUACGAGAUGAGACUCCCUUCUUUCUACCUUAACCUGGCUACUCAACUUGAUACUGCUAUCGCAAAACCCCAUUAAGAAGUCUGGGCCAGCGCUCAGAGCUACCGAAUUCACAACGCUAUAGGCUUGUUCUCUAUGCUUUCCCUAACGAAACUGCUUCCUGCUUUCAGAGUCCCAUAUUCUUGUCCUUGCCAAUACGGAAUGGAAUUAACAACUGGUGGGUGCAUUCAACUAAAACCAUGACUCCUAAAAGAAUUGAUCUAUAUCAACUAGGAAAGCAACUGACACUAAUAAGAAUGGCUCUACUUACUCUAGGGCUUGCUCUACCGACUAUCAGGCCUUACUACUCUAUUCUUAACCUAGGGGAACCCACUCUAGCUUUACUGAUUAUGGGCCUGCCCCUAUGGUCUCUGAUUCCUACUAUACUAGCAGACCUUCUAUUCUUUAGCCGGUGCUCUUAAGCCUAAGUUCCUGUACCAGUAUUCGAGAACCACUGCUUAUGAUCCCUUUGCUUAAAAACUCAAACUACCGUUUCUCAUUCUCAUCACAGCAACUAUGAAGAACGGAGCUGACUUCCAUACUUUUGCUUAUUAGAAUUAGGAGUGACACCAAUACACACUGGAAUUGAACAUCCAACUAGUAAAUCCACAAAGAAGUCGUGGUCCCCAACUCGAACAGAAGAAGGAAUCUAGAAAGUCAGAACCGAGCUAUUAAGCCACAGAAUGCAAAUAGUCAGACCAAGCCGAAUUAUGCGCAUACAUCACAAAGCACUACCCAGGAGCUCCAUGCACCAAGUACUCAAUACAUUAAUACUUGAACCAGGAACCAAGCCUGCCACUACUGAUUUCAAUACUUUAUCCUUAAAUGGGGAAUCAUACCACUGCCAGCAAGAAGAGAGCUACUCUGGAAAGAAUCCAAAAAGAAGUCAGAACUGCUGUACUAAUAAAGAGAAAUGCACUCGGGAAUCGGCCUACCAAGGAGAAGAACCUCGAUAGGAACUCCGCCUUUGUUUACUAUAACGAAACCUCUAUCCCUCUAUUACUAUACUUAUUUGAAACUUCACACCCCUUACUUGCUUUCUUGCACUGUUGACCUCUAAUCUGACUUGUUGGGUAGUCAAUCUUACUCCCCGGUAGCGAAAAGCCUUACUUGCUCCACUCCCUUCUAGUUAUAUUAGAAUCAGCUACUCAAACUGUAAGUCCACACAUCCUGUCUUUGAUUCUUAUACUACUAACUAUGGGCCUGUUUCCUUUGACUUUCCACUCUGAAAAUACUAACUAUCGGAAUCAAAACACCACCUGAUAGAUGAAACAAAUAACUAAGACUUCUAUUGUAUUCACUAAUAUUCCCUAGGAACCGUACAAGCCUGCCCUACAGUGGACUAACUCUGACUGAACUUCCUUUGAGCCUACCGGGGCUUACUUUCUUUCUUGAGCUACUGAGCACGGCAGCCUCCCCUUUAGUUCUUGUUGUCUAUCUGUGUCUUGGUGAUUUGAAGCUAGUAAAGGCAGAUCCAUUCUUUUCAGUAGUAAUUCAAUGUGAGAUAUCCGUUUUGUUGUCAGUAGCUUGGUUCUAUUCCUGUAUGCACUGGAUCGAUCAUAACCAUACCCUUAACUCUAUUGACUCUAGCGAAUCUAUUCAUCCGCUUUAAGUUCAAAGAGCAACUAUCUCACAUUUGUUUGCCGACCGGUCUUUCAUCGGACGAUAAUCAAAGCUGGUGAAAGAAGGCGUCCGCAUCUGCUAGCCUAUACAAGGUGCUGCAAUGCCCUUACUAAGCGAUGGAUGCUAUAAACACUGGUAGCGCCUCGGAAGCCACACUGGGACUUACAGCUAUAGCCAGGCACCUAUGUCUUCCAGGGGGAUAUUUCAUCCACUUCUUCCUUGAUCUGGUCGAUGGAUCUUCUCAAUUGGAGGAUUCCAAAUAUGGAGAAUUUAUUACAUCGCUUUUUGAGGAAACAAUUGCAAAUAGUUCUGUAGCUCACCCGAGGUCCACUUCGUUCACUUCUUAUCAUCCUAGUAGGUUUCUGUGCCAUUGGGCCAGCGAAACUUCCUCAGAUCUAGUGUGCUAGCUGACGACGCGUGUAACGCAUGCUCCUGUUCAGUGGCGACGGGAACCUUCCGGAUGGUUAGCCACACCUACCUACGUUAUUUAUAUAGAAAUGACUCGGGAGCCUUGAUCUUAACCCUUCCCCACUAGUUCGAUUUUCAUCAGAGCUGUUAUUAUCCAACUGACAUCUCUACUUACCCUAGGCGCUUGUCUAGUAAACUCUUCUCUUUACGAUUCUCUCUACUUCACCAGGAAGAAGUACUCUCCAAAUCGCAUAGAGUAUGAGAAUGCCGAUUCUGUCGAACCUUAUUUCUAUGCUAAUAAACUUGCUUACCGUAAUUGCUUAAGCGGAAUCUUUCGUGCUUUCAUCUCUCUCAGUGAUGGGUUGAGGACAAGAUAUUGAUAUCUUAAAACAGCGUAAAUCGGCUCCUUUUUCUCCUCUCUCUUUGAGUCAUUCCCUGUAGGAACCGUGUUCGAAAUGCAAUGCAGCCCAUGAAUAGGGCGGAGCUAACUUGCCAUGUACAGGUCCUGCAAUUGCCUGGGUAAGCUAAGCCCAUAGGAAUCUCUUGUCGAUGGAAAAGAAGGGUGAUGAAAGAAAUGAUGACACAAAACCACUUUUUCAUUAAUAAACUAAUUAAUAGAACACGAACCAUCUUGUGCUUGCUUUAGGAUCAUCUAAUUGCGUAUAGAACGAACCAAGAUGCUUACUGUGUCAUACGAGAAUAGUGAAUCCAUCGACCAAGUAGUUAUAACCGAGUCCACCAAGCUACGUAGUUAGUUGCGCAGUAGCGAGCGAAAACUGGGCGGGAGCGAGUGGUUGAAUAUUCUAUCCCCUAGGGAAAGGAGAGUGUAGCCACUCAUUCGAUUAGGGCAAGCAUAAGGAAUGCUUCUAACCUAACCCUACUAGCAUAGCCGGUUUCAUUCAGGCCAAUAACUCUUUGCCCAAGAAGGGACUCCCAGCACUAGAAAGAGGAGCAUCCAAUGAAGACCAGAUGGCAAAGCCAUAAGGACCGGAAAAUAGGGUGAUGGCUAUCCUUCCAGCAAGUGGAUUUCGAGACUCGUCUAUCAAGGAUUCCCCAUCUCUGAAUCGUGGUGCCCGAAACUGUGUUGAGAUUGCCUUUAGUGCUUUGAUCAGGCAGGGAAGAUUGGCGUUUACGUCUUCCCAACUGACUUAGAAAAGAACCGAUCCGAGUAUCGAAAGCACAAUGAGCCGAAAAGCACAUCCAUUAUGGCCAUCUCGUGUCGCUAAAGUAAAGGAUUAUACAUUACUCAAUAACUACUUCAUCUACAUCUCGGCGAUAUCCCACCACUUAUACAUACUUAAGUUGAGUGCUAACUCCUUUUCUCAGUGGAAGUUGACGUGUAAAAACAAAGGCAGACUGAUUCCAAAGAAAGCAACUGUGCUUCGCACGCUUCACUCGCUCAUUGGAAAAAGCGGGCACGCGCCGACAAGGCUGACAAUCACUCACGGAUGUCUUAUAUGAAAGUAUUCUAUCUCUUUUCAUAGAAAAAUGGAUUUCUCUAACCCCUGCCUGCGAGCCUAGGAGCGCUUAGCUUUGACACUGAUGGUAGCGCGUAGGAGACACCGAGGUUAUGAAAGAACAAAUGACCCAAUGUUGAUUUUCUAAAGAAACCUUAGGGAUUUAUACCUUUCUAAAUGAAUUGUCGACAUCAAAGGAUAUACUCGCCCGGUCUAGUAAGGCAUUACUCCAUAUGAUAUUAAGUUAAGGCAUUACUCCAUAUGAUAUGCUCCUACUACAGUACCCUCAGGAGCGGUAGAUCGUCGGUUGCUCUCAAAGGGUAUUCCAUUCCUACAGCCCCAAUUGUCAAGUAGACGCUCCUUCAAUCACUCUUUCGCUUAACAGUGGAAUUAGACACUGAGCAGCCGGCAGCAAGAAUCUAUUGUAGGGAAACCUUCGGAAGAGAAAAUUCCUUAGAAAACGAUUUGAGGCUGAAGGUGUGGAUUACCUUAGAAGAGCUGCUAAGCGCAACUACUAAUGCCUCGGUCGUAUUCGGCUUAGACUGACACCAUAGGGGAGCUCUUUAUCCUAGGCUGCGAAGCGCCCGAAGAGCGGAGCUGCUCUAGAAAGAGCCAAGCCAACCCACUUCCUUUCUUCGGAACUGCUCCCUUCUUUUUAGAAGGGGAACUCGGCCCGGCCCCAUUACCCUUUGAGGUAGCUUCGGGUCGUAGAGUAUACUAGUUAGGUCUAUAGAAUUACGGUAGCUUAGAACUUAUGUUUCGGUCGGAAGUGAAAGGAAAUGGGGAGAAUGGAAUUACUACUGACCUUCGCAGCGACAAUUGAGGGAACCUUAUAGCCUCAUUCUAUAGAGUUUUGGAUAGUAAUCGUUUAGAUGUUAGUCUAUUCUUGCUUUUCUAAGGUAGCCCAAUCGAAGGUCAGGUAGCUUAAAUACCUAUAUAGACAGUUCAUAGAAAGAAGAAGGUAGAUCUUACAGUAGAUUCAAUAAAGGGGGAUGCCAGGCUCUCCUAUAGUAAGAAAUUGCCAUAGAAAAGAAAGUUUACCUACUCUAAGGUCAAUAGAGAAAUAUAGUAGACCCGCUUCAGAAGAAAGAGCUUUUAGCGAGCGCCCCUAUUUGAUUAGUGAAUUUGAUUUGAAUGCAGAGCACAGAUAAGAUCUAAUAAAAGUUUUCCAGAAGCGUUCGCGAAUGCAUACCUGAAAAUGCUACGAGGACAGCUUACUCUCACGAAAAGUCAGACUACGAGGCUUCUUAGCUCACAGCUGACUACUUAUUGAAAGAUUUAGGAUAUAUUCGAUUCCAGUUUUUGACUUUCUUUGAGAAUAUUUAUAGAUAGAGCGUUUUGGAUUCCUAUAGAGUAAGAGGAAAGUGUGUUUACUUUUUGACAAGAUGAAACCUUGUUUGCUGGGGGAAUAGAGCAUCCUUGAGCUUUCAAAGGGUACUAGGAAUGCCCCGUGAAAGAAAGGAUCUUAUCAGCUAGACACUACCUGGGCCCGUGUAUUCGGAAACCAUCGGUCGCUAACUUGCUCAACGAAGCAUUGCCGGUUUAGAAUAACUAGUUGUACCGAGACUUGGUAGGGGGCGGGCAGAUGCCUAAAUCCGCUUUUCAGACCCGGGCAGCUAAGAUAAGAAGAGGGGGGCGUCGGUAUGUGGUACCGUUGACCUUAAGUGCUUAGUAGAUGGGAUGAGAAUACAAAGGAAGAAAGAUCAAGCCCAAUUAAUUAACCCUAUGUAGUAAAAGACGUUUAGUAAGGAAAUUCUUGGUACGGACGCAUCCAAUGCCUGAUGGAUGAACUUCAAGGGAUGAACUUCCCUUUCCCAAGUGCGAAUCAUAUGCUUUAAUCUUAAUGAUCUUGUUUCGCCGCCGUUUCGUCGUUAUAACUCCAAUCCGUGUCCGGUCGGGUCAUUUUCUUAUUUAAUACCUAAGUAUCCUUAAGACUACUAUUUCUCUCCAAAUAAGGGGCCUACUGAACUAUGUAAACAAUUAUAUAAUUAAGCCGGCUCUUGAAAACAUCACUUAUUAUGGUGGAUGAUGUUUUUGUCUUUGUUCGCUUACCUCCGAAAAGGAGAGGUGAGAGGCGGAUUUACACCAGCUGUUGACCUAAGACUUGAAACUGACUUAUACUAGGGCUGCUCUCGUGGUGCCGGAAGGUCGUAUACUCGUAUUCCAUCCUAAUAUCCAUCCUAUCCUCUUAGAAGAAAAUUCCCUUGUAAGUGAGGAUUUGCAUUUGGAAUUCGAAUAUUCGUUUCAGCGAAAACAAUAGAUGCUUCUUAUCGAAGCGCGAACGAAGACUCAAAAUACUCAGAGGAGAUUCCAUGCGUGGUGGAUUCCAUUCCGGAAUUAGCCUUUAGGAGCAUCCGAAUGCCCGCCCGUCCAUGCGAAAUAGAUGCUUCCUGUCCUGUAUCUCUACCUAUCUCGAAUUGGAAUAAGGGGAUGCUACAUCUAUUAAUCUUUUGAAGAGUCCUCCCUUCCUAGCUGCCUUUUCUUGCUAAAUAAGUUGAUAUUAUAGGAUUUGUCUCAAAGAGGCUUUGCUUUCUGAGUUCAUUCUCUUUCAUGUCAUAAUAAAUAUGGACAUUCCAAAUAAAGGGAGUGUAAUGUAAGUGAUGGUGCGCUCCCCGGUUAGCCGGACUCAGUUCAAGGCACGCUUGCCUGCUCUCCUCAUUUGUGAACAGAUGGGACAGGACUCUUUCUUUCGUCAAGAAUAGAUGAGUUUUAUACCCGAGUGAAUUGAUGCAUGCCUUUAUGUGGGAAACGUGUCGAUCUCUAAAUCUUCUAUCUAUAGCGUGUAUGGAUAAGCCUUCCGGGGUGCAACUAAGUGGUCUAACUCGAAUCCCCUUCCUUGAAUGGUGGGAAAGCUUUCCUAUAAGGCCUUUCUUCGGACUCUUUGACUUGCUUUGGACUUACCUGUACAAUGGUGCAAUUCUUAUUAAUAGUGAUUGGAUUCCGUUUUUGGUAUUUCUUCUCAGAGCAAAGUAAAGCAAAGUGAACUCUGUUAGCGCAACAGAGCAAUAAGAAUAAGUGUAGAGAACAAACAGAGCAAGGGAGAAUCAAAAGCAUGGCUUGGGGUAAAGAACGGAAUUGGAAACCGUAAAAGAACCUGCUUUGCUUGCGGGACAAUCUGUAUACCUUGAUUAUGGCGCAAGUGUACGAUAACCAGGGAUCAAGGAAGUAAGCAGCAAUUAGGUAUAGCUAAAUCGGUCUGAUUCCACCAUCUCUAAUAGAUCCAAUGAAAUCAAUGGUUGGUUCAAGUGCUAUUAUCAGUUUUCAUUGAAUUAUCAUAAUCUUCUUUUUCAUGCGAGGGAAGGGAAUAACUUAAUUACUCAAUGGUCCACUUCUGAGGGAAAGAAGGGAGGUAAGCGAAGGAAGUGGGAAAGAAUUCCACAAAUGGACCUUCUUCAUACUCAACUCAGGCUCAUCUCACUCUGGCUACUAAUCCGAACGAACUCUAUCUGAAGGCCCGACUAGACCUAUAAUAAGUGCCCGAACCGAGCCUAGUAACAGACUUUGGGCUUCCUCCUAGACUACUAUACUACACCUCUCCUCUGUAAACUAAUACUUUUCUUGCUCUGGACUACGAAACUACUAGUGGAAGGGCAAAAACAGGUUCACUCAGGAUUCACAAACAAGAUAGGUGGCGAGUUAACCCUAGAGCUUAAAUAAGGGCAGGCCAUUUUCUUUCUUCUUCUCCUAAGUAUCUGCUUGUAGGCUAGGCUUGCUUCCUUUAGAACAGGAACUAGCCAUUCUGCUGCCCCAAGAGAUUCAUUCCUACCCGAGUGUUAAUCAGUUAUCCUUCGUAUCUAGUAUAAGGCAAGUAUCGGUAUUUAUUUGACUCCGCCACAACAAGGCAAGAAAUCAAUAAAUCCAGAAGGGUGCUUUCCCGAGCAGGAACAGGAAAAGGAGUUAGUUUACCAUUCUCAGAAGUAGGAAUUACUGAAUUGACCUAAGGAGUCAAAGAAUUAGAUAAAGUCUUGAGAGCCCUGUUAUGAUUGGUUCAAGUCGUCUUAUUUCUGCUUUUUAUCCUUAUUUGUAGUAGUGGGAUUGCUCGUUUCUUAUUGAAUUAUUAGAAGCAGCAGUAACAGGCACAUAGUAAGUAGAUAAAUACUUUGUAUUCGGUUUGUUAGCAUAGCAUUGAAGACAGUAGUAACAGAACGAUAGACAGUAAAGUAAGCCUCGGUAGCAGCGGCUCGAUUCCCAGUCUCUGUUUUAAUUAGAAUAAGUGGUAGUUUGAUUCACUGUUUGAGGUUUCUUCUUUCCAGUAGUUAUUUCAAGUUUCAUAGGUCUAAGUGUGAUUCCCUUUUUUCAGUAGAAAUAUGCUAAGUUAGAGAUGCAUUCUGUAUAGUAGUAGCCACAUUCCCAUACUAACCAGCUCAAUUCCGAGUUUUGAGUUAGGGUAUCGCUAGCCCUAGUAUCAGCCUCAUGUGACUAUUUGCAUUCUUUCCUGUAGUACCCAUUCUUAUAGCCUAUAGUAAGUGAAGUAGCCACACUCUUGAUACUGGUAGUUUGAUUCCCGUUAGUUGCCCCAAGUGAGUACCCAUUCUUAUAGCCUAUAGUAAGUGAAGUAGCCAAUCACAUUAAAAACAUCUACAGUUGGAUUCCCGCUUCAAAGCAAGUACCUGAUAUAGCUCCUGCUGAUUGAGUUUCUUCCGAUAUAGUAGAUGACACGGUUCUGGUCGGCAAGGGGACAAGCUUAGUAGUUAGUAUCGCUAAAGGGCCGCUCUUCAUGUAGGCAAGGGAAGCAGUGCGAGGAAAGUUUACUUAAGUGCGGUAGGGAGUGAAACGGCAGGGCCGCUCCUCAUCCCCAGUUCCAACUAGUAGAGAGUAUAGAGAGAGAUCUAAAGAAUCAGACAGGCCAGGCAGGCCCUAUCGUUAAGGUUAGUAAGCGGUCAGGGGAGUUCCGUAUUGCAAUAUGGUUCUUGAUCGCCCAGUUCUAGCUUAAAGUCUAUUUUGUCUUAGCAAGGUGAAAGUAUAGGUCGGUGCCGAGCAAAGUAAGGCUUGGCUACUGCCCCUCUUAUCGGGAUUUACACUUUGAUUCACUGAGUUUGAAGCCGGAAACUACUCACUAAAGUUCUGUAUUUGGAGCUGUUGUCUUAGACACUAGAUUGAGUGCCGGUGCUCACUAACCGAAGUAUGAUAAUGACCUAGACCAUACUACUACUUGUAUAUUAACAGGAUGCACUACAUACCCGCUCUUAUUAGUCUUCUGAUUCACCCGUGUAACUGGCAAUUCUUCUUUGGAUUAUCCCCAAUAACUACUGGAUGGACUUGGAAACCCACACUUGCUCCACGCCUCUAGCUUGUAUACAAAUUCGAGUAAUAUUACCUGAGUUUAUCUAUACUCAAUAAACAAACUUGCUUCUUUUCGCCUGGAACUAAACCUUUCGACUACUGAUUCAUUCUCAUCGCCAACGCCAAAACCUUGAGACUCACACUCGACCAGGGAAAGAACUCAACGAGGAAGACUUGACUUGCUCACAAAGAAAGAAAUCGAUUUAGUGUAGAACCAGGGAAAGAACUCAACGAGGAAGACUUGACUUGCUAUAAAAUUCCAAAAGAAAUAUAUUGAGUGUAGUUUUUAUAGCAGAUGCGUUUGGCAAUAAGAAGCCACACAUAAUGUAUUUAAUAUGAGUUAUUUCGCCUGAUGUCUUCGGCGGUAGCGAGUUCACUCCGGCCUUUGACUCUUACUUCCUUUACUAGAAGUCUGUAUUUCCCCCGAGAUUCUUGCGCUUGUUACUGACCAUGUGCCUAUGAGUCUUACUUUACUUGGAUUCCGUCUUUCCUUACUCGAUCUCAGGCUGACUUUUCACUCUAUGACUUAUUACUUAGGGGAUCCAACUCGGAACUGGGCUUUAACUACUAUCUAUUUCAUUAUACUAUCCAUUAGAAUUGAGCCGAUACUGAUGAGAAUGAACCCGGGAACAGGGAAUGCGACUAGCGCUUCUAAUAAGGUAACUCAAAGCUGGUAAUCCAAUCUAUUAAGUCAGAAAUCAACAACUGCUAACAAGAAUGGAACAGUUCACGCAACUCUAAGAAAACGGAAAAAGGGGAAUGGAGCGACUCUAGCUAGAGGCCUGCCACUACUACUUCCAUUACUUUAACUAGAAACUCCGGCUUUACCUCCUGCCUAUCAGUAUGACUUGACUUUCUCUUAAACUCAGCUACUCCCGAUAAAGACCUUAGCUCUAAACUCAGGCUUACCCUGCUGUUUAUAAUACCUUAGCUCGGAACUCAUACUUAUACUGGUGCCUCUGAUAAUCCAACUACUAAUAGAAGGGAUGAACCAAAGGCAUACAAUAAUUCCAUUGGGUAUACUCGAUUUUCACUAGUGGGCAAACAGACAAAAAACAGUGCUUCCCAUCAUGAAACUCGGAACUAGGGCUUGCUCUACUUGCUGUAAACUAAACGACUUAUUUGCAACCUGACACUGCUUUAUUGCAGUAUACCAUCCCUUUCUUUAAGCCUAAGUUUCCUGUCUCCCGUUCUCUAACAUUACCCUGCUCCACGGAAACCCAACCUUAUAAAAACAAUAGCAGUUUUCCAACCCCAAGAAGGUAGUGGCAUAGAAACAGUGCUAAAGUCAGCAUCAAACGGUUAUGCAAGUAGAGAGUAAGCAGAUGCAUUAUUAGAAGCCUAAGAUGAAUUUGGUGAGUCAGCUGUUAUAUAAUUUAGUAAAGAAGAAUCAAGAUCAGAAGAAUAAGUGAUUGUUUUGUCCUAGUCUUAGAUAGAGGAAUCAAUGCCUUUGCCAGACGAAGCCAUUCAAAAGUCUGCAGCUGAAUGACUAGUUCCAGGUUAGUUUGGAGUUGCAGUUGGAAUUGCCUCCUUUCCUUUACUUACCGCAGUACCACAGAGGUUAAACAACGAGAAUUGUCUUAUUUACUACGAUGUAGAGAAUUGUCUUAUUUACGAUGUAGAGUAGUGGUUGCAGGCGCUUUCGCUCAAAGUCAGAAAGUAGUAUAAGUAUGCAGGACGUAGUAGCUUGGCCGGUUUACAGGAAAGUAGACUGCGUAAGGCGCUCUCAAUGUGGCCUGGAAAAGCAGGGUGAAGGUUCCUAAACCGAGACGGGUGUUAGCGAGUUUACAGUUGACUUUAUCUGCGCGUAAAGGAAUCAAUUGAUGUUUCACUUCGAGAUGGAGAGACUAAGCAAUCAGAUCUUAAUUCCAGAAAUUCUGUUACGCUAAGGCUUCAAUGAAAUCCCAUUCUGCAACGGAAGUUCGGGGUUGUCGAUUAAGAAAUCUCUUUUCUCAAUGAAAGUGUAGUUCCAGAUUCAAGAUCAGCAGCGGAAGGAUCCACGUAAGCCGAUACGAAAUAAGGACUUGCGCGUAAGCAAGAAGAGUAGCCAGGCGUUACUCCUUCAGGUGAAACUGGAAUCUGUGUUUGCAACGAGAUCCGUAGAUGAAGAGAGUCGACGAGAGAAGAAAGGCCACUACAAGGUUAGGCAAAAGAUAAGUAAGGGUUAAGAGCGGAAUAAAGUACUAUUUCUGGCAGUAGUGGAAUUCCAGUUUUCUCAGUUAUCGAGUUGGAAGCUAAAGCGUUAAGUAUUGCCAGGCCCAGAAACAGUUGAAGUUAUAGUUCACACAGAAGAAGGAAUUGUGGUUCCAGUGGAAUCUCGAGCUGAAGCAGUUUUGUUUCAAGAGAUUUAUUGUUAACUGCUGUAGUAGCUUGUCGUGUUUUUACUUUAGCUAAUGGAGUGGAGUUAAACAGUGUCAGUGAGUAUGCUUUGGCGCAAAGAAAGAAACAAAGAAAGAAACUAAGGAUGCUUGGGGCGAGAUCCUGGUCUUUACUGCUCUGUGGGCGGAGUUGAACAUGGGUAUUACGACGAGUAAGGCAUUAUUGACAGCUCUUUCACCGAGUAGAUAAGAUGGCAUUCAAGCGAGAUCUGGAUCCGUUCUAAAGUCAGCAAUAAGGUAUAGAACAACUCUUAUUAAUAUUACCCCAAAUCUAUAUGAUAAAGAAAGAGAAAAUGGGGUAUUUGGCCUCUAAAUCCGGUGGAACAGGAGAACAAUAAUUAGCUGUUUCCAGUAGAAAGAGAAUCCGCUAGAGAAGAUACUCGAUUUGAAGCAUAAGAUGCUGCAGGGGCUAAAGGAAAGUAGCAAACUACAAGAUCAGAAGCCUCAGACGAAUCUCCUUCUUAUAGAAUACUAGUAACCGGUCACCCUAAAAUCCGGGACCCUAUACCUUUUGGAUUGGAGAGUUCGGUGCUCUAGUUUCAUCGCUAGUUCCCAUCCUCUCUUAAUAGAAUGGAAGACAGAAUGCUUAGGCGCAGGUCAGGUUAGCUAGCGGAACCUAAAGUGGAGUUUCAUCGUAUGUAGAAAGAAGCUCUGCUGAGGUGCUCUAGCUCUAAGUAAGAAAGUCUAGUUCGCCGUUUGACAAGGCGCUCGAUAAUCAAUUCCUGUUUUUAUAGUGUUGGUUUGAGUUGAGUUCCCGUUUGAGUAUCCGCUAAAGUGUAAGUUCAAUCUCAUUCUUCGCAUAAAGGAACUCUGUGCUCGAAAGAUGAAAUGAAUUAGGAAGACAGGCCAGUCCCUAUAAGACUAAGUAGAUAGAAUAGAAGAAAUAAGGAAUCGUAAUAACUUCAUGAAGCGGAAGCCAUAGUAGGAGUAGUAACAAGAUCUGUUGCAAGCACAAAGUUCCCUGAGAGUAUUGUUCCAGAUGAAACAUAAGCUGGAGAAUCCGCAGUCCGCCUGUCAGCACCAACCGCUCCCGUCCUGGAAUCCGUUUCUGUUUGAGACGCAUGUUAGUAUGUAAUUCCAUUCUUCCAUUUUGUCCUAUGAUUCCUCUUAUUGCUAUGAUUCCUUAACUGUAAACUAUCAACUGUAAACCUAAACUUUCCCUGACCCCUACUCAUACUAACGCUACACAUUAUACGUGGGCUGGCUGCCGCGCAACUAACUACAAAGCUUGGCGGUCAUUAUCCUAAGCUUGUCUACUUUUUGAGUCCACCAAGAAUUCUUGACUUCAAAGUGGUUAAGCUACUAUAUAUCCUGUAUACGCUCUUUCGAUUCCCCGAAGAUUCUAAGAUAAGGCAUUUCAGGUCUAAGAAAAGAAACAGCAAGCUAAUUAGAGUUUCUCAUUUAUGUUUAUAUAGUAGGGUUCUCUCAAGGACACUGAUCUCUGGACAAUUCUAAUACGGAGGGCAGUUGGCUAUACCACACAAGAUGACAGGCAGUUAAUAUCCUAGAGUGCCUCUUCCGCUAACUCUCAAUAGACUUGAAUUUCCGUAAGAAUGCAGGGUUUAACCCUUCUACGAUUCGUGACUUUCUUUUGAUCACAUUGAGCCAGGCUGAGAGACGAGGAGUAGCUCCGAAAGAAAGAAUAGCCAGACUUUCGUGUACUUGGUGGUGUCCUUCUAUUUGCGUUUCGUGUCUAAAUCUAAGUAGAAGCAUGAGUAAGGUGCUAAGAGCCUUUGAAUCUUGGUGUGAAAAAGAAGGGUGCCCCCCUGCAUACGUAUAUGAUUGAUUGAUCUCCUCCCCGGCCCGUAGAUGUCAAAUACAAAAAGGGGGAUUUUCAGUGAAUAUAUAAGCAAAGAGGACAAGAGCCCGAUUGUUUGGGGCGACUACACGGCGGAGCGGAUUCUUUAAAUAUCGGCUGCUAGUCCAAAUCAAUAGCAGAGCACAAGCCUACCAUCAGACUAGAUUAUAUCCAAACCCCAGGGUUGUUCGGACUGGUACGAUCAAGACUUCGACUCCGACCUCCGAAGUAAGGUCUUACACUCCUAGAAUCAAUAAUCUAUAUUAGGUCUUCUAGGAUCCGCAGGUCGUGAAGGAGAUAAGCAGGACUCUUGGUGAAAGGAUUUUCGCUGACUCUUUUACCUUGAAAGUCAAAACUAUCCGGAAGAGUAUUCUUUUGAAUGCCUUGAGCCUUGAGGUAAGCAUUACUUACCACCAUCACAACUCAUGAUUCAUGUCUUUCGAAGAUAGGGGAACAUUGUGUUUUGUCUUUCCAUGAUUGAUUUAAGCGCUUUACAGAAUGGAUAAGGUUUGGAACUAGACAGAUUGGCAGUAAUGCGAAAACAUAAUCCCAAAGAGAAUAAAGAAUAGGGAGAAUUCAGAUUUGGUGGUACCUUCAUUGAUACUCAUCAUGCGAAUUGGAGAGCAUGCCCCUAUGUAUCUGUUCUUUAUGAGAAGUUCCUUCUAAAGAUGUCAACAUCUAUUUUGGAUUCAACAGCGGAAAAACAUCAAACAAUUCAUGCUUACUAUAGGUUCUAUUUGGCUUGUCGAAAUACCGUCAUCAUAAAUGAUGCCUUGCCUCGAUGGUAUACCUAUCGCAAUGCCUUCAUCCAAAUUGGAUAUGACCGGAGAAAAGGGAAUCUGCCAAUCGGUUAAAGCAAAGAUUCUGUUGGUGUUCCAUAAGCCCUAUUCCGUCCUAUUUUCUUAACGUUAUUAGUAGCGGCUCUUAAGAAGUACGCCCAAAAACAACAGGCGGCAACCNNNNNNNNNNNNNNNNNNNNNNNNNNNNNNNNNNNNNNNNNNNNNNNNNNNNNNNNNNNNNNNNNNNNNNNNNNNNNNNNNNNNNNNNNNNNNNNNNNNNNNNNNNNNNNNNNNNNNNNNNNNNNNNNNNNNNNNNNNNNNNNNNNNNNNNNNNNNNNNNNNNNNNNNNNNNNNNNNNNNNNNNNNNNNNNNNNNNNNNNNNNNNNNNNNNNNNNNNNNNNNNNNNNNNNNNNNNNNNNNNNNNNNNNNNNNNNNNNNNNNNNNNNNNNNNNNNNNNNNNNNNNNNNNNNNNNNNNNNNNNNNNNNNNNNNNNNNNNNNNNNNNNNNNNNNNNNNNNNNNNNNNNNNNNNNNNNNNNNNNNNNNNNNNNNNNNNNNNNNNNNNNNNNNNNNNNNNNNNNNNNNNNNNNNNNNNNNNNNNNNNNNNNNNNNNNNNNNNNNNNNNNNNNNNNNNNNNNNNNNNNNNNNNNNNNNNNNNNNNNNNNNNNNNNNNNNNNNNNNNNNNNNNNNNNNNNNNNNNNNNNNNNNNNNNNNNNNNNNNNNNNNNNNNNNNNNNNNNNNNNNNNNNNNNNNNNNNNNNNNNNNNNNNNNNNNNNNNNNNNNNNNNNNNNNNNNNNNNNNNNNNNNNNNNNNNNNNNNNNNNNNNNNNNNNNNNNNNNNNNNNNNNNNNNNNNNNNNNNNNNNNNNNNNNNNNNNNNNNNNNNNNNNNNNNNNNNNNNNNNNNNNNNNNNNNNNNNNNNNNNNNNNNNNNNNNNNNNNNNNNNNNNNNNNNNNNNNNNNNNNNNNNNNNNNNNNNNNNNNNNNNNNNNNNNNNNNNNNNNNNNNNNNNNNNNNNNNNNNNNNNNNNNNNNNNNNNNNNNNNNNNNNNNNNNNNNNNNNNNNNNNNNNNNNNNNNNNNNNNNNNNNNNNNNNNNNNNNNNNNNNNNNNNNNNNNNNNNNNNNNNNNNNNNNNNNNNNNNNNNNNNNNNNNNNNNNNNNNNNNNNNNNNNNNNNNNNNNNNNNNNNNNNNNNNNNNNNNNNNNNNNNNNNNNNNNNNNNNNNNNNNNNNNNNNNNNNNNNNNNNNNNNNNNNNNNNNNNNNNNNNNNNNNNNNNNNNNNNNNNNNNNNNNNNNNNNNNNNNNNNNNNNNNNNNNNNNNNNNNNNNNNNNNNNNNNNNNNNNNNNNNNNNNNNNNNNNNNNNNNNNNNNNNNNNNNNNNNNNNNNNNNNNNNNNNNNNNNNNNNNNNNNNNNNNNNNNNNNNNNNNNNNNNNNNNNNNNNNNNNNNNNNNNNNNNNNNNNNNNNNNNNNNNNNNNNNNNNNNNNNNNNNNNNNNNNNNNNNNNNNNNNNNNNNNNNNNNNNNNNNNNNNNNNNNNNNNNNNNNNNNNNNNNNNNNNNNNNNNNNNNNNNNNNNNNNNNNNNNNNNNNNNNNNNNNNNNNNNNNNNNNNNNNNNNNNNNNNNNNNNNNNNNNNNNNNNNNNNNNNNNNNNNNNNNNNNNNNNNNNNNNNNNNNNNNNNNNNNNNNNNNNNNNNNNNNNNNNNNNNNNNNNNNNNNNNNNNNNNNNNNNNNNNNNNNNNNNNNNNNNNNNNNNNNNNNNNNNNNNGAAGCUCUAUAACAACUGCGGAGAAGCUCUAUAACAACCAAAUAGGAAAGAUCUUGAAGGAAAGAAAGAAAGGAGAACUUUGGAUAGGAAAGGAAAGAUCUUGAAAAAAAGGAGAACUUUGGAUUAUUCCAUAUCAAAGGGCUGAUUCCACUUCCAACUUACAAGGACUGAUUCCACUUCCAACUUACGGAGGAUGAUAUCUUCGUAGACAAUAAGAGAUAGAUCUAGGGGUCAGGAGAUGAUCUUUGUAGACAAUAAGAGAUAGAUCUAUGGGUAAAGAGAUGAGAUUCUUUCUUAUUAGUGGAAAAUUGCCCUAGCUAGAUUCACUCCCUUAUUAUAGCAGCGCAGCCCCUUGGCUUUGUCCCAUAACAGCUGAUAGCAAGCAUUCCUGACUUUGGCUUUGUCCCUUACCAGCUGACAGCAAGCAUUCCUUACCUUGGCUUUGUCCCUUACCAGCUGACAGCAAGCAUUCCUGAAUGGAUCUAGACUCUUUGGCUACCGGCACCUCAACAAAGUCACUUUCCUUCCUUCCACUCUAAUAGUUCUAGCUUUCUUUAGGGGCCAUAAGAAGAAAGUGGAAUGUGCUAUUCUCAGUCAUCCCAUUCCCUUCCAGUUGGAACUAGUAAUGCCGCAUCAGGCUCUUCCUUCUUAUUGAGAGCAAAGGGGUAUACCUUCUGCGUGCUUAACCCAGCAAGAUCCGAGAUCUGAUCUACGUCCUGCUUACCCGCAUACCCUUGAAAAGACACUUUAUGCCCCAGGUGUGAAGGAACUUCUUGCACAUGGGGAAGGAAUUCGGAGGGAAUAAGGCAUCAAAGAUCUAUGGCAUCAGUCGAAGACUAGGUUGCAUCAUAGAAUAUAUAGGUUGCCAAUAAGAUGAAGGCAAUUCUCUUAAAUAGGGAAGGGGAGCUAUGUCUUUACUCAUAGGGAAGGGGAGCUAUGUCUUUACUCCACUAUAUACUUGGUGCUCGAAAACAAACAAACAUCACUUAUUUCAUUGAAAAAAGCAAAUAGAAUAGUUAAGGGAAUGGAAUCAAAAACAGAUAAUAGAGAAUACGAUAUGGAACAAUAAACAAGUACUGUAGCGCCUAGAAGCAUAAGCCACAUAUCUUGGAGUUCCGAGUUCACCCAGAACCAUAUCAGAAGCGGGAGACAGAGAAUCACUUCAGGGUUAAGAAAGGAGAGUUCGAGUAUAGGAUCUUAUCUCUAUCGGUAAAGUCGAAAGGAACCGACCCAUAGCAAGCGGAAAGUGGAGUUUCAGAAUCAUUAAUACAUCCUGUCUGGGGUAGGAACUUUAUAAGUUGUUGUAUCCGGAAUAAGGAGAUACUGAAUCUACUGGAUCUAUAGAAUCAUAUAGAUCAGGGAGCAAUAGUAAUAUGUCCAGAGUCGGUGUAAGGAGAAGAAGUUCAGCAGCUAGACAGAAUACAAAUAUCAGAAGAGAAAUAGGGCUAUAUUUAGGUAAGAAGAAUAGGAAUAGGAUUUCGCUAGGUAUUAUAGAAAAGGGUAAGUCACAAACCAUGCGCUCUCUACUUAUUGAAUCGAAUCGGCUGACUUUUGAACUUCUGAAGAUCCUAAUUCCAAUCCAACUCUUUCUGUAUCUGUAGUCCUGUUUUCUGGGGCCCCCGUGUGUCUUUCUCUAUGACGAGUAGUUAACAGGCGUUAAACGACAAGCUUCUAAAUUCAUGCUCUUGCUUCAAUGGAAUCUCUUUCUGGGGAAUUUGGAGUGGGCAUUAUUGCCCCAUGUCGGUUCCGCUCUUAAUCGUUCCCUGCCUCUGUUCAUCACGCUGGUUCAGUAGUUUCGAUCAACGAUGUCUCUUUCGUCGUCGUUAAUACGUGGAAUAGAGAGUGACUCGGCAGUGGUCUCGUCUGGUGCUUUCCCAUCGCAGCACUUCCUUGUUAGUCGAUUCAUGUGGAUGGUGAUCCAUUGGUCUUUCAAUCGACUGGAUCAAUCUUCUCAGGAUUCUUAUACCGACGAUGGCCUUUUUUCAGUACACCUUAUUGACUUCAGUAAUGGAAUCUAUCUCACCCGCCUCUCAUUUAGGAAUAGAAACUACCUUUCCUGUUAGCGCAGAGGAAAACAACACUCUAAAUUGAACUGAUGUGUAUUGCAGACAUGAAUUUAUUGAAUCCUAUAAUCUAAGGAAUUUCUCUAAGACACCUUGGGCUACGGGCAAUCACAGGACAUUAAGCUGCUGACUCCCAGUUUACUGCUGGCUCUCUCUCUUGGGGUGCUAACGGGUGAAGCCCUGUAACUCGCUUGUUUGUUUGUUCUCCUGACUGCAAUUACAAAUUGAGGGUUAUAUGAAGACAACUCUGGUUUUCACCCGAUACUUGAAAGUUCAAGAACUCCUGCCGCGGAAGGAGCCCCGGUGCUAGAGUCUGAGUUGUUGUAGAAAGAACAGCUCUUGGUCUUGCUUGGGAGGGAAGGAAGGCUUUUUUGGUUUUGGGCUAUUACUAGUAGAUCCCUUUCUCUUUGCACGAACAGGGAAAAGAUCAAAGCAAGGUAUUCCUUUUGAGAAUCUAGUUGAUGCGAGCCUAAUUCAUUAUGCCAUAUCCACUCGACUCGGGUAAGCCAAAAAAGAGGUGUCUCAAUAGCCCUUGGGUGAAUAAUAGAAUACGGGAAUGAUUCAUUGAACGGAACCUACCAGUUAGGCUUGGAGAACAGAGCUAGUCAACAGAUCUAGACGUGCGAUAUGGGACACGAACGCCAGGCCCUGUUGCCUGAAGGGAGGGACGAGGUCUUUCUUUUCGGUCUUUCUUUUAGAGACAAAGGGUUAGGCGGCUGAUUCAGAGGAGUAGGCUAUUGGCAUUCCAUUCCGGACAAGGCAGUUAGCGGACUUCAGGCUAUCACUCUCUUCCGGGCAUUAGCAAGCAAUCCAGACAUAAAUAUCUGCCGAGCCAGCCGGCAAUCCAGACAUAAAUAAGGAGAAUUGAUAUCUGCCGAGCCAGCCGGUAAGAAAGCUAACCGAAAUAAGGUAACAGAAGGAUUCUGCUAGUCUAUGAAUAGAGAAACAAUCAGUCUGUGAUAAGCAUAGCAUCAGAUAGCUGAAAGAAGUUGCUAGUUCUGUAAGCCUAUUACGAUCAGCAGUAGCCGAACGAACUGGAUGCUAAUCAGUCAGAUCAGAUAGGAAAAGCCUUUGGCAUCUAAGCUGGCUCACGGUGGAUAGCUAGGCAUGUAAGGUAUAUUCUUCUCUUGACUAUGCCAAUCCUAUCCUUUACCAACAAGCAGGCUACCGAUAUAGCUGUGGAUUGAUAUAGAGAGUAUACUGUGCCAAGCCUAGAAAGUCAUAAUUUCUGAAUGGGAACUUACAUACAAAAAGAAUGGAACAGUAGACAACCUUGGUGUAAAAGUGGAACAUGCGAGAAAUGACGUACCCCACUUAAGCUUGAAGAUCCUAAUCCUACUGCUCGAACAGUAACUCCACGAAACGACUUUCCAAGAACUGCUUCCACAGCGUAUUCUUUUGGGCUUCAGAUCUUGAGACUUCCAAAAUACAGAUAAAGAUUCAUAAUUAAUGGAAUAUUGGACUUGGGCGUGUUAGGAAGUUAAGCAAGAACAAGUAAUGGCGUUCCAUACACGUAAGCACCCGAACAAGCUUAUUUCUACGAACAAGAGCUACGGUCGACCACUACAAGGGGCUUCAGAGCAUAAGGGCACAUAAAGUAUACCUUUUAGCAUCGCGGGGAAACUCCUCUCUAUCAUGUGGGAAUCCUCAUUGAAACUUGGAAACGGUACUUCUGAUGCAUUUCACCCUAACAUAUGACCUGUUCCCUUGCGCAACGGGUAGAUCCUCGUGUAAUGAGUGGGCAGUAGAGAAAAUACAUCCCACAAUAUAUUCUGACUUAAUAAGAGCACUUGGGAUAAAGUGACGUAAAUCCACUAUUCCCUUUGCUUUUGACGAACUCUACUUAGAGCUAGAGCACCGAACCUCUCUCGUAGACAUCAAGCCAAUAACCGUACAAAACGGAACUUCCCGAUCCAGAUCCUAAUUAUGCUUCAAAGCCCGGAUGAAGAAGGGACGUUGCUUGGUGGACUUGCUUAUUACUGUUAUUAACUCCUAAUGUUAUUGUCCCCUUUCUCUUCUGACCCGUGCCCCGACCUCCACUUUCCGUUUAGAAAUGUCCACUCUUGCGCCAACAGCUUUCCCUCCACUUUCCGUUUAGAAACGUCCACUCUUGCGCCAACAGCUUUCCUUCCAGUUUCAGAUCAGUCUUCUUGAGCACCAGGUCCGGUAUGGAAAUAAGUCAAGUAUCGAACAGUCCAUUCCCUUUUUCAACAACAUUAUUUCCUUGCCUUGCCGGAAACUCCAAAUCGAAGUGUCCCGAGUAGUAGGUCCAGUCAAAACAUUAACAUUAAGGGUCUUGAAUUGCACUUUCGCCAACAAAGGCGGAUACAGAUUCAAUAAGGGAUGAAACGAAAACUCCACUUGAUGAUUCUUCACCGACAACAAAGGGAAAGCCCAGAACUGCACCAGAAGCUUACGUAGUUAUGUACUCGAAAGUGGAAGAAUGAUUUGUUGCUUCAGCGAUAAGGGACUGAGUGAGAAUACUAGUAAGUCCCCUGGGGUGCCUCUAACUCUACUCUUGGAAAGUAUUCAACUCUAUUCUGAAACUCUUACUUGCGAGUGGAAUUCUUUACUCCGAUAGUUUCAUUGUUUAUUUCGAGUGGAAUUCUCACUUUUCUAUAAGAGCACUAGGGGAGUCGUUCAAUUCUCACCUUAGAGUGGAGAGCACAUGGUUUGUUAUACCCAUCUCUAUUAUCCCUAGGCGGGGAACAAGGAAGUUAUUACAAUCUCUUUGACUUAUUAUUCUUAUUCUCUAUACGGGCGCAAAGGGAGCUUCCUUGCCUAUAAGAUAUUCUGUUCUUCACCCCUAGCUAUAGCUUCUUAUCUUUCAAGAGCUUCUUAAUACGGUUUAUUACUUACUUCUUUUCUUCUUAACACCGCUGAUCCAUUCUCGUAAACUACACUCGCUCGCACUGCUUAUUCUUAUGCUUGAGAUCUUUAUUACCUUGCUGGUUAUUUAGCCGAUUCCCUAGCUUCUGGUGUUGGCGAAAGUCCUGUUUGGGGGUUAUAAAAGUAGAGUUAAGGUCGGAUUAAAGUACUGGUUCUUAUGCUUGUGUUUAAGGCUGUAACUCCUUUCCUUGGACUUAAGUGGAUAAAGCUGUUCCUGUGAAAGUGGAAUCCGCCUCUGUUGCUUGUGUUACUAAGUAUUCAAUAGAAGAAGUGUAAGUAGGUUAAAGUGUUGCAGUAGAAGGAGCUCGAUUGGCACUCUCAUCUUAAGAUUCAAUAAAUGAUUUAUUUGACUUCAGACUCAACACCAACUCUCUUGACUGUGCCGGUUAGAAAUAGAUUUCCAUUGAAGCGGUUCAAUUCAAUGAUUAACUGAAACAAACUAGAGUGAAGCGAAGGAAAGAGGACAAGACAAGUCACUACUUUAAGCGGUAGGAGCGGAUGAGUUUAGCUAAAGGGAGCUUGGAGACAAGCACUUAUUAACGCAGCUUCGCGAGUGGAAUCCGUUUGUCCACUUUCAUCCUAUAUCAAUGGAAUUUCUAAGGCUAUUUCGGGAGCUGCACCAGCCAUUACUUGUUUUGUUCUGGCGCUGUUCAACAGUUGGGCGAGUAAGGCCAGUCAAUCCUGAAUUUAUGAAUCUCACUGACUUAAUGAAGUAAACAAACAGAGCAUUGCUUCCAAACUACUCCUAACAUGAAGGGGCUAACUCACUUAAGAAAAGGGCUUGUUCACGAAUAGCUUGUUCUCGAACGGGGCACUUUAUAGGUAGGGGGGAAGUCUGGAAUAUAAGACCCCCAGCCAGAUCUGCCUUAUCGAACAUCUAAUACUUACGCCAAAUAUUCUAUUGCAUGUGAGGGCUUGUUUUCAAUUGAAUAAGAAUCUCCUUUUGAGGAAGAGAAGGAGGGCUGGUAUUUCAUUAUCAGAGGACUAGUCGUUAGAGCUAGUAAUGAAGAUGGCAUGAAGAUCGGCAUAUUACUAUUACUCUUAUAGACGAGAGCAUCUAGAGCAAUGGAUCGAGUAACUCCGCUCCGGAUCAACUGCCUAACGCGCAUAAACGAAGCUCGCCCCCUGUACUGUAUGUAUUUCUGUUAGUCACUCCCUCCCGCUAAAGCUAAAGCAGAAGAUGCGGCUUAGCCAGCAGCACUCUUUGAUCGAACCUUCUGUUGUAAGAAGAAGGCCUUUGCCUGGUCAAGAGAAAGAAGCUAUAAGUGACUUAGAGGCCUCAGGUAAUAAUAGAGUCCAGUCCGUAGGAAGGUAAUGCAGCUAAGCCGAGACUAGCUUGCUUCUGAGGCAUUGCAUACUUUUCAAACCAUUAUUAUAUGCUAUUAUAUGACGAUAUGAUCUUUUCUCUUGUUCAGAAGUGACGUUUGCUGCUAUCUACGACAAGAGUUAAGGAAUUGAUAGGGAAUCCGGUCUUAGUUUGAAAGAAGAAAGAACAGCAGCUCCAUUUUAGAUUCAAUCUGGCAAUAACUCUAGGUUCUUCACCAGUUUGGAUUGAGCUUUCACUCUUUCAAGGUAGAGCGAGAGAGAAGGAUGACUUCGACGAGCGAGAGAGAAGGAUGACUUCGACCGGGCCUGCCACUCACUCCACCGGAACCAGUAUGCUUCAUAAUACUGACCCAAUCUCGAUUUGGAAGUCGAGACAUCACAACUCCUGUGGCCUGCGAACUCUCUUGCAAUCCUACUUUUACUCUACGGCUGAUAUGGUAGGGUAGAAAUGGUUUGACAUCAAAGUCUGGAUGUAGUUUGGUGAAACCCGGCAGAUGAAGAAGCCCUAACGAAAGCAGGGAUCAUCUUUGAGAAGUAAGCUAUCUCUUGCCCUCUUUACCGAUUUGCAUCCUUACCUUACGAAAAAUGGAUGACUUAUAUGGAGCGAUGGAAGAGUAGAGGACCUCCUUGAGAUGGGGAGAUGCUUUUACCAAUGAAAGGAAUUAGCUCCUGGAAGGCCAUAGCAAGAGAGAUAGCGUUGGUUUCCGACUUAGUGAGAGAAGUAGGUAGUAUCAAGCAACAGGCAACCGAGGGUUGUUGAAGAACCCGAGUGUAUCAAUGGAAUGAUUGAGCGUUACGGGUACUCGGGAGUUAAGGACAGGCUUGACUAAAGUCCCCUCACUGGUAAAGAUAUUAGUAAGUGCCUUUCUACCAACCCUUUGGAAAAAGAAGCAAGCCCUCAUUCAAUUGAAAGACUUCCACCCUGAACAAAGAAAGACAUAAAGAGCAGAGCUCUCAGGACGCAAGGCUUUGUAGGUAAGGCGAUCCCCUCAAGUAUAACAGAGCACCUGCGAGCUACUGGACAGGAGCGAUCCAUAAGAAUAGCCUCGAAUAGCCCUAACCUCAUCUCGCCUUCCACCGCACCAGCAAGAGGAAACCGAAUGAGAGCAGACAGAAGACUAAUGCCAUCCGAGCAGAACCAGAAACUUGGACGCCGCCCAACAAGCACACCGGUUACUGAUGAAAGACCGUCUUAAAAGACUAGGAGCUGAUUCUAACAAAGAGAAAGACAAAAGUAGCUUGGCCCCCUUUUAGAUUCUUCACCGACGAAACUGUCAACCGAACUCAAACUUUCCUUUAGCGUAGUGCAAUCCAUUCCUCAUAUUAAUUGGACUCUCUAACAGAGCAUCUAAAUAGAAGUUCUUCUUAUUACCAGAGUAUCUAUAUCCACAACAUCCUUAUCUUAUAUUAUUGCUGACAUUGCUUACUGCUGGAACAACACUUUCUGAAUCGCUCGUUGCCAACACACAGAUGAAACUCUCCUUGAUGGCCCGAUAAGUCCCCGAUACUGAAGCAUCAAAAAGAAAGGUGCUGAAAGCCUUCUUAGAUUUGGAGAAGUGCCGAUUUUCAAGAACGUGAAUCUUAUGAUAUGUAUGGGGAAUCUCUUAUGAUAAUCAUCCACGCCUUCCACUUAUUUUGAUGCCGGAAAGUUGGAUAGGUUGGCCCCUACGUAAGGACUACUAUAUUACUCCCCCUAUUUCUCUAUGAAAUACAAGAUUGGAUUGGAUUUGUACAGUGUGUAGGAGGUACAUUCUUUCUAUUGCUAUCCUUUCACUCCUCUCGACUCUACUUGAGAAGUGUUUUUCACUUAUAUGUUCUGUAUGAAUUAUAGAUAUCUUACAUAAGAGACGGAUUCUUCUUUUUGACUAAAGCACAGUAAGAAGAAACAUGAAAGAAAAAGAGAGAGACGGGAGCAUAAUAGAACUUUGUUCUUGCUUGACCAUUACCUUCCAUACAUAUAUUUUGACCAAUAAAUAGGAGGAGGUGUAUAUAGUUAGACAGAUAGAUGAGUAAAUACGUAUGAAUACUCAAAAUACUAUUAACGCCCGGCCUGAUCCAUCUCGAUUCAUUUGUAUGAUCAUAUCUAUCCGAUACAUUAUUUACGUAUCAGGAACAUGAUUGGGACUGGUAACACGAGAUGAGAGAAGUAUUUUCCUCCGAUCUACCAACUGAGCCGACCAUUUACCGUGCAUAAUCCUAGUAUAGUACUCUAAUCUAUGUCAAUUAAUGGGACUAAACAAACAAAGUAGUAAAAGGGACUAAACAAACAAAGUAGUAAUAAAUGACACUAGUAAGUGUAAGGAUAAUGAUAUGGACUGUGAAUGAUUCAAUAAUAGAGAUUCUUUGCCCAUAUAUGUUCAUUUGUACAGGUUCUAUCCAAAUUGGGAUAAGAUCAUGAUUGAAGUUCGGAUCCUUUUGUGAAAGAGUAGAGUGAAUGAGAAAGAUAGUGCAGUUUGAACUAAACCACUGAUGCAAAAUAUGGAGUAUAAUAACUUUGGAAGUCAGCUUUAUUGGGAAUAGAGUAGGCUUUAUUGGGAAUAGAGUGACUUGAAACCCUAACAUUUUGAAAGUCGAUGACAGACUAACUGCUGGAAGGAAAGGGUAGUUUCAUUUAGAUUCACUAUUUAUUUGAUAAGAGAAUGGCUUCCAAUUCGGAACUGAAACUGGAGUUCUUGUGCGAGUGUUGUCAAGCGACGACUCCUCUUUUCUUGGUUGCCAUAACAAUAGAGUAUUUUCAAACAAGGGAAGAAAUAGAAUCAGCAGCACCGAGAUCAGAUGCAGUUUCCAGGGGUAAAGUUCCUGCUCUCCGUCUCUGCUUGAGUUUCCGAACACAGGACUUGUUUCUAACUAGAGAAGAAAGGAACGAAAACAGGCGAACGAACAAAGAAGGCUUUCCCCUAGGUCGUUAUGUCUAUUCUAUGGAACGGAGCUACUCGUAGGAAAGAAAGACGUAGAGAGCCUAUGAGUAUAUGAAUGGAUUAGGAGGAUUGGGAUAUCUAAGAAAUGCGGAAAUCAAUCCUGAAGAGUCAAUAUCUGUUUCACGCAAACACCGAACUCCGACUCUUUAGAAGAAUUGUUGAGGCAUGCCAUAUACCAGCUGCAUUGCAUUAUGGACCGGCAUCCAGUCCAGUACCUGACCUUAAUCAUCUACAUAAGAGCAUAUCGGCGCCUAAACCCUAAACUAUACCAAUCGGACCCAACAUCCAUCAUAUUCGAUCCCUGCACCAAACAAACCAUAUCUUAUUGACUUUGCAAUCGUCCCCAACACAUUUCUACUUAUAUCUACCACCUAUCUAUCUAUAUAUCUAAUAGAGAAACAGGUACUACCUACCUAUAUAUCUAAUAGAGAAACAGGUCUCAACCUUCUUGUUUACUCGAUCGACUAACUGGUCUCAUCUCAACCUUCUUGUUUACUCGAUCGACCUAUAGCCAUAGGCACCUUAAAUGGAAAAUGGCAUUAUGGGACCUUAACAUAGAAAAUAGCAUUAUUUACCCAAACCCUAUACUAUCAAAAGGGGGAGGCACCCCAAGAGACUUGCUUAUUCCAUUCCAUUCCCUUACCUGCCAAGUCUGAUUGUCAAGAGUCGUACGAGUGUCUGAGGGCAAGGAAUAGUAUUCAAAAAGGAAAAGAAUGUACCCAUUGGCAUGAUAACCAAUCGCAUACCCAGAAGUCUGAUGAUGCCCGGACCCUUGCAAGAGAGAUUGAUGCGAAUGAGAUUGAAAACCUGAUUGGGCGAUAUCCUCUAAGAAAGAAUCAUUGCGACUCAUUUAUAGUGUUGUUUACAAAGAAGAUUGAAACUAUAAGAGAUACAACGGGAAGCAGCUAAAACCUUAAGGAUCCUGAUAGUUGUAAUAUUAAAGCAGUAUAGUUGUGUGUAUAAAGCUGNNNNNNNNNNNNNNNNNNNNNNNNNNNNNNNNNNNNNNNNNNNNNNNNNNNNNNNNNNNNNNNNNNNNNNNNNNNNNNNNNNNNNNNNNNNNNNNNNNNNNNNNNNNNNNNNNNNNNNNNNNNNNNNNNNNNNNNNNNNNNNNNNNNNNNNNNNNNNNNNNNNNNNNNNNNNNNNNNNNNNNNNNNNNNNNNNNNNNNNNNNNNNNNNNNNNNNNNNNNNNNNNNNNNNNNNNNNNNNNNNNNNNNNNNNNNNNNNNNNNNNNNCGAGAAAGAGAUAUCCAUAAUGGAAGCCCCAGAUAACAUAUGUGAAGACCCAGAGUGCAUCAAACAAAGAAAGGAAUAGGCGAACUUGGUUUGCGGCUUGCUUGGCAAAAAUAUAUAUAGUAGAGGGGUGAAGGAGCUCGGCGGGAAUAAGCUUAGUGCCGGUAGUGCAAUACUACUUUCAAUUACAGAAUCUGAUGAUGAAGAAUAAAAGACUCUAAAAGAAACUGACUCAUAUAGAAUGCAUGUAAGCAAACUGCUUCCUAAAAGCGACUUACUUAUAUAGAAAUGAGGUAACCAAAGAGCUUAUUAAAAGCAAUGCUGUGUUGGCGCAAUAUUGCAUAUGUUAUUUAGAAAAGCAUAGAGAACUGUGAGUUACUGUAGUGAGGUUACAGUUACUAUUGCGCAAGUAUAGUGCUUUUGGUGCCUCGUGCCUCUGUCCUUAGAUUCUAUGGUGAGGGCAGCCUCAAUUCGUUCUUCUUGUUCUUUCGCUCUCUUAUGAAUUAUAUACUAGUGGUUCUUAAUACUCCUAUCAACAAGCAAGGUAAGCGCGUGAGCUUAUUGUUGUUUAGAGUUAGGUUUACUCAGUUCCAUAAGAAGUAGCACUCAAUUAGAUUCUUAUUCCAGUGUUGGGUUGGUGACUUCUUUCUAUACUGUGACAGUGCUAGCUAAAUUCAAAGCAAUGGAACAAGCAAACAAGCAUCGUUCCUAAGUGCUAACGCUUAUCUCUGGGGGUCGGGAUAGCUUCACACUGGCCCAACUGUCCCUAUAGCUAGGUUAAUGCUUGACUUUGUAGCCUGUUUUUCGACCCCUAGAAACCCCUAACGAUAGAAGACUGGAAUUCACAUUACUUGUUCAACCCACUAACGGCACUUUGGGCGAGAUCCACUAGACAAGACAGCGCUACCAACCCAACCUGACUUGAUACUUAAGCGAGCAGAGCUUCUGGAUACGAGAUUAUUACUACAGCAAACUUUCCACUCCACUACUUUGAGCUACACCCUCACAGAAUAAGUAAUAAGUGACACCUCAUAAGUAAUAAGUGCAAGAUUCCAUGAGUAUAUUGAAACUACUUCUCUUAUUUGACUUGAAUCACUCACUUUCCCCUCAUCUCCUUGCUUUCUCUCAAGAAUAGAAUCCGAACCCCCGAUUCGAUUGCUUGUUUGAGUUCUACCACAAUAGCUGCUUUCAAGGAAUGCAAUCCUUAGAUGGUAUGGCAUAGCGAAAAGUUUACACCUUCAUUAUUCUAGGUAAGAAAAUCCCCUUUAGCCUACUCUACUUUUACAUAGCAAACUAGUUGGUGUACUCCCCCUCGACGCGCUGACCCGAUGUAAGUCAAUCCUUUUGUCUCACAGAUCCAUCUUCUUUCUUUCUUAGAGCAUUAUUGAAACCAUUUGAACCUAGUCGCGUGGAAGGAGCCAGAUUACAGAUACUUUCUAUUCUCUCGACGUCUUGACCCAUACAUAGUCUGCUAAUCGAUCAACGUCUUUGAUCCUUACAAGCUUGGAUAGGACAAUAUCUCUCUGUUGUUUGUUACAUAACACUGAAUUUGUUCGUUCUUAUUACUAUGAUUCUUUCUAUUCUUAUUUCUUACUCAUUUUGCUUUAUUAUUUAUGCUGGUUUAACCUCUUCUUAUUAAUUUGUAUAUGAAUACUAGAUGAAUACUAGAUGAAUACACUGUGCCCCCGACUCUGAAAUAAGCCCUCGAGGCAAGGCGCAAAGGAAGAGAUGCUCUUCUUUGGUCUUGAACUAGCUCUCCCCGCUCGAGAGUUCAUGUUGGCGAUUCACUUAAUGAAUAGGUCCUUUGACGAUUCCCUAGCAGUGCCUGUUUGGUACCGAGCUCUUUUACGUCUUUAUUCCUUCACGCGCUAAAAUCCAAUGGGCACGAUCUGCUAAAAAGCCUUGUUUAGUUGGGUCUACAGUUUCAGUGGGUACUCACCUGCAACAUAAGUUGGGCAAAACAAACCUAGGUUCAUUCCACUUUCCACUGGACGAAGGAAAGAAAGAGAUAGAAUACAACGGGUUUUCAGACGUAUAGAGAAUUACACGAGAAUCUAGCCUUGGUCCUCUCUUUCUUUGAUAGGGCACAUAAACCAAUAUCUAAUGUGAAAAGGUUAUUGCUUAUCCCGGAAUAAAUGACAUUGAGACAGAUCCAAGUUACUGCUCAAAAGAAAAAGCGGUAGUAGCCGGGCACCGGUAGCCCCAGCCCGUAUAUAACAGUAUCAGAAAGCUAGCACUCUUUGAUUGCGGGGAAUUUCCUCGAGUCGGGUUCGAUGCCACAAUUAUCAGAUGUGUUCAAUAGUGGUUUUUCAAUUCUUAUAAUUCACUUAGAUAGUGCUUUUGACAUUAUUCUAAUUCACUCUUUCAAAGGUAAUGAAAAGGUGUGUUUCGAAAUUCUUAUAAUUCCAUCUUUCAAAGGUAAUGAAAAGGUGUGUUUCGAAAUUCUUAUAAUUCCAUCUUUCAAAGGUAAGGUAAGAAAAUCCAAUGGUUUUGAUUCAGUAUAUUGAAAUGUUACCCACGCCCGGUUAUCCACUUUCAUUAAAACCAACAUGCCAAGCUUCCUUCUUCGCUCAAGUCUCAGUGCCAAAGUAAGGAAAAGCAAAGACGCCAAGGCUCAAGACCAAAUAAGCCCUACUUUUUCCUAACCUUCGGAGAGAAAGAAAGUAUUCGUUAUCACGCCUUUUCGUAGUAAGCCAAGAGUGAGUAAGUGCUUCAGCAGACUUGUCUUGGAAAGUACCAGGAACAAGUGCUUUAUAGAGUCAAUAAGGAUGUUCUAUAAUUCUUUCGCAAUGAAGCAGCGCCUCUUCAUUGUCUCUCGUUACAGGGUUGGAUGCAUAUUUGACUCUAUGGUUAGGUUCCUUGGUCUAGCCCGCAGAUCGCUUGUCGGGCGCUUUCGGGGGCUACAUCUUCACUUGCGAUCUUCCUUUUUCUCUUUUCCAAGUUCAAAAGAACAAGUAUCUUGUGUUAUAGCCAACGAUUUACCCCCUAUAGAGAGGUUAUACUUCCUAUUUCUCUAUUAGGCUGCUACUCUUAAAUGCAUGUCAAGGAAUGAAACUGUAUGAUAUACGAUCGCAGAGCUCCUUGAGUCGACUAUAAGACUGUAGCAGAGCCUCCUUGAGUCAACUAUAAGACUGUAGCAGAGCCUCCUUGAGUCAACUGUCCGUUUGAUAUACGAUCGCGGAGCUCCUUUAGUCUUAGCUGCCUCUUUUACUGCGAUUUGAAUACUUACUAAUUAGAACAUAGCUUUUGCAUGAAGUAGCUCUCACUCGAUGAAACAUAAAGGGCAGCGGAACAGUGAAAGAACUAUAGGGUUCUAUGGCUUUCUAUCCUGGAUCCGGGGAGCGACUCCCAUAUGUAUGUUCCUUUCGACCUUAAAGCCGAUUGGGACAUGGCUCCUUGCUCGCAUUUCUUUUCUAGUCGGGGUCUUUGUUCGACCUGCACGCCCGCUUUCCUAAAUAGCAUGAAAGGUUCUUCAAUGGUUUGGUCAAGAGGGGGAAUUUCCCAAGGAGAAAGGGUCCUUAUCUCAGGAGACUGAUCGGCGGAGUAAUUUGAUCAUCUCUGUACCGACUUCUACAUCACAAUGACUUUCUAAAGCUUAUGCCCUCUAUUUUCUUGAUUCUUUUCUUUCUUAAACAGCCUUAUAUUCUUUUUCUAGAAGUAAAGCGGACUAGCCAAAGCUUCUGGAAUCACCAACUCUAGCUCGUCCUUUUGGUCCUUUUCUGAUCCUAAACAAGAACGGGCCUACUUUGAGCUCAGCUCCAGGCACCGAUGCCGAUACAAGACACAACCGCUGCAGUUCGACUAAGAGCAUGGUUCCUCCUCCUAACUAAAUAGAUUGGAAGUUAUUAGCUUCAUAUCCCGGUGUUACAAACUUCUUAUUAAUGUCUUUCACGCUCUAAUGGAAGUUUUGUUAGUUUGAGCCAUUGUUGCGAAUGAGAUAGCUUGAACCUAUGUCUCCUAGAUAAUUUACAAUUCUGAAGCUCGUGGAUCCCUCUUUCGUUAUUCCCCCUUGGAUUCUUAGAUUUCUCGUAUACCUUUUUCUCCCUCUGAAAUCUGCACAAUUUCCGCCUUUUGCAUUUCUGGAUGAGAAUCCCACAUCUUUGAAACUAGCCCCACCGUCCCAUCCCCUUGAAUCGGGCGUAAAAGAUUCUAUUGAUGGUGGAAUCGUUCACUCCUCGGUAGAGCCAAGCCUGAGAAAAUCGAAUUAAUAAAGAAGGCGUUAGAAAGGAAGGACGAGGACUCUUGCUUGUCCUGCCAUGCCAUUCAUUCCUACAUAGGGCCUUUGCUUUCAUUGAUUCCUUCUCCCAUCUAUGCGACCACUUCCUUCUCCCAUCUAUGCGACCACAAGUAUCAAUCCAUCUCCAAUUCACGGGAUACCUAUGAGCCGUAGAGCCUACUACCCCAACGCCUUUGCACUUGGAUUUGUAGCUCCGCACUGCAUUUAUCUAUGCAAUGCCACUUUCGCAUUACCUUUUUCCUACUGCUACUCUUCUUAUACCGGCGAAGUUCUUUUGAGCCCCUGGCGAUCGAUUCUAUGAUAUUCCCCCACUUAUGAACGACGCAAAACCAAACCCUUUUUGAUGCCGUAGCUGCAGCUGCCUGCCACCUGCCGAUACUCUUUUCUUGUGACUCGCCUGCCCUCUAUCUCUUUUCCAUGAAUGAAUGACAUUGGGACAGAUCCCUCAAAAGAAAGCUGUAAGGUUGGUUUAAGGAAUAGAACAUCAAAUUGCGGCGUUAAGUACAAUAGUAAGCUCAGCACUGAUACUUACUUACUUAUUAGUGUUAGUAGAGAGCCUUUCAUUAAAGUAUAAGGAGACACAAAGAGAGGUCUUUCAAGGCGGUAUAAUCAUUUUGAUAGGUCUUCAUCAAGUCGGUAGAAUCAUUUGAAUCGUUGUAAGGGAAUGCCUUAGUCAAUCAACUCACUGCCAUUGACCAGGGGAGGGGGUGGGUGGCGAACAAGACUUGCUCGGCAACAGCUGAAAUAGAGGAAUAAGCACAUAGGUCUUGAAGAAGCGGGUCUAUCGAUGAUAGCUUUUUCCAUGUAACGUUGACUUUACCCAGGAUGCGCUUAUCGCAGAACGCCCUAUUGCAGAGCCCAUUAACUUACUCAAAAGAUCAGUAUAGGAAGUUGUUUAGGAAUAUGUCAAAAGGGACGUAUAGGAAGCAGUUUAGUAAUAUAGGAAGCAGUUUAGUAAUAUUCAAUUGUCAAGACCGCUGAGCCCUCCACUGUUAAAGAAAUUCGAUUAGUGCAGUAGGUAACCCAGCCCCUAAGGGUAGUACGGGCCGGCCUUAUACCAAGCAUUUCACUUCACCUAUGCCUAAACAAUGCAAGUAAUCGAAAACAAUGCAAGUAAUCGAAGCGUACCAUGAAAAGCAGAUCGAGAUAGACGAUUCAUAUAAUUGCUUGAGUCACUGAUUCUCAUUGCUUGAGUCACUGAUUCUCUCAGUUUGAACUAAUUACUCAUCUCAAAAGUAAUGUAGAGUUACUCAUCCAAAAAGUAAUGUAGAGAUAUCAUAGGGUAAAAGCUGCACUGCCUUGCGGCCCGCUUUUCAACAAGAAAAAGAACAUUCGACUGAGCUAUCGAGUAAGUAAAGUCGCAGCCUUUAGAGCUGGGUGCCGGGGCUAAGAUGAACCUCCACUCAACCCUCAACCUAGACAUAUAAUUCCUAACUCUUUAGUGGAUGAUUUGAUUGGAAUUACUAGCUCCUUAAUGGAUUUCAUUGAUUCUUUUUUAAGAGCUACCGACCCCAAGAAAAGAGUAUGUUACAUUUCCAACUGGCGGUCUACGUGAUUGAAGAAAGAGCCAUUAGCCCUUGCCUUCAACCAAAGCGGAUUUUUCGAAUAAAGGAAACACAAUGAUAUAAGCCUGCCCUGCAUAAAUCGUCCUGGCACCAUAAACGUCCUUAGCGCUCGCCCUAACUCCAGCCCGUCUUCCAUUCCCCUCCUUUUUUCAGCCUCGCUUAUGUUUCGCUUCAUUGUAAUAAUGAGAAGUCCAUUGUUGGCUCCUGCGCCAUAGCACCACACGCAUAGACGCAUAAGGCCUUUUUUCAUUAUAGAUUCAAGCUGACAACGCUUUCUCUUACUUAGGGAAGCAGAAGCUGCGGGUCGUCGUGUUCGUAAACGCAUCCAAAAUGGUGAAAGUUUCAUCCGAGGCAGAAGCUAACGAAAGACAGCGAGCGAAACGAGGGCGGGUGAAGGAACCGGGGAGAGUCAAUGAAUCCUACCUAUAACUUAAGAGCGGCAAAGAACACUUUGAUUCUAUAUGCCAUUAGUUGAAGCUGUCGUAUACAGUAAAAAGAGAAAAACCUUGCGCCAGCCUUAAGUAUGUAAUUAUGUAAUGCUAAUGAUUCGUAUACUAGGCGUGGUCUGAGUAUAUUCUAUCGACGGAAAGCGUCUAUCGCAGUGCAAAUCAUGUGAGUACCUUACCACCAACCAGAAAAAGUUCCUGCUCGUAAGGCUGGAUUCAAGCCAUGAUUCCAAAUCCGGGGUAGUGGGUCUCCGCCCGUGUGGAGUGUUUGGGAUAGCUGGGUCUAUAUAUGGGUAGAUAUACUAAGAUCUAUAAAGAACAAAUGGGAAAUGAAAACCGACGAAAUACGAUUACGGGCUAAGGAUAGGACCAGUCCGCUGGUCGAUAGGCCAAUAGGAACAAAAUAGGUAUGGCGCCCUAUCUUUCAAGCUUUCAAGGAAGUCGUCUUAUCAAGUUACCCAAUAGAAGGAAGGCUGAAAAACCGGAUCUAUGACUUCACCCUCCCUUGAAGCGCUUCUGGGCUGUUCACUGGAAGCUAGACCUAACAACUAGACGACCACCUGAUCGUAGACCAUCCACCAAAGCCUUUGUUUUUGAUUCUAUUUCUUAUGCAGGGCGUGCUAGCGGGAAGUCCGGUUAUGAACACCCUCCAUCAACCAUCGUAUCCAUUUUCUAUUAGGUGGGUCGGGUCAUAUUAGAUUAUAGUAAGUACAUUUAUUUGCUCCUUGUUAAAACUCAUAAUCGAAUCUCCUUCUUCUAGGCAACCAGGCUUACUCGUAAGAAAGGUAGAGAAUAGAGUGGACUGGGCUUGUUAAAAGAAGUAUGAGUUUACAGUGAAAUCAGUAGUAGUUGCCCUUACAUUAAGUCGGCCUAGCCAGUAGUAUACGAGAGGGGAGCAUUAGAUAGUAGCAAGAGGGAGUUCAGUCUGCUACUGACACUCAACAGGGAGCUGGCUUUCAGCACCUCACUUUUUCACUGUAACUGGGCAUUCAUUCCACUUUAACUUGACCCGGACUAAGGGUUCAGGAAGGAUCUUAUUAGCAGAAUUCAAUGAAUUUCACCCUGCUUGCGUCAUCUGAAAGAAAAGAAGGGGUAUGGGUCUUUGAGGCUGAGGGCUGUCCAAUUAUAGAGUUUACUCAUAUUGGAAUUAGAGAGUUUACUCAUAUUGGGAAGCUAGGAAUAUAGGAAUAAGAUAUAGUAAUAAGGGAAGCUAGGAAUAUAGGAAUAAGGGAAGCUAUGAAAGGCAACUACUAGACUCGCUAACCACUUCUAUUUCCUCUCCUGGUAGUACUGUUAGAGUUAGAGUUUCAGACCAGUUAGUAGAUACCUUAUUCUUAUUCUAGGUAUUGUUGACAGAGCAAGAGGUGAAGUAGUCGUCAGCAGCAAACGAUAAGGGAGUUGUUGCCGGGUAGCAAGUAUACGAGUAGUUGGCUCUUUGAACACAAGUCCUGAAUUCACCUAUAUUAGAGAUGAGUGAAACUAGUAUAUGUACCUUCUUUGGCGCAAGUAGUAGAGUAGUUGGCUCUUUCCAAUUAAUUGAACCCUGCUGGCUCUGCUGGGCGAGUGGAAUCUUUUAUCCUUUCUAAAGAUAGAAGAAAUAAAGAAAGAAAUCCAGUGGUCAUGUUUUUCACUGUGAAACCAACCCUGGAGUAGUUGCUAAUGACAAAUUCUCCGAAGUAACAAUAUUAGAAACCAUUGCUUGUCUCCGGGUCUAAAGUCUCAGUAACACCUGAUUUAGAGUAUUAGGCUUUCCCCCCUGAACCAUCUUUUGAGUCCUUUCCUGGAGACUUAACUGCUGAUUCAGAACAAACACCUUACUGACGCAACUAAGUACUAAACUUCUUGGCCCUAUCCACUUUCCGGAUCCCAGUAUCUGUCUGAUAUUGUCGCCCUUUCUUUUCCACUGUUGAUUCUCUCGGCACCAACACACGAACCCGGCUCCUGCUGCCCUGGCUUUCUUUCUCACUUUCCAGAUAGCUCACCCCUUAUUCAGUGCUUUAAGGCAACAAGCAACUACUCAUGUUGCGCGUUAGCGAGUUAAGGGCUCACUACUUGGAGUCUGAGUCUACCUGGUGUCAUUCUGGUUAGCAGUGAUGGAAUUCUUAAAGUAAGUAUCAGCUCCCCGCUGGCGACUUUCAUUCUUUCACUCCUUAGUUUGAUUCUGAUCUAUUCUGAUCUAGUACCCAAUAGCCAGGGAAUCAGUGGUAUAGUUAACAGACUUCAGGGAAUCAGUGGGAGUGAUUUCAGCCUGUGACUACUUAGUUUGAUCCGUUCACCUAUAUAAAGAGAAUAUAGAAUUUAGUAAGGGCCAAGGCCAAGGCCAAGCAACGGCGCGCCAAGACACUACUAACGUGUCGCGGCAGCGAGUUGAAAGCUGCGCGGCAGCAGCAGCAUAGAUAUGUUAUAACCAAUUAUGACCAAGUCAUGUGUUCGCGUUACGCGGCAGGCGUUCUCCCCACAAUUCUCUCUUUUCUUCUAUGCUUAACACAAGCACCUGAACCGACCUAUAAUAAGUGUUCACCCCGACCCGACCUAUCUUUCCAUUGGCACAACUAAUGCUAUCAGCCAAGUCGCGUAUACAAAUAGAGAGAGGAGCCUCAUCUACUUAUUGCUCCUAUCUUAUUACUUCUAUGCUAUCUCUUAUGAAACAGGACUAGACUACUACUCCACUGGCAAAACAGGACCCCUACGCAGCUAGGCACAAGUUGAUCUAAAGUAAACAAAUCAUUCAUCUACUUCUCCUCUGGCAACUGACACUCGGUCUUCAACUAGCACCGAACCUAUCUCUACCCUUAACAUUAUUGUUUCUAGUUCCAACCAAGGCUAUGGAGGUUUCAACUUCCACUCGGUAUUCCACACUUCGAUUUUCAGAACUGUCAACACCUUACUUUAGAACUGAGCUUGAUUGUUCCCCUGUUGUUACUGUUGCUGAUGGGGAUCUGUCUUCUGUAGUUUGAUUUGAUGGGAAAUCCUUCAUUGGAAACUCAGAAACUUGCCAACGAAGUCAUUUCUGCCUACCAUCUUUAUGGUUCCUUCCCUGAACUAAUUGAACUAGUUGACUUCCCACUACUCUGGUAUUGUAUAAGAAUAGUGGCCCAGCGACUACUAGAUGCGGCAGAUGGGUCAUAUAACUACUGAGUGCAAUUCACCAAGCAACUACAACAAGGCCCGAGCUACUGCUUUUCUUUCCAUGACUACUUAUACGGAUGCUUAGAUUUAGUCUCUCGCUCUUGUCUGUGAGUCUUCCUUGCCUUGCCUAGAUCCCAAGCUAACUCUUAUGGUCUUAUAGCUCUGCCGGGUAUCCUGACUUUAUUAUCUCAUUCCCUGCGGUGUUUCUCCAAUUCCCAUGCACGCUCUAGCUUAAGACCCGGCAGUGACCAUUCCUAUAGGAGUCAUUUCAUUCUUUUACUAAUGAGUCAACUUCUGCAUUCUCAGUGCAAUUCCUUAUUCUUAGUUAUUCCUCUGAUAAGUAAUAGUUGUUUUGUCUUGCUAGGUGCCUAGCCUAGGGUAUAUGAGUGAGUAGAACAGAAUCAGUAUUAGUCCUUAGUUCAAUUCGUAUAAGUAGUAAGUGGGAUUCUUUAACAAACAAGUAAGGAUCAAAGAUGGGAAUAGCAGACCCAAACCUAACUCUCUAAAGGCGGAUUGGGAGUCGAACUACAAAGUUCUUUUUAUCGGACUCAACUCACACUCAAGGCAAUAAGGUUUUAGGCUGCUUAGUUCAUUUAUUCAAUGAAUGUCCUUUAUUCGUACUAUACUAUUUGUCUUAGAGCUUGUAUCCAAGGACAGGGAUCCUUACUUAACUAGAGACUAAUGGCCCAAUGAGAGCCCAGGUCACAGAAUUUCGUUUCUGAACAGAGGAACCUAGUGUUCGAUCGGUUACUACUCUACUACUACUCUCUUCGGGCUUACUACUCAAUAGUUGUAGGCUUACUUCUAACAUGGACUAAUAACUUAUAACUCAUAACUAGUAACAGACUGAAACAACUAUACCCUAGCCUCGCCUAACAAGUAAGUAAGUCAACCUGCCUAGUACAAGUAAGUAAACAAAGAACUUACUAUAAGGGCCUCUCAACUGGACCACUACUUGUCAACUUCAGACUCCCUCGGGAGCUCAACUAAGUAAGUAUAUAGUAGAAAAGGCGCACACAGGACAGAUAUAGUAGUUCCGCUAUUGCUCUUGAAACUAAAGUACUGCUUCCAAACCUGCUCUUCAAACAACUUCUUUAGCGGCAGUCCGGGUUGGGAGUAGCAACACCUACUUCUAUUGAACUAAAUGAAACAAGUGAGUUACAGCCUGUGUUGUGUUCGUAUGCCUCUGCCUCUGCUGCCUAUGCCUUUAGUUAGUAAUUUGUAUGGGGUUCGUCUGCCUCGCCUCUCAAUCUUAUCUAUCUUAUCUUGUUAAAACAAGGGAAAGGGUAAACGAGGUCAUUCAUAUGAGUCCCCUUCAGUUCGAGGUCUGUUAUGAAAGUCUAGUUAUUGCCCCUUUAAGUAGUGCUUCUUCACAAACUACCCGAGCCGCCAAGACACGGAUAGACAAGUUACUACUCAUAGCUUCCCUUUCAGACUACACUAGGGAUAGGGAAGAAACAGAAUCAGGCCAGGGCAGCUAGGGCCAAGUCACUCAGAUAUUAAUUCUCCGAUGUCAACAAAUACUUCCUCUCCUCAGCUACAAGGCCUUAGCAACCUAUCACUUAUUACAAAUAUUCUGCAUUACAAGUUAUUGGAAGGUUAUGACCAAUCCUAGGAAAGAAAUAAGUCACAAUUAUUCAAAAUAAGGGAGCUGACUGAUGGAGAGUCAAAUUGAUAUGAAUGAGUUGCUUUGAUGUUGACUACCAGAAAUUAGUAAAAUAGUUGCCCGAGGUAUUAUAGAAGAUAGUAGCCAAGAUAGUUGCCAGAGGUAGAGGUGUUGCGGGAAGGGGAGGCGUGUAAUAGAAAAAGUCACUAACCCCACAACCCAGUAGGGCUCUUUCUCGAUAGUAGGAAAACCCCGUAGGGCUCUUUCUCGAUAGUAGGAAUUUGCCUCUACAGUAGGAAAGUAACUUCACAGUGUGUUUAAAGCAAUAAAGUUCUAAUUUCACUUUCCGGUAAGAAACAUAAGAUUUAGCUAGGUCUGAUAGCUCAGCAGAUAUAUAACUGAUAGCUCAGCAGAUAUAUAAGUAUUCCGUCGACUAUUAGACUCUAUUCUAGUUCUCUCUCUCGCAUUACUUGAAACAAAGAAUUCCACUCCAAGGGAGGAAACGGAGCCAAGCUACUCAGAGACAAGACUCGGCAAUAAAUGUAUUAUUAAUGAAGUUAUGAGCAAGUCCUUUAUUCUAUUCUGGGCGGUAGGAGCCGAGUUCUGGCGGUAGUGAGUUCCAAGCGUCAGCUACGAAAUAACUUGUUUCAUCCGGUAUUAUCCUUAAGAAAGUUCUAUUGAUUUUCUUAUACAGGGUGUGUACAGUGUCAGUAUAGGAUCAAUUCCAGUCGUUUUUCUUUUGACUAUGGUGAUUCCAACAGUUUUAAGCCCACUCUACAACUCUCUUCUUUUCUUUAGUUCACUACCGGUCAACUCUCUUCUUUCUUAAAGGAAGGAAUGCUAGGUGGUUCGGCAAGAAAAAGCCCAGUGUUAUCUAGCUCUAUCAUACAAUACAUCGCUCUUUACCGCUCGAACAAGAACAGGGCAUUCUCAUUCUUCAGCUCGAACUAUACUAGCAAAACCGGGAAUCAUACUAACUAAUAUCAGAAUAAACCCACAGCCAAUAAGAGGAACGCGGCCUUUGAAUCACUGAUCGCCGGGGUUGCAACAAGCAAAUAGUACCUCCCUAAUAAGAAGGAUCCUGCUCUACUGCCUAACAGCCUUACUAUCUUCACUUUUCGCCUUACUUGAAAGCCUCUGAGCUUCUAUGCCUCUACUCCUUUCCUUAGUUGCAUCCUAUCUAUCCUAUCUAUCAGUCCGCCCCUUGACUCUUUAACCACUGAUUCGGAUCUUUAUUUGAGUGUUUCGAACCACAACAUCCCGGUUUGUUAGCCUGCAACUCAGCUCUCCUAUUCUUAUACCUUGGAGUUAGCUACUGAUCUAAGUCUCGCUUUUGCUAGUUUGUUUGUUAAUCUGCUUGUCGAGUUUCAUUCCUACUAAACAGCCAUAGUACAAGUCAUUCUCCACAGACCCAUAUGAUAGACAAAGACAUCCUCCGUAUCACCGACCCUACAAUGGAAAAACCCUUAUCUCGGUUACCCAAUUGCAUCCGUUAUUGCAGGAUGGAUUCUUUCAUUCCUUAUUCCGUUUCAGUGUCUCUAGUAUGAGAGUAUGGGGCGCACCUACUCGUUCUUGGGCUGCGGAGCUCGAUUCCUACUUCUUAAAACUCAUUCUUUAACAGCAGAGCUUAACUCUUACUUUGCAUCUCUUAAAACGGAAGCUGCUCUCUGCCAUUCUUACUUGCUAGUUUGUGAUUCCCUUGUGUACAUGCCGCUGUUCCUCAUACACCUAUAGCACAUGCGCUACUGCAUUUAAGGUAAGUAGCCUUAUGAUUCUUUAUCGAAAGGGAGAGGCAUAUCAGGACCUUAGUUCACCAAUAAUAAGAGGAAUUAUGUUAACUUCUAAUAAUGAUGUUUACUUGACACCGGCACUAACAAUGAGGAAUGCGCUACUACCCUAUUAGAUCGAGAAACACUACUGGAAGGGAUCUAUUGACAAACAGACUCGAACUACCGCUUUUAAGGCAGCCCUUCCCCCUAUUAGUCUGUAGAGCUCCUGCCCUUGAUUGUUUCCCUCUGGACACUGAUCCUUGAACUAAACCAGUGCUAACAGGGUUCUCACUGCUGUCUCUUAGCCUUGUUUUGAAACUAACUUCCCCCACGCACUCUGACUCUUUGCUUUGAUUCCAAUGCUCUUUGCUUUAAUGCUCGAACUACGGACCCGUAUUCCCUAUCUAAUGAUCCAGAUCUUUUAUCUUAUUAAUAAGUAAUUGGACUAAUAGUAGCAAGACGAUAACUCAAAACUAUGGCAGUGACUGCAGCUUAUAGGGCUGUUACUGCAUGGAAGUUGGUGGUCGUUAGUGAGCGGUAGCUCUAUUCUAGGGGAGUAGUUAAGUGAAGCCUGUUUGCCAUUACAUUAGUUCCAUCCUAAUAGUUAGUAACUCGAUUCUUGUUAUCGAAGAAAGCGGAAUGAAAAUAAGUGUAUUGAGAGUCAAAGAUGGGAAGAGCGGGCUAGUAGGAGGUAGUCACUACGGAAUGAAGUGCAAGAGGUUAGCGAUCAAUCUAGUAGUUAUUAGUUCCGUUCGGUAGCUCGUAGUUUAGUCGAUAGCUCGUAAUUGAGUUCUCAUAUUAUUAGUUAGUUAGGGCCUUGUUAUAUGCAAGUGAAGCCUGUAUUCAUUGUGGAAGAGCUUAGUUUCCCCGGUACCCCGACUGGGAAUGGGAAGCUUUUGAUUCUCACUUUGGAGUCGAAGUCCUAUCAGUGCAAUAUCUGUUCCCUUCUUAGAUACCUAUAAAUACGACAUUCUCCCAUUACUGGCACAGUUUCUUACUUGGUGGUUGACACCUUAACAAAACUAGUGCUCCCGAGACUUAACCUAUUGGCGAACAAUGGUUCCUUUCCUGCCUCCCGAGCCUGUCUUCUAUUCUUUACACGCUAGGUAUCAAACGGACAUUGUGCCCAAGGGCUUUAGGAUCCUCUGCCACAUGUAUCAGCCUACCGUUAUUAACUAGCAAACUUAUAUUACUGCCUUAGAGUCUUAUUACUCGCAACACAGGCUUAGGCGAGUGAGGCAAUCCAUAUUCUUGUAUUAGCUCUUAGGUGACUGUAGGACAUUCCGACUUCUUAGCCCAAUUCUCAGAAAUGAGUUUAUUUACUCAGGGGGCAUUAUUGGAAUCUGAUUUCUAUUACUUUUACUCUGAUUAGCAGUGGUGAAAUCCUUAUAUGAGUAAGUUCAAUCUAUGUGGGCAGUUACUGAUUCUUUCUAUUGGUCUUAUCGCUCUUGUAGCAGAGACCAGCAUCUUGUAGCGUAUGGUAUCUUGUAUUAUUGACUUGUAGUAUUAUUCUCGUUAGUUGAUUUCCUAGCUAUGAGGAACAGUAUUAGAGGUUGUAUUAUUUGUAGAAUGAGAUAGAGCAAAGUAAGAUCUAGGUUCAGUAAAGUGAGACUAACGGCCUAGGUAUAGAUAGUCGGGAAAGGCGGGACGGGGCUAGCUAGCUAACUAGUGGAAUGAAGAAUCAAAGGCAGUAGAUCCAGUUUUCAAGCAAGCAAACCCAAGGUCACAUACCUGUCGAAUCAAACUCAAAUGCAUAAUAAGUGGAAUAGUUUUCAUCUCCAAUAGGGGGGCAGGCAUUAAUAUUCAAAACUCUACAGCUGGGACAUCAUACACAGCUAGAUCCUAUUUGAGUUUAGGAGAUCGAAAGGGCAAAGAGAGCCAACCGGUCAUGGUCAUCAUGGAGAAAAAACCACUACUUUUUCGUUCAAUUGGCCUAUAACAAUCUUCUUAUCACUAAGGGCUCGAACCAUAAGAGACCACUCUGGGUUCAGUUAAAGUCUCUCUUUGGUCACAGCCUACUCGUUUUCGCAAGAUCCACAGGAGAAAGGGGGGUUUAGUUGAUUGGAUCUCGAUGACCUCUCCGAAAAAGGGCAGCUUAAGGAAGAGGCAAAAAGGAGGGCUUCUUCACAAGGCACCGGGACCUAAACUUUUCAAUUGAUGUGGCUGAGAUUAGCCUGAAACAACCUCCAGGUCCGCAAUCCUUUUUAUCUUAGGUUAGACUAAGGGAUGCUGAGGCUCAGGUAUCACAGGCCGUCAUCCAGAAAGUCAUUACUACCCUAAACCCCUUUUACCGUUCAAAAGAAACAGAGUGAGCAGAGAAGUGAUUGCUAAUCCACACAGAAAGGCUUGUUAUUACGAAUCAUGUGCCAAAUGCAAUCAGGCAUUCCAUGAGAAAGAACCAAUUCUCUGAGAAAAAGAACCUUGCUUGCCUUACUAGCUCUCUUGUUAUGAGCAUGUACCACAGGUGGAUUCAGUCCCUUCCUUAUAGCCUUGCAGUCCAAUCUUAUCUACAAUCCUUUUUCUUUAUUCUGGGCAUCAAUCCCAUGUGAGCAAAAAGGGCCAAGUCAUCACCAAAAAGGUAACGGAAACCCGACAAAUGAUAGUCAUGAGGGCCAAGCAACGGGCCAAGCUACUCAUACCGACAAGACUGACCCCGCUAAGUAGGAGUACAACUGCGACUUAUAGUACUGUUGCUACUGAUCCAGAUCCUUUACAAGUUUGGGCACUUUACCUAGUCAUACUUCUUUGGGCACUUUACCUAGUCAUACUUCUUUCUUUGGGCACCUUACCUAGUCAUAUUGGAAUUAAUGUUCUUAUUAUAUGUGAACAGAAUAAGGAAUUGAAGAGACAAGCUACGUAUAGACUCAAAACUCCGUAAUAGAAUCAUGGAUUCCACAAAAGGAAUAGAAGAAUUGGGGAAAAAGCGAACUAAGUAAGAUAAUAUGGGUUCAACCAAAGUAUGUUUCGGGGAACCUCGCAUCAAAGAAAGAAUGGAAUUGACAUGGAAUAAACUAUCUUAUAAGAGAAUAGAAUCGAAUUGGCACUGAGAAAACUAGCUUCUGUUCUUUUAAUGUAUUGAGACUAUCCAUGUUAUAUUGAUACAAGCGAGACCUAUGCUAUUUAGACUAAUAGUACUAGAAACAUAUACUACCAACCGACUCUAUCGGAAUCAAACUCAGAAGUAGGGAUCCUCUUACGCACCUUGUACUUGCCCCUUAUAUGAGAAAACGGAGACCCGCGCUACCUCACCCAUGUGCCUGCGCUACUUACACCUACUAAGCAAGGUACUCAUUCUUCAAGUAACAUCAUAUAUUCUGUGAGCGAUCAUUCAACCACUCAUUCUUCGGUCGACACAACGUUCAUUGGGACAGACAACGUUUAUGUGGUCCAUCACCCAUUAAUAGAGGUUACCUAGGUAAUGAAUUGGUCGGUUGAACCACCUUAGUCGACACCACAUUGAUUCUUCGGUCGACACAACGUUCAUUGGUCGGACUCCCCGGUCAAAUCACUCAGCCUUGUCGUAGCACCAUGAAUUCAGUGAGCUACCUUGCACCCACUCGUUCAGUAAGCGACCAGCAACUCCGUCAACGUGGGUCAUCGCGCCUAAGUCGACAUAACCAACGUGCAUUGGGACAGCGCAUUGGGACAACAUUCAUUGGUUGGUAAACUGAACCACACCGACAUAGAGAACGACAUAGAUAAUUAUAAGCUCUAUUAGGUUUAUUCAAGCUAUAAUAUAGAGAGAACCAUGACUCACUGUCAAUUAGCAUAUAAUAUAGAGAGAACCAUGACUCACUGUCAAUUAGUAGACCAAUCGUGAAAGAAUUGAAUAGCAUUGAGCGUGACACCUAAUAUAGACAGACGUUGCUUGUUCAAUAGUAAUAAAGACGUUUUUCAAUAGCAUUGAGCGUGACACCUAAUAUAUAACUAAGUCAGAAAUCCAACUCUAUUACUGGAAGAUACUCUGAAUAAUAACUUGCGGAUAAUGUGACUUUAAGAUACUCUACUCUGAAUAAUAACUUGCACAUAUAAUGACUGCUUGAGUAGAUGCUAUAUAGAACCAAGGCAAGGCCGGAGGGUGUAUUGAAUCAAAUCUGUUUCGUUGCUUGGUGGACUUGGGACAUAAGAAAGGUGAACUCUGGAACGGAUUCAAUGAAACUAACUCAUAACUCCUAACUCAGGUGCCGGUAUUGGUAUUUCACUCCUAACUAGUCAUUUAUGAUUCUCUCUCUUUCGUUGGUAACACUUCUGAUCCUGCUUAUUGAAUUGAAACACCUGUACUUGUGACUUUCGUAUGCGAGGUGGAUUCUUUGAUUUCGCUGUUGGUUGCCCGUUAGCUUAUUGUUGUGUUCGGGGCUUCUUGAAAAGAUUGUUGCCAUCUAUCAUAAAAGAAAGUAAACUAACUGCAAUUCUUCAGAAGCAGACUAAGGCACAUGAGAGAAUUAAGUGCAAACGAUGAAGAACUAACUUACAGAGCGAAAUCCUCUUAUUCUAUUACUAAGAACCUUGAAACUGCUGGUGCUACUGCUUAUGCUGACUGGCUCGAUACAGCUGCUUCGGAUCUUUAAAUGGCUUCUUCUAUUAGGCCUAAACCUGGCAAUACUUAACGCUUCAGUCAACAACUAAUUCAUUUCACAUUUCACUUCACUGAGGUUCUAUCUAUAUGAGAUUCUAUAUGAUGAUGAAGCCCCUGAACUUGACUUUCCAGAGAUUAGAGAUUGGCUUGUUGGGUAUGAAAGGGGAGCCUAUUGUAACUCCGAACCUAUCCUCUAUCCUUGGUUACUUCUUUCUAUCAUAUAGAGCGAAUUAUACUGCCUAUACUAAUAAGGAUCUUUCCACUCCAGAACUACUUGCUGCUGAAGCUAUUUCUUCUGCUUCAUCUGUUGCUCGUUAGCGCUAAAGAAGGACAUAAUUCAGGUUCCGGGCAAGGGCAAUCAGGCGUAUUUCCAAGUCAAGGCAAGAGGGCAGGGCGGAUUUAGCAUCGUGUUUCACCCACCAAGCCACUACAAAGUCUCCUGUGUUCGUCAACUUGAAGUCAAACAUUGUCAAUCAGCAGGAAAAGAUGUCCUGUUUUCGGGAGCCGAGUUCUAGCGGUAGCAGCGGAAUAACGGGCUUUGAAGCAAAUGAGGUCAAGAGUACCAGAAGCCGAAUGUUAAUCUCUACCUACUGCUGAAGCUAAUGGUGGUUCUAGUUUCAUCAUAUAUAGAAGCCGAAUGCUAAUCUCAUGCUGAGGUAAAGUAUCAAGUCAAGGGGUAGGGCGGACUCUCUAUAUUACAGUUUAAGCGCGUCGUCAAUAAGUUUCGACUUUCUCUUUUUCGUAUUAAUAAGUAGUUACGAUAAAAAGAAGCUAUCAGGAUCAUUAGCCAUAGAGGAAAGAGUUUUCAGAGCAGGUCAAGAAAAAGGCUAAGAAGCGAGAUCUUGCAGCCGGGAAAGUGUUUUCAACAAGAUCUGAAGCUUUAGUAUAGUUGCCUGCGUACUAAGCAAUGCUAGUUUAGAAAGCCUGAGUUCUUAACGGGUAGAUCGAAAGCCUUAGUUCUGAAUAGCAGCUGGGCGCCAGAGAGAAUAAAUGAUGGAGUCUGAUCUUAAGUCUUUUGACUUACUUCCUGCUACACCAUAAUAGCUAAAUGAUUAAAGCAACAGCGAAAGCUGCAAGGCAAGAAAGAGGGGUAUAAAGCAAGUAAGGUAAGAGCAGAGGUCAGCUGUCAAUUCCGUUUAGUUAGCCGUUAAGCUCGUUGUUGUCAAUGUUGCAGUGCUCUGAAAUUCGAUUCUCAAGGUUCACUCUACUUUCAAUUGAAGACCCAUGAGAAAUAGAUGCAAAGCUGUAUCUUUACUGGGAUCCAUACCAUGUGCUGUAAAGUCAUAAUGGAAUUGAACUGACAAAGAAACGAAAACAUACCUGACUGACGACGAUACUGCUUGAGCAUCAACCAAAAGGCUUGGGGCAGUGAGACUUACAAUACAUACAGCACUAGCCCCCGAUACUCACUUAAUGAAAUGGAAAAUCAUCUAACAAUCGGGAGCGGUAAAGUAUCAGUGUAAGCAGCAAGUGUGGGUGUUGAACAAAACAAGUAAGCUAAGGCGAGACAUAAAUCUGGGUUGAUAUCUUUAACUGACAAGUACUUGAAAGAUGGGUUUAUAGCCUACUAUCUUUAUCUUAAUGACUUUGAAGCAAGGUUAAGUAGAGAGAGAGUCGCUUCUUGCCCUUAAACGAACUACUCUUAUUACCUUGAUUCCCUUUCACCUGGUGUGAAAGCGCUCGAAAGAUGAAGUUUCAAGUUAGCGGGAAAGAAAUCAGUAUUAAGAAAACUCUUUAUAAGCGGGAAACACAAGCUUACGCACGCACCCCGUUUCCGUUACUUGGUCUUGCUUAGUGAGUGGUGCAUUAGCUAAUUCCAGAAGAGAAGUAAACAAAGUGAGCCGGGCAAGUCAAAUAAGUUGAGUAGCCAGUUGCUCCAGAAAAGAAGUAGAAAGUCCUGUUGAAGGUUAUAGGACAAUAGAAGUAGGCCUGUAUCUCGUCAUCAAGUUUCAAGUAAAGUAUCUGAAGUUUCAAGUAAAGUAUCUGGGCUGGUUUUUUCACCCUUAUUGUUAGUUGUAUUGUAGACCGCCUCUUCUACAAGUCCUUGAAGCACUAACACCAAUAACACAAUUCUACUUUCCGCAGGCAGCAGGAGAUAAUGCAGAAACUUGAGUUGGCGCGGGAUCAGAUGCUCUUACAGCCUUUGAAGCAGAAGCCAGAUCUGUUCAAGUUUCAUCGUUUUCAGAAGAAGAGGUUUGGUUAAGCCGUGAAAUGAUUCAAUUCAGGGAAGCAGUGUUUGUAUUUACUCGGUUCUAGACCAGAUGUUCGAGAGUCAAAUGAAAAUGAAUGAGUUGCACUCAGUCGUUAGCGCAACUGAACAAGUAGACAACACUAACACUUUCAAUCAUAUUCCGGAGGUACCAGCGAGCUACUGCGGGACGGCAAACUCACUAUCCUAGCGUAGUAGGGCAUUUCAAAAGAGAAUCAUCUUAUAUAGUCGACUUAACUCGAACGGAAUCUGCUCUCAUAGACCACUUUCCGCACCCGAGCAAAAGACUUGAGGAACCGCCCAGGCUCACCCCUCUCCUGUGACAAAGUUCUAUACAAUGCCAGUGAACGCUAGAUUAGAUUCCAUUCAGUUUGUUCAGUUAAAUGAGUAAGAACUAGCAAGGGAACUAGCACCCUCACUUCACUUUUGAAUAGAAACAUCAUUACAUCGCACAGCUGCAGAUCCAACUUAUUAUCUUGAAACUCAUCUGAAAACGAAAACUACAUUUGCUUUUCCAACAAGUGAAGAAGCAUAAGAUCCUUCGCCAGCGGAUUAUGAUUCUCCAGUUGAUGCUUUUGCCUCUUCUUCUAUUGUAGAUGACACUCGAACAGAAUAGAAUUGACGGGCCUUCUCAAGCAUACAAAGAGAUUCUUGGAGACAACACUCACACUCAACUCUACUUCAAUACAAGCACCAAAAGAGUAUACUCAGAUUCCUUACUUAUAGGCGCGGAAGAAGAAUUCUAGAAGCCACCAAGUCUAAGUGCAUUAGCCAGCGGGGGUGCUAAAGGAGUUUACAAAGGUUCGGAAAGCAAAAGGCAAUAAUGAAGUACUUGGCACCUUAGUGGAAGAGUUCGAUUACGAAAUUCUCAUAUAUGCGGCACUCCUCAUUCAAUAAUAAACGAGCAAGGGUGCAACUCCUCAUUCAAUAAUAAACGAGCAAGGGUGCAACUCCUCAUUCAAUAAUAAACGAGCAAGGGUGCAACUCCUCAUUCAAUAAUAAACGAGCAAGGGUGCAAAGGGAAAGCCAGGGUAAACUUCCAUUGUUGGAAGAAAUUCCCAAUCUUGCCUACCGACAAUGCUCUGAGAAUACUUGUAGGGGAAAGCCCAUCAUACAUCUAUACUGAAGUAGACCAAGUAAAGUCAACCCAGAUUUAGAGUCGUAUAAUCCAUCCUAUUCGUUGCGAGUAAACGUUAUCCCACAUUCCCAUAGAAAUGAAUUCUUCUCUUUCUUCCCCGAAACCUUGAACCUCAUCUCCCUCUUGACCAUGAGUUCUUCAUAUUGAAGUUCCGUUGGUUCCUUAGCUUGCUCGUAUUUAGAGUCAAUUAGUUUGUUUUGCGAAAUGUUACUUUGAGGCAUAGUGUACCUUUGAGGAUCGAGUGCCUUUUCUGGUUGCUCCGAGUUCGAUUCGAAAGUCAACUGCAAGCGGGAAGGAGACUAAUAUGAUGCUGCUGACCUGACAAGCGCCUUAACGGCAACAAACACCCCUGAUGAAAUAAUAACCCGCUUAUACUCUAUACUAAACUCUAUCUGCGCCCUUGCCCAAUACUGAAUAUCAAAGUAAGCAAUAACUUAAUCUCCAAGUAAGCAAUAAAAUAAUAAGUAGAAGCUCUGUGGCCUUGGAUGCGGUGCCUCAAUUCCCAUCUUUAUGCUGUACUGCAGAACGUAUCAACAAUCGAACAAGAAAGAAAGGCAAGCAAGGGCGGGGCAAGUAAGGCAAAGAACUAGCUUUCGCGCACCUGUACUGGAUUCUGCCCCAUGAACUAACUUUAAGUCAGAACCGAACCGCUUAACCGCUUUUCUCUGAUUACCAAGAUAAGAUCUAUACUAAACUAUCUUAUCUAAUUAUUAUUCUUAUCCGGAUUAUGAAAAUUGAUGCUUUCGUCGAGCGUAGGAGUUAAUGGUUGAAAGUCAGACAAGUAACUGCUUAGCAACUCGAUUUUCGGAUACCGGCUUGUUGGUGAUAUCGGCUUGGCUUCCCCUUUCUUUUGCUUAAAAACGAAAUACUUCCCUUUGGCCUAUCUAAGACAAACCCUCUGGAGCUUCUUCUCGGAUUGUUAACCCGAUUGAUAGAUCUAGAAUUACUAUUUCUAUAUGAGACCACUAUCACCCCUAUCUUUCUUUCGACUCUUCAAAAGUGAGAGUUGCCGGCAAGAGGCAAAAGAUAUUAGACAUCAAAUGCAUUUUCACUGCGGGUAUGGUCUAAAUAGGGAAUUCCACUAAAUAUGAGUUUCCCAUGGCUUAAACGGCGAAAAGAGGCCUUACUCGGCACAGUCUACUCGGCUUUGUAAGCUUCUUCUCCUUGUAAUUGAUUUCUGCCUUUCAUUAGAAGCUAGAAGACUCUGAGUUUCGGGUAUAUUAGGCAAGAUAUAGUUCUCGGCAGCAGCACGCACUUAUGGAAAUGCAGCUCUAACCUACUGGACUUUCUUUCGCAGGUCUUCCUUCUUAACAGGUUGGCUAACUUCCAUCUCAUCUUUUUAUGGAUACCAUUGCUCACGAUCUUUCCAAUUCUUUCUAUUCUAUUAGGUGGAAGCCAGUCAUAGCGAGACUCAUCUGGCACUGCGAUUGAGAACUUCUGCUCGUGACAUCUAAGUUAACCACUGAUUUGAUCUUUCGACAUCUAAGUUAACCACUGAUUUGAUCUUUCGACAUCUAAGUUAACCACUGAUUUGAUCUUUCCGGGAUAAUAAAGUAAGGACUUGAAGAGGAAGACAAAGGCUAGACCUGGAAAUAAGGAUUCCUUUUAGAAAGGGGACUACUUUUCACUGGGGAAUCCUUCUCUAUAUCAUACUGAACCUAUACUUCACUUUUGGGCGUCAGGAGCUUACACUAGAAUUGCCCCCAUCCAACCCAUCAUCUAAUCUCUAAGAAAGCAUCGUUUCCAUUCGAAUCCAGACCCCCUUCCUCCAAGUGAGUUCGACAGGCAAUAAGCGUUAAGGCGCACCUCUUCUAUCGCAUACUUGUUAUCUUGCCCCAAUCCCUUUAGCCAUCAAGUAAGCCACAAACCCUUUCUUUCCUCUUUAACUACAUAACUCUUGAACUCCUCUCUUACCGCACGCAUAUAGUAAACGAACAAGUAAGAAAGUCAGAAGUAAGCCCAAAACUCAGAAUUAUACAAGAAAGUUGGCAAGUAGGAAAGUGAGAAUUCCACUGCUAAGUAAGCAAAAGGGAAGCCCUAAGUGAGAAGUAAGCCCAAAACGAAAAACCUCAUGGAAAGGAUAAGGGAGCAACUGGUGCGUUGGGAACAGUUCCAUACCUUGGAGAAGCAGUAGAGACCAUUUACUCUAGGGGUGCAACAGCAGAAAGACUGUGAGAACACCCCAUCAAUGGGAACAUAUAGGAAAGGAUACAGCAGUAAAACAUAUAGGAAAGGAUACAGCAGUAAAUCAUAUGAAAAGGCUGCUGGACGAAGAGGUAACAUAUGAUGCCGCCUCGCCCCUUAAAGCUUCUAUUAGUAGCUUCAGGGUGGCUAACAGUAUAAGUCUAUCAUAUACGAAGGAGGGUGGGAGAUUGCAGCCCGCGGAUUGGCUAACCAAACCCGUAAGCGUGGAUUCCUCUGAGGUAGCAGCUACAAAAGUCAGUGAAGAUGUUAUCUUUAAGAGAAAUUGAGGCACUGUGAGCUCCAUGGUGCUUUACUUCUCUGGGAGUGAAAAGUGUAUACGUACCGAGGAAGUUUGGGCCAACGAGGAGCCCUAACAGUAUUAGUUGGAAGAGCCAGAGUGGAAUUAAGAUCUAGUUGCCAGCUGCUUGGCUGUUGUCAGUGGCCAUAGUUAUAGUAGCCUGAGUUAGAUGAGAUGGAAAGGUAGAACACUGGUUAGGAGUUUCAUUCAAUGGUCAGAAUAAGGGAGCUGUCACUAAUACUCAGACAACGAAUAAUAAUAACUAAUACUAAGCAUUGGUCUAAUACUAAUACUAAUAAGAAAAAACGAAUACUAAGCAAAGGUCUAUUGCUGCGUCAUAUGAUCUGGUUGACUUUCCUUGCACAAACAAGGACAUAUCCUUCUGAGGUGAAAGGCUAUUGAUUGGGAUUAGGAAAGCCUUGUUCAAAAGUCUGAGGAAAGAAAGUCCCACUGCAUCCGGUACAAAUAGGUUGCUAUUUAGCCAAACACGAAAUUAGGAUCAUAAAUCAUCAUAUAUCUAAUAAGGACACCCGCAAUCCAUUAAACAUUGAUGUUUCUGCCCCCCAUUGAUUUCUCAAUUAGCAUUGAUAAGGGCCCCGUAAUUGAUUUCUCUUUGAUAAGGGUUUUUCGAUUUCACAAGUGAGAAGGAGUUUUCGAUUUCAAGUAUAGUUCAGUGUCCUUGUGUCUUUGGGUUAAGGGGUAGCCUUGCCUCGCCUGCAAAGGGUCGAGCCUUCACUGCUUGUAUUCUAUUCUUUUCCUCCCAGUGCUAUUACAUACGGAAUAAGAUGUGGGUCGGAAGCUUGAUUCGAGCUCUUCCCCAUUCCUUUCCCCCAAAAAGAGUUAACCAUGGCUCGGUGGUAAAGCAGAAGAAAUCGAUGGGUUGAUUGGUUGGAUGCAUUCUGCCUUUCUCGGUCACACCCAUGCAUAGAACUUCAAGCCUUAGCAGUUCCGGCGGAUCAUCAUUGUUCGCACUCCAGGGAUCCCUAUGAUAUUUAGACAUUAUUCUAUUCCAUAUGAAGAUUUCUCUAUUACCUAUUAUAUAUGUAGACAUUAUUCUAUAUUCUAUAUUUAGACAUUGUAGACAUUAUUCUAUAUUCUAUAUUUAGACAUUAUUCCAUUUAUACAGAAUCCCCAUACGAGCGUGGAAUCCCCAUACGAGCGUGGAACCGGAACUUCCCCAUCUCAUCUGCUGGCAUGAAAUAGAAAUCCGUGGCAAAGCCCGUAAAUCACAAGGAAAUCAAUCUUAGACGCUUGACGUCGGUAGAGAGAGAUGAUUGGCUUCUUACUUGUUUGACCUCUCUUGGGAAAUCAAUCUUCUUACUUGUUUGACCUCUCUUGCUUGGCUUCUGGUUGUUUGUCUCCGGGUCUGAACCCUUACCUUGUCUUGCCCACUCGCCCCCUUCCUUCCCGGCACCAAGCAUUCCUAGAUAUUGCUCCAGUGGUUGACUACUCGCAUUGGUGGUUUACUAUCCUGCUCGCCUAACGAAAUCAAAUCAUCAAUACUAGCUUGGCCCCAACUAUUUCCGUUUAUCCUACAGCAGCUGGCGAGCCACUCUUGAGACGGAGCUUACUCGGCUAGCAACGGGCACUGGCGACGGAGAACAUAACUUCUGACUUUGGUUGUGGACCGGAACGAAUUACUUGCUCUUUCUGCUUUCCUCACCGUUGAGAACCGCAUAACUCAUUCUCAGUCACAACUUCGAAUCCACUUCAAUCAACCCAUUUGAAUAAGAGCGGAUCAAACUAUGCACACCAAAUCCAAUCAAGGAGGGGCAGUGGGUGAUUCUUCCUACCAAGGUCAACCAACACUCAAUCUCAACUCGUAGACUAGUAAACGAAAGCGAAGGGUACGCAAGGCAUUCGAUCUUCAAGCGAAAGGGAAGGGAGGUUCCAUUUGAUUCCGUUGGUAAAGGGACAGGUCAACAAAGUCCGCAGCUCUCGAAGUGAGAAUACACCUCCGCCAUAGGAUGACCCGAAAACGGGACCAAAUAGCUAUAGUAUCGCUACGUGGGGGAUCAGUGCUUUUUUACACCAGCAGUGACUCUAUAUCCAAAAUCAAUCGAUUACCAUGCAUUGCAUUCUUUUUUACACCAGCAGUAACUCUAUAUCCAAAAUCAAUCGAUUAAUUCAUUCCUUCCCGGUCCCCGGUUGUUUUCUCUUUUGUUUCUAUGCAUAGGGGGUCUCCAGUCUAGGAAUCCGGUUUGUUGCAGUUGAGUGACUCGGGUGUUGAUCAGAAGAGUUGCUCAGAGAGGAUCAACGUAGUUAAGAUUGAUGAAUUCGUUUUGACCCGACCGACGAGGUUAACCGUGGGAUCCUUUGCUUUCUGCUGUUUCGUUUGGAACAUUGUGGAUUUGACCUGACCCCUUGAGUACUUUGUAUCAAGAUUCGCAGCUCUUGCUUUUCUCUCUAGUUCAACGUUCACUCCUCCAUGGAAACUUCGAUCUCGGUGGUUCAAUUGAGUUUCAAUCCAUUCGGUGAGUUAUACCCUGUAGUAGCUCCUUCGCCUCUAUCGAAGGUACCUGUAUUCAUAGUAGCAACAGUAGGAGUGAGUUCAAAAAGAGACUAUACUUGCCUAGUAACAGACUUAGGGGGCCAAGCAACAGUGCGUACUAGAGCAAGAAAUAGGGUAUUAGUUUUUUGACUUCCCUUGCCCGAUCAAAGUAAUGACCUGAAUGGACUGAUGGUUAUUGUCCCGCUAUAGCUGGUGGAGUAAGGUAUAUCGGACUACUCCUGAGUUUAUGGUGUAGCCAGUAAGAGAAGAAGCAUACGUUGUGUUGCACUUUCUGAAUCUUAAUAAGAUGCCCGGAGCAGGUAAAGAAGCAGUUUUCAGAGCAGGAUAAGGGGAGAGAGCAGGAUCAAGUUCAGGAUCAGACUCCGGGGAGUAAUAGCCGGUUUAGGAUCAUAAGCUAUAAGAUAUGGUUACGUGGGCUAUCCGAACUCUCUUAACAGAGACCUGAGCCCUGAUUGAUAGUACUUAUUGGUGAAGCCGUGAACCUAGAUUUAGAGUCAAACUACCCAUGUUCUUAGACUCUUACGGCAUUUAUGACAUUUAGGUACCAACUCGAGCUCCCGAAAACUGUCAUUUCACUUGCGUAGAGGUGGGAAUUGGUUCUUCUUAUCCUGUUUAUUAUCUAUAUUCUAUAUUAAGCUUCCUCUCCAGCUGCUGCUUUAACCUCUUCUUCUUUAAUUCGAAGUUUCUAUACUAAAUCAACGAGUCAACCAGGAAUCCUUCUUUAUUGCUCACUUGAAAGAUACUUUACAGCUAUGUGGGCAUGAGAUUAGAGAGUCGACUCCACUUUCAUUUACUUUACAAGCACAAUAACUCUCCUUGAUUACGAAUAUGUAAGGGCCCUACCUUUUCUCUUUCGGGUUAUCCGUAAUACUCCUUUUCAGUCCUCCUACUUGGCUUCUUAGGCUUCUGACUUUUACCUUUUCUUGUUCUGCUGUCUCUCUGGCUGAGUGAGCUUCUCUGCUCUGUGUUGUUCUCAGUGAACUAGGAAGAAAAUAGACAUCAUUGGAUCCCCGCUAUAGACCAAAUGGAACUUAGUUAAUCCCCCACUGGGUUGGAUUCUCUGCAUUGAUAGCUUUAGUCUACCCUCCCUUCCCCACUCGCCCGCCCUUCCGCGUACUACUAUUAGAAUACAACCACUGCUAGUAAGAAUGCAAUUAGCGCCUCUCAUACCAGAACUUGGAACCAGGACUUUGACUCAUAAUAUCAGAAUAGGACUAGCGCUUCUAGCUCUGUAGCUCCUGUCUUCCAUUUUCUAUACACUAGAUAUCAAACUUACAUUCCUUGACGAAAGUCUUUAGUUCGGCAGCUUCGUUCUGUUGAUCCUGUCUGCAAUUCUUUGGCCCUUAUAAUAAUUGCUAGCGCGCCUACUCACAAGACUGCUUUUCCUGUCUUUGGUUCUGAAACUACUAACUAUAGGUCCCACUGCUUCAUCUAAUCCUGAUACUUUGUGGAGGUGUUUCGGCUUCCCUUCCUGGCUUUUAGCCUACCGCUCCGGUAUCUCGUUUUUUAGUUCGCCGCUCCUUUGUAUGCCCCGUUGCUUGCUAGCCCGCCCCUCCUGCAAUUCCGUGUUUCUGUCCUUUCUCUGUCUCUUACAUAUGCUUAUUAGUUUGACCUACUCGUUAGUUACUUGGUGAGUGGAGCUAUUAUGAAUCAAGAAUUGGACCGGCGCUUCUCUUUCCUGUAACUACUAUACACACCUAUAAGCCUGUCUGCACUAACUCCUAUUCUGACUACCCUGCUGAUCAGUCACCGAGCAAGAUAACCUAUCUUCUUUUGUGACUCCGCUCCCAAUGCCUAUGCUCCGUUUGAAGUCUGUUUCCCUUUACUUUGACUUUCGCUCUUCCUCUAUCAACUGUUAGAAUCAAACGAAUACUUAAUAAGCAUAAAAUACAAGAAUGGAGCUACUGGACUUCAAUCUUUCUCUAUUGAUCCCGGGUGUUUAAUGUUAGCCUGCCAUGCCUUUUUCUUACCUGUAUUCUUGUGCUACUGAUUUAGAUCUUUGCUUUAAUGCUAUAGUAGUAACUUGCCUCUUGAACUCCGAUACAUCUACUAGUACAAAUACAUACCUCUUUCUCUUACCUCAUAAAGUGUAAAUUACCCGGCUGAGAAUCGAGACCUCUGUAAACUCAUUCCAUUCCAUUCUUCAUCGGAUUUCGGUAUACCUCUCCUACGGCUCAGCUAACUCAGGCUAAUAAGUAAGUUUCUGGACACCUCGUAUCAAAGCUACCGAAAAAGGACUUAGGCCAAGCAACAUAGUCAGCGGCAGGAGCGGUGAAACUCUGGAACUCUAGGCGGAUUCAGCAGUAGCCAUUCACUCGAUCGACAAAAGGAAAUGCCCGAUGGACUCCUUCUUCUCUUUUUUCUUAGUCAAGUCAACAGUCUCAUCUCCAACUGAAUGAUCGGGCGUACUACGACUAAGAGAAUACGGGAAUGGUCCAAGAUCCGGAUACACUAAACCCUCUCCGACUGCAGACGAAGAUCGAGUUCGAAUAGAAAGUAUCCAAGGCAGGAAGACAUCAACAGAGUAAGCAAUCGAAGACUUCGAAGCUCUAAGAUAGAAGCUGCUUUCCAAGAAUCACCAGUCCCACGCUAUACGACGACAACUGAACCAUAGAAGGAGGCGGACGUAAUGGACCAGACAGACCAGAUGAAAGGCAAGCGGAGUCAUUCGACCCUAAAGGGGGCCUCGAAUGCUUACAAGACUCGCCUGAAUUGGACUACCAUAAACUAGCCCGACAUACUACUUUACGCAAUUUGAUACAUCGAAAGCGCACCAACCACAUAAGGUUCCACACCAAGAUCAAAUGAGGGACCACUAGUGGCAUUUCUCAUAUACGUUGGUUGGACCACUGCCGGAGAGAAAGGCUGACCCUAUCCAAAACCCUUAGCACAAUAAUAGGUGGGGGGUAUGGCGAUCCAACUACUACCCGCGGAACAGAGAUCCUUUCCAGUCAAGCUAUCCUCACUCAACAAGGGGAAUGAUUAGAAUCCAGCGGGGGUUAGUAAAAGACUAGGCCAAUGGUGCUCCACCAGCAACCUCUUACCCUCGUUCAACGAAGAAAGUGCAAUCCGUCCUUUCUUAGGGUUAGCUCUUACACAUUCUCCUUAUCAACAUCCAGGAUAUGAUUUGGACAAAAGAAUCACCAGUCCCCCACCAUAAAAGAAAAACCAAAUAAUGGAAAGAAACCUAAAAGAAGAUGUCCUACAACCGCAUACACAUACCCUCGAUACAAAGCAAGAAAGAAAGCAAACUCAGUCCUCGCCUCAGGUGAGCCAACCUUUCAAGCAAGAAUCUACUUAAACCACAAAGAAGAUAAUCAUUAUAUGAGAAAGAGCUUCAAAGAUAAGUGUAAGAAAUCCGGAUUUCGCUUUUUGAAUACAACUACAUUUCCUACGAGACGGAUUUAGGACUGACGGAGAGUUUGUUACUAGUUGUCAAGCCCUACAUGAAUUAGCACAAGGAUUAGUGCUUUCUCCCGGUUGAGUAGAUUUAUUCGCUUGCCUCGAAGACUGGCAUUAGGCCCCUUACUUAUGAUAGGAUUGAUUCGAAGCAAAGCCUUCUCUGGGAGAUGCUAGAAGAAAAGACUAGAAGCGCCCGGGGGGGCAAUUACACAGGCUAGCAGACAACCUAUAGCUAUUCCCUUGCAACAACCAAAAAUAAGUAAGCCUUCCUUCCAACAAUAGUAGGGUUUGGAAUGCAUACGGAAUGGAAAGCUAGAACGAAAGGGCAAGCAUCAGACAUAGGGACUACGGGAUAUACGUAAUAGCGGGACUAAGAGAUUCUCAAAACUAGUAAAGAAAAGGCCCCUUCGUAGACUAAGAAAGUGGGCAAUGGGGAUAGACCUUAAGCCUUCGCUUUUUCGGAAUACGGGAGGUAGUAAUGGGCGGAAUAAGUGGGCUGGCUGGGUGGAGAUAUAGGGAAAUCUAAGUAAGCGAUCUCAGACAUCUACAGAGGAAAUCCAAAUUCUUCCUGGAGAAAGAUUACAACACAAAUGACUAAAAAAGGGGCAAAGCCAGAAAUCCAAUCUAUUCUUUGCAAGAAAUCCAAUCUAUUCUUGACUUUUCUUAAGUAGGAAAAAGAGAGAAAUCAAGCAAGGAAUCCAAUUCGAGCCUUUGUUACACGCCAGGAACGGAGCACUCGCUAAAGGAUAUUCCCUUCCUUGCAGCACUUCAAAAAGGAGUUUCACAGACUCAAACAAAAGGAACUCGCUUACAGGACCGGCAUAGGGCGUUAGUGCUACGGAUUACUUACUAGAUGGAAUAGGCUUGUCUGACCUCUCCUUCCUUUCAUCUUUGGCAUCUCUCUUCUCUUAUGAUACCUUACCACUUUAGGGACUACCGGAAUCGAAUAAGACUGGUAGGAAGACUUCAAGGGCUUGGAAUGAUUACUUUAACCUAAAGCCGUUACAACCUUCCAUUCACUCACGGAACAAUAAUAAAGCCGUUACAACCACACUUCCAUUCACUCACGGAACAAGAAAAACACUUGAAGCCGCGGUAAACAGAUUUAUGUCAUCUGCACCUUCCAUCAGGAGGAUCAAACUCAUCUUUUCUAUUCCUUCGCAGAAAACAGACCCCAGGAAUGCUUGCUGUUAGCUGGUAAGGGAAAAAGGUUUGGGGACGAAGGGAAUCCGACUAUGGCACUCAAACGACUAAGACGAAUUCCGUCGAUUUGGACACUAUUCCUACUGCUACUGCGAGAGCUACUGCAGUAAGGAAGGAAUGCAUUCGCUUUCCACCAACCUUGUUUGGGGGGUUUUGACCUUGAUUACACGACUUCUGCUUCUCUCCCUCUUUUUCCUGUCCUAGAAAUCCGGUAAAGAAGUAAAGUAAACAAGCAGUGAGACAUCUCCUUAUAUUAUUUAUUAAUCAUUAAGUAGCACUUUAUUGAAAGCCGAGCAGAGCAGAGACUCGCUUUUUUCUUUGUACCGAAAUGAAUCAUAGGGAUACAUUAUUCGCGGAUUAUUCUUCCUUAUGAUUCGAGGCGAGGCUCAUAUGUCGAAGAGGCAAGGAAGAGGAUCCAAUGACGUGAUUACAGGGGCUGAUUCCGCGUGAUACUUAUAGCCAUGUGUUAGAAAAGGUGUCUAAGAGACUUAGUUCUUUGAAGUCUAGCUCUUUCUCUUUGGCAGGUCGAAUUACCUUCAGCCCAGUCUGUUUUAACAGCAUUGCCUACUUCUCCUCUAUUGAUCUGCACGGCAGGGAGUUGGGGCAAGAACAAGUGAAAGGUGCUUCUGAAGCUAAUGUGGUAAAGUCGAAAGUCAGGGGUAUUCGUUCCAAGUCGCAGGUAUUAGAGAUAGAGAUUGGUAACAACCCUAGAGUGAAAGGCUUAACCGAGUAGUAGGAAUCUCUGUCCUGUGCCCUUAAUUAAUGCCAUAAAGAAGGGAACAACCAUCAAGAAGGAACCAUAUAAAGAUGUUAGGAAGAAAUGCAUUCGUUGGACAGUUUCCGAGUAUCAAUGGAAUUAUGGCUAUCAGAGGAGUUUCCCCUGCCUUAUCAGACUCUAAAUAAGGGUUGAUGCAACUCGACUUGAUUGAGGCUUUACCGACCCGCUACUUAUGAGUUCCCCCACUUGAAGUUAAUCUGGAAAUUGGAUCUAUGGGGAGCACCCGUAUAAGUCAUAUUCCCUGCCUCAGAGACUUCUCUUUAUCUUUAUCCAUCCUGUCUACUGCUUGAGUAGACUUAUCAUUUGCUAUUGGAUACGGAACUUGCACUGCAGAUUCUCUAACUACUGCAUUCUGUUGAAACUGCUUCCUCGCCGGAUAUUGCUUAUGAACCCGGUUUUGAUCCUGGUUUUGAUCCUGACUUGCAAACUAGACUUUCUUAUGCUCCGAUACCUCUGUAAACUGCCAAGCUAGUGACCGAUUCCAAUCUUUCGAUAAGUCAAAUGAGUAACAAGUUCUUCUAUACCAUAAGUAGAUGUAGGCUCGGGUGCUUGUGUUGGUGGUGCUGUUCUAAAGUCUGCUCGGGCUGAAACAAGGUAUGACCCAUUUUCUGCAUCUAGUAUAAGGCAAGUAAUUGAACUACAAACUCGGAACCAGGAUUAGAUGAAGCAGUG
rnacentral:lncRNA from 1 species